rnacentral:lncRNA from 1 species
CAUCAACAUUGUAGCAACACGUUGCCCCCCACGUUUGAGGUUGAACUGCAGAUUGACCAUCCACAAUUUUACUGAUUCAUACAAUUAAUUUGCAGUGCUGAAAUGACUAAUAGUAAUACUAAUAAGUAAUGACUAGUCAGGUGAUAUCGUACUAAGUUAUAUGUUUCCAUAAGAAGUUCUACUUACAGUAUCAGAAAAGUAAUCAUGAUGUGGCCUGUAAUAUUGGCUUGGUUCAUACCUGUAGUUUAAGUUAAUUUCACAACAAUAGUCAAGUGAAAGGACUUCAGAAAUUUACAGUCAGAAUUCAAUCUAUUACCGCAAAACUUGGAUGAGUUCCCCAUUUUCUACAGGUAUCUGAGAGAACACAGAAAUCCGCUUCUCUAUAGCCUGACAAGAGCAGAACAGUUCUUAGGAGGCGAAGAAUGAAGUACUAAAUAUGUAAGGUUAAAUACACUCUAAUUCCAAUUUUUGUGGUAAAGGAUUACAUAUCAUGUAGUGCAGGCAUAUUAUGCAAUGCAGGAUGAAUAAUAGGGUAAUUUGGCAAGGAAGAAUAGGUAGCACUACCAGUAGUAGUGUACUUACAUAGUGCCAGCAUGACCACAUCAAUCUGAAUUUGGUAAUAUUGAACUGCUGUUUUUGAUAAGUUUGUGGAAAUUUUUAGACUUCACAGUGAAUCCACGUCCACAUUGCUGAACUACAUGAUCCACAAUAAUUACCAUCAAUAAUGUCACUAUAUAUGUUCCAGUGCCAGUGAUGGCAUUUUUGUCAUCUUGCCAACAGAAGUUACAAACUAUAAGGCCUAGCUUUUGCUUUCAUAUAAGCAGGUUAGUUGUUGGAAAUGAUGUUAGCUUUUGGUAACACAUUUUUUUAAAUUCAAUUCAUGAAAAAAAAACAAGUCAAAUUUUAAUCUAUAUCCGAUCUUGAUUCCACUACUAACAGAACGUGUUAAUACCUUAGAUUUAAAGUAAAAUUAGGAAUGAAGAUUAUCUCAUAGACUCAUAUAUCAUCAUCUUCUCUUGGCCUAACAGAUAAAAGAAGAGGACGACUAAAUAGUUCAAUAACCAUCUAGAGGUGAACCAUUUUAGAUAAUGUUGUUUACAAAGAUGUAACCAACUUAAGGUAGAAUCUUAUGGCAUGAAACUUAUGAACUGAACAUGCCUCAUUAUACUAGUCAUGCCACACACAUAUGCUUGUAGUCUUCUGUGUCACAGAAUGACAACCAAGAGAAAACAUCACACAGAAGAAAAAUCAAAUUGAUUUUGUGAAAUACAAAUGCACGUGUUCUUACAAAGUUGUUGCAGAACAGGCAAAUCUGAAGGCAGUAGUUAAAUGUUUAGAGGGUCAUUCAGAAGUAAAUGGUAAGGACCACGUUCAAGUAGUAUGAACGUACCUGAAUGACUGGGAAUUUUCUUUCUUCAGAGUUGACAAACAUACCAGAACUUGUGCGUACAUCACUUUUUACACCCUGGGGGCACAAACAGCAACAUUAUGAAUAUAGUAAAAACAAUUUAUUUUGGGGAAUUUCAGUAAACCAUAAUAGAUCUUACAAAUAACAGCUCUAUCAAACUAGCACUACAAAUUCGUCCCCAACACUUCCAGUACCAUAAUUAACCAUAAACAUAAAGCUGCCAUACAGGAGGGCAAAUAAAAAGCAUGAGUACAAAACAACAGAAAAAUAAAUUAAAUUGUUUUGUAACCACAUCAAGGAAAACGGUAGACAAUGCAAACAGACAUAAGAAGUCAUGUUAGUGCUCACGCUUGAAGAAUCAACAGAAGAGUAUUGUCCAUGAAAUAUUUUGAUCCUGAGAAUUAAUAUAUUCCUAGCACACCCAUGCAAGCUUGAAAAAGCAAGAGAAUAGUUUGUGUUGUAAUGUUCCCCAUUAGUACAUGUCUAUAUAUACACUCAGUCUCAGAAGAAAGUGUAUAGUUUGGACACAGAUGAAGAAAACAGAAGCUUUUACAUUCCCAACUAAGAUUUGAAACUUGCUAAUCUGCUGAUUAAAUGGAAAACACAAAGACUAGCCUAUGAAUUAGAAGCCCAACAAACAUACUUUUCCAGUUGCAACAUCAACUACAGUAGAAAUCUCGAGUCUUGGUCUAGCAAUUUCUUUUAGAAAAUCACACUCCUGCAAAUAUUAGGCAAAAAGAAGUUAGCAACUUGUGUAUUUGCUAUACUGGUGAGGGCCUGAGGGGCCAUGUCUGCAUAAUGUUGCCAGCCCUCAGGUGUAUAUUUUUGUCCUGGACAUGGAAAUAUGGCUUAAAAAUACACAAUAGAUAAAAUAUAUGUACAUAUAUAUUUAGAUGUUGAGGAAAACGAUUUAGCUUACACCCAACCUAACGACAAGAGAGAGGGCCAUACCUCUGAGCUAAGAAAAUUAUGGAAAACAAUUAUUCGGGGCGUCCAGCUGAUAACUUCAGGCUUCACCUGCAUUUGUAAACACAUAGAUUUGCUUAGAGUAAGAGAAAAAUGUGCUCUGGAAUUUUCAGUUUGGGUAUGAACUGAAUGAAGCUUGCCAAAGCUGAUAGAAAAAUGUAAAAAUUAUCAUACCAAAUUAUGCAUAUAUGGUGCCUAAAUCAUGCACGGAUACUGGUAAAAACCAGAGAAUUACAACCUUAAAAGGAAGUGUAACAUAAGCAUUUCAGAAGAUUCUAAACCCAUAUUCGAAGUCAAUCUUUACAGGUUUCCUACUUUCUAUUUCUAAAUAUAUACUGGCAUAAUCGAUAGAGGAGCCAUCAGGCUUGACAUUCCACCACUGUUAUCCAAUAUAUUGCUCAUGAUCAACAUCUUGUUAAAUGUAAUAAAUGUAUCCACAUAUGGUGUUGAGAACUUAGAAUUAUACUAGGCCAUUUUUAUUAAAUGGUAGAAACAAAUACCGCAAAACAAAAGAAUGCAACCAGCAAGAAAAUGCAAUUUACACUUCCAGAUCAAAAUCUAUAUCCAUACUACUUACAAAAUCUUAAACAAUAUGAGUUUAACAUGCUUAACGAGUAACUCGUUACUUGGCUCAUUUAACUUCUUUUGUUAACAAGAUCAAACUUCAACUCGACUCGUUAGGGGCCGAACGAACCAAGUAACGAGUUACCCAUUUUAAUCGUGAGUUUCAAGUUUUAUUCUCAAUCCAUGAACAUAUAGUAAAUUAAUGAAGCCAUUAGGGAUAAGGCUGCCAGAUUAUUUGCCCGCAAAAGAAAAAGGUUGCAAUAUUAUUUUCCCACAAAAGAAAAAAGGAUGCGGGAAUGUAAGUCAAAAGAGAAGUCCAGAUUUCAACAAAAUAAUGGAUAAGACAUACGGCUCAAGUUUUAAAUAAUAUCAGAACUUACGUAUCCAAGCCGAAGAACUGCUGCCUCCUGAUCAUUAUCCAAAUGCACCGUAUCUGCCGUGCAGAACACCUAAGGUUUGAUUAGACAUGCAUAUACUUACAGAGUAAGGCAUAUUCCUUUCAUUAUGGAACUCGACUUACUCAGAAACAAUAUGCCAAGCCAGUACCUGGGAUAAACAGGUAUCUGAUUUGACAUUUUUUUUAAGGGGAGGUACUUCAUAACGUAAGAAAAAUGAUUGAAGAAAAAGAAACACAAUGCCACAGAACAUAAUUAUAAGGCUGUUCCAACUAUAACAUAUACAGUGAUAAGAGAAAAUGCGCAUACAUUUUAUUGGAAAUGCAACAAGUACAGGAGGAUAUACAUACUGGGGUGGUCAUCUAGAUGGCGAAAAAAUGCCAGCUGAAGCAGUGAGCCUGCAUUUGGCGAAAAAGAAGCCGAAAUAAAAUAAAAUUAAGCUACACAUCUAAGCUAUAGUUCUGUGCAGAAAUGGUUGAAAUAUAAAUUAAGAAGCCAGCAUUUGUGGAGAAGAGGGCAACAUGAAACUAAAUUGCGACUGUUGAAGCAAUGUCAAAAAGUCUAAUCUUCAUUCAGAUCUGAGAAAAUUAAAGGUAAUUCAAUGGUUACAUUAUCAAGUAUCUUAUCCAGAAAAAAAAAAUAUCAGAGUAUAUUGUUUAUGUUUUAACGCACAUCAGAGUAUGUAUAGUUCCAGGUGGGAGUCAUAAGAUAAUCCGAAAUACAAUCAGGAAUCCGCUGGGACACAACAUGCCAAAUUCAACACCUGCAAUGAAUUUGGGCACUGACUAGACACGAAAACAAAAUCCAAUCAGACUCAUCAGACACAUGACCUCCAAUGACUCAUCAGUAGAAAUGUCAGGCAUCAAAGCGGCGGAAUGCAUCUGGAAGCAGUGGGAAUGAGACCUCAUGGAUCUCACUCAGGGUGUACCAUGAUUCCGCAGCAAGUUCAAUUCCCUCCAAGUGAUGUCAGACCAGUUAAACAGAGUCCAGUCCGACAACUAAGCAACCUAAGCCACCCCAUCCAUAGAAAUCCCCCCGCCCCCAUGACAGCCACAGAGGCUACCAAUGUCUUUGCUUUUUUUUACCGGUAAUGUUUUUGUUUUAUCACCAUUAGAACCCAAAGGCGCUUGAACAGCAUCCAGCUAGUCACCACGCCCAAUUCAAUAAACGGAACGUGUCUCAUCAGGACAAUUCACCCACGGCAUCAAACAAUGCCGCGCAGUUUCCGAGACUCGAGACUCCCCGACUGAGUCGGGACAAAAAGAGACGGCAACGCCCUGAUCCAAAUCAAGGCCGAGGGCAAGCAGAGAAAAGAGGGCGCGCACCUAAGAUCAUGCCGAGGGUGAUGAAGGUGAGCAGCGGCAGGAAGCGCCGUGCCCGCGACCGCGUCGUCAUCCGAUCCGACGAUUGAAGUUGGGGUGGGAGGGAGGCGACGAGGGAAGCAAGUUGAAAUCGCCCGUGACACCGGCCGCCUUCGCCGGUGCGCGCUGGGUCUUUUAUUUCCUUUGCCGAGAAAAGUAAUCCCGAGGACGUACCCCGUAUGUAUAGGGCAUUAGGGCCUGCCCCAGCACGACGACGACCCAGUCGGAAUUGGUCAAAGUCAUCAAGUAUCACGUGCUCACCUGUUACUAUUUUGGUAGUCUUUUUUCUUUUUUUGAGAGGAACGACCGAAGUUCAACAGAAAAAACAUAGAGAUAAAAGGUUCGCUCGGGGAUCAUCCAGCCAAAAUAUAUCGACCUGCUCCAAAAGAAGUAGCUAGUGCAGCUAAUCUAUGCGCCUUUCCAUUAGCUUCACGUCGUUCAUGACCGAAAAUGGUCUUUUCAAACUAAAAUCUUCUCACCAGUAUGCCUUGAAUAAUCAUGCCAUGAGCCCUAAAAGAAUGCUCACCAUUAAUGUCCUUCACAACCGUAAGACAAUCCGAAGCAAACAUAACUCGUCGAACAUUCCCAUCUGUUGCAAGGGCUAAGGCUUCAUCACAUGCACAUGCCUCAAGAACUUGAGGAUCCGAUAGGCCAUCCACUACCACCACCGACACGCCCACAUAAUUUCCCAAACCAUCACGACAAACUGCCGCAAAAGCCUCCUUCGGACUGCCUCUAGCAACUGCUACAUCAACAUUGAUUUGAAACAUACCCGCCGGCAGCGGAAUCCAGUGCGGCACAGCCGGCCUGCCAUGGACAACUCUUCCUGAUGGAGUCCUUGCAUAGAUCCCCAGCUCAUCAACAUACUUGGUGAUAAAAGCAUGUGUAGAUAGAGGACUCUGAAAUUCCUCCUCAUGAAUCGCACGGCGACGCGCCCACCAGAUGGACCAUAAGGUAACCAAGACCUCAAUGAACUCGUGUUGCUUAAGAGAUUUACAAGUGACAGCAGCCAUAACAACUUGGGAUCCAUUGAUUCAUCGCCAAUAAGAGGCGUGAUCAAAUUGUCAUCUCGCAAGGACCAAACACACUUCGCCAUGUUGCAAUCAAGGAGAGAAUGCCUCCAUGAAAUCUAGCUUCCUCAACAUCCAAUGUAUAGAUUGGAUCGGAAGCCUUAGAGGCAACUAACUUUAUGUCGUAAAACUUUCCUCCCUUUUCCCUUCUUCCAUCUCCUCCUCUUCCAAUCUCUCUCAGUUUCCGCAAUCAAUCCAAACUUUCACCACUUCAAUCUCACAGUCCAAUCUUCGCCAUGCCACCUGACGAUCCCCCUCCAUCUGCAAAUCCCACACCCAUCUUAAACCCACCACCUGAAAAGCAACACCAUGACCCAAACCUCACCUCAAACCAAAAUCAGACUCGCCCGAUGCCUAGUAGGAAUAUUAGCAGGUCCUGGGCAGAAAUUGAAGAUGAGGAAGAAGCUAGAAGAUCUGCUCGUCAGAGAGCACAGAUAGCCCGACGUGAAAGAGAGAUGCAAAGAGCGGCAGAAGUUGAAGAAAGAGCAAGAUUUGAGGAGGAACAGAGGGAAAGAGAAGCAGACGUGCCAGAUCUUGCUCUGGACCUUCAGGCAUUGAAGAUCUCUGCACCAGGUGAAUGCAGCCUUCAGGUACAAGAAGUUAAUCCUGGGUAUGCAGUUACUUCACACAAUCUUUUGUUGAAAGUUGCUUGCUCGGGAGGUACACCUAGGAAUAUUUCCAAGCAUGCAGUUUCUGUAGCCAUGGCCAAAGCUUGGGGCAAAAACUAUCAAUUAAUAGCAGAAGUAGCUCCUAAUUUGUUCAUGGCCCAGUUUCUUUCUGUUGAAGCUAUGCAUUUUGUGAUUGCUAAGCAACCUUGGACCAUGGGGUCAGAUAAUCUAUUGAUUGAAUGGGUUAAUCCAAAUGAAGAUAGCAAAUCGAAUGAAGAUUACAAAUUUGAUACCCUCUAUGUGCCUAUCAGAAUUUAUGGGGUUCCUAUGUCUUUAAGAUCUCUCAGUCUGCUUCAAGGAAUUCUCAAAAAAGUAGGAGAGCCUUCAGAUCUUCAUCCUUUGACAGAAAGCAUGUUGUUUGCUAAAGGAACUUAUAUUUAUGGAAUAGCUAAGAUGAAUAUUCACAAGCCCGUGAAAGACAGAGUUAAGUUAACAGUUUCUGAAUCUACCAAUAUCACUGCUUAUAUUCAUUAUGAGAAAAUUGGUAGAAUCUGUACUUUCUGUGGUAUUAUGUUCCACACAGUCUUUCACUGCAGGAAAAGAAUUGAUCUGUUCAUGGAACGUAUUGCAAAGAAGCAAUCAUCAGCAGAUCUCCCCUUUGAAAGGAAUGGCAAGUGGAUGACAAUAGUUGAGGAGAUUCCUAAAGAAACUAAGCUUGAAUAUGAAGUCCAGGAGAAAUGUCAUGCUAAGAAGAUUCAGAAAACUUUUCAAUCCAGAGAUAGAGUAUGAGACAGGCAGGUCAGAGGAAGAACAUGCUUCAAAUUAUGACAGAGAAGAAGAUCCAAGAAAUUCUAGACAGACUGUGACAAGGAAGCAGCUGGGUUUUGAUGAAGGGGAAGUUUCUUCAGUAAACAGGAACAAAAUAGAGGCCAUGGAGAGACGAACAGAGGUUGAAGAUGACACUGUACACCCACUUAAUCGCAUUGAAGAGAGUAACUCAAGGCCAGUCGGUGCAAUUACUCCUUGGUCUGGGCAUGGAGGACACCUCACUCAAGUUACAGAAGAAGAUAUGCACAUUGAGCGACACCUGCCUCAGGGACAGGAGAAAGGAGACCAAGCAAUGGCAGAGGCAGGUGACUGUAUCCAAGUUCAGGUUCCAGAGAACUCCCAGCAGGCACUAGAAGCACUGCUACACUCGCCUGAAGAAGAAAUGAGAAGUUUGCAGGAAAUGGUAUAAAGGCAGCAAGAAGCAAUACAGAGACAGAAAGGGGUAUACACUUUUAAAGAACCUGGUCCUUCAGGCACAAGAGGAGUACUAGUCAAGCAACCUUUAGAUGCACAGUUCGUGGCCGAACCAAAAGGGAGUACUACUUCGCUUGCUGAACAACCCCACAUAAGGGAAAGGGUAAAAUAGACAUGAUCUCUAAACCCCUCGUCUCCCCUAGGCAGCUACGACUGGCAGCUCCACAGGCUCACACUGCAAACAUCACAUCUGCUGCUGCAAUGGCAUCUUCAUCACAGAGGCCUCUGCAUCCAAAUAAUGAUGCUAAUUUCUCGCCCGUCCAAGCUACCUCCAGGCCAAUCAAUCCCCAUAAAUCCUCCCAUACAUACAAGAGGUACUCUUCCCCCACCUCCAUCCUUGGUCUCCCACCGGCGAAAAAAUGGGCCGGUCCUUCCUUCGGAGAUGCUGCGCUGGCGCACGGCAUCAUCGCCGGAGCUAGGAGCUCAUCCCGGCCUAGCUCUACUCCCCCCGCGAGCUCUCUUCGAGGCGGAUCUGGAGAAUCCCCACUCCGGAUCGAGUUUGCUUCCCUGGAGUUCACUGGAGACACAAGUUCCAAUCCAACAUCGAGAGCUGGUAGCAGAGGAGGAGGCGGAGGCGGAGGAGAUCAGAGAAGAGGAGCACGCCGUGGCUCUCCUUCCUUCCCUUCGAGGGGGAGUCGAAGGAGAUCUUCGGGAUGGGAUGUGCCUCCUGUUCUUAGAACUGGAGGUAGUCAUUCCUCUUCUGCAGCAACCUACACCGGUGGGGUUAGUACUUUCGGUGGGAAUGGAGGCGCACAGGCCGAAGAGAUGGGUGUCGGCGGCAAUGUCGGCAGCAGCAGCAACAACACUUUGGAGCCUCUACUGCAACCCACUGCUCCUGCCGCUGGCAAGCAAGCUGACGGCUUCAGUUACAGCACAAUCGCAGGUAUUGCCGAUCCACACUCUAGCCAGCCAGCCCAGCAUGAGAGUAAGAAUGAUGAUAAAAAUCAAGAGAAGCUUGGCAUUUGUUCUCAACAUGGUGGCUCCUCCCUCGUGGGUCUGGUAUUUGUUGAUGGCGAUCUGGGGGAGAGGAAUACGUCCGAGGUUCAAGUACAGACUCAGGACAGCACUAUUGGAUGGAAUUUGGAGGAGCUUAAUGCUGCCACUAUGGAACUUAAUAGAGACGAUGAUGGGAAGGCUCUGGCGCUAGCCUUUAAGGCGCCAUGGGCGCCAUGAGGCUCAUAGCCUGGAACUGCUGAGGUUCUGGCGGGGGCCUUGGCAGUAGGAAGAUGGAGCACCUCGCUAGGUUGAUCUCCUCCACAAAAGCCCAGGUAAUUUUCAUUUCUGAAACGAAGACAACCAAAAUUAAUUCCUUUCAUCUCAAUAAUCAUUUCAAUCUUUGUGAUAGCAUUGUCUGGCCCUCUUCUUGUUGUGCUGGUGGUCUUUGGCUGAUGUGGAAGGAUGAUGUUGAUAUGCAGAUCAAGUUUAUAUCUAGUAACUUAGUUCUAGGCCUAGUAGACUGUGGUAACCCUAGGCUAACUUUUGCGCUGGCUUGUAUAUAUGGCAACCCGUACCAUCGCUUGGACAACCUUAUCUGGGAUAAAAUCGAGUCUUUUGUGUAUGAUAAUCUCGAUAUCCCAGUUUUAUGUAUGGGGGAUCUGAACAAUAUAAUGUUGCCCUGUGAUAAAAGUACUCCUCGUGUUAAUACCUCUCGUAUGCAUUGCUUUAAUCAUUUUGUGAAGAGGUGUGGUUUAGUUGAUCUUGGCUUCAAUGGUCCUGCUUAUACCUGGUGCAAUAAACGUUUUACUUCUAAGCCAGUGUUUGAACGUCUUGACAGAUGCUUUGCUAAUGCUGGUUGGUGUGAUCGCUUCCCUAAUACUAAUGUUUACGAUCUCCCUGUUUUGCUUAGUGAUCAUGCUCCCAUCCUUAAGAUUACCGAUUCCAAUUUCCGGAGGCCCCGACUUAAAUUCAAGUUUGAAAACUGGUGGCUUCUUGAAAAUGAUUUUCACUCAAUGGAAUGCUACUUAUCAUCAGAAUUUUUGCACUAGAUCUACUAACCUGGCAGGUGCUUUAAGGAAAUGGUGCAAGAAGAAAAAACCCCUACAACAACAAUUAGAUGAACUGCAAGACCAAAUUCUAAAGAUUCAGUCAGAACCUAUCCAUCUGCAGGAUCACUCUAAAGAGGAGGUCUUAGCCAUCGAAUAUGAGGAAACCCUAACCAAGCUCACUGAACAGCAACGGCAAAGAGCUAAGAAACAUUGGGCGGCUAAUAAUGACAGGAACACCACUUUUUUCCAUCAAGCUGUUCUCAAAAGAAGAAGGAGGAAUUGUAUAGUCUCCAUACAAGAUGAGGCAGGUAAUGUGCAUUAUGAUCCUGAACAGAUUGCUAACAUUUUCAAAAGUUAUUUUGUCUCUUUGUUUGGCUCCUCUAACACUGAACAUGAAGAAUUCCAGCAGCAAAACUUCCCUGAAGCUCCUACAGAUGACUAUACUUAUUCUAUUCCAAACAAAGAUGAAAUUCUACAGAUCCUUAAGUCGAUGAAGAGAAAUGCUUCCCCAGGUCCAGAUGGUUUCAGUGUGGCUUUCUACACAGCGGCUUGGGACUGGAUUGGAGAUAACAUCGUCAAAAUGGUAAGGAAUUUUUUUAACUCAGGUAUGAUGCCACAAAAACUCAAUGAAACUCAUAUUGCUUUGAUUCCUAAGAAACUGGCUCCGAUUUCUACUCGUGAUUUUAGACCUAUUAGUCUCUGCAAUAUUGUUUACAAGAUUAUUUCUAAGGCGCUUGCUAACAGACUUAAAAGUCAUCUUCCUGAUCAUAUUGACCCCAUGCAGCAAGCUUUUAUUAGAGGCAGGCGUAUCUCCAAUAACCUCAUAAUUGCUCAGGAAAUUGCUCAUUCCUUCAGUCUCUCUUCCAGGAAUCAUAAGGCUUUUAUGCUUAAAAUUGGUCUUGCCAAAGCUUUUGAUCGCCUUGAAUGGCACUUCAUUCGGAGGGCGCUUCUACGUAAAGGGCUGCAUGGUAAUUUCAUCAAACUCAUUAUGGCCUGUAUCUCUUCGCCUACGUUUUCUGUUAUCAUUAAUGACCAGCCUUUUAGGAGAUUCUCUGGCAGUCGGGGAAUAAGACAAGGUGGUCCUUUAUCGCUAUGUCUUUUUGUCCUCGCUGCCAAUGAUCUGUCUAUUUCUUUACAGGAAGCGUUAUAGAAUCGUCAUCUGAAUGGUAUCUCUCUUGGCCCCCAUUGUCCCCCCAUUCAUUCUUUAAUGUAUGCAGAUGAUCUUCUGAUUUGUGGACAGGCCACUCCUCAGGAAGCAACUAAUAUUCUUCGUAUUAUCAAUGAUUUCUGCCGUAGCUCAGGUCAAACUCCAAACUAGAACAAAUCUGCUGUCCUUCUUAGUAAGCAGGUGGACCCCAAUCUUGUUGCCCAAAUUAAAAGCAUCUUCCCUGUCCAAGAUCUUGAUAAUUCUACUCUGCAUUUUGGGCAUCCUUUGAUUCUUCCUGCAAAAAAUAGGUCAUCUGCUUAUAAUUUUCUUGUUGACAAGUUCAAUUCAAAACUCAAUGGUUAUAAAGCUAAUAGUCUCUCCCACGCUGGUAGACUGACCUUAAUUAAUUCGGUUUUUUCCUCCAUUCCUGUCUAUUACAUGUCCACUUUUCUUUUUUCUAGAAAAUUCCUUGCCAAACUCACUUCUAUCAUUAGGAAUUUCUGGUGGACUGGGGUCAGGGAUCGGAGUUCUACCAAGCCUCUUUGUCUUAAAGCCUGGGAUGAUAUUUGUAAACCCAAAAAAUUAGGUGGGCUAGGUAUCAGGAAUAUUCAAGCCAUGAACAAAAAAUCCUGCUUGUCUCUUCGGCCUGGCGCAUUGCUAGUGAGCCAAAUAGCCAUCUUUCUCUCAUUCUCAGGGCUAAGUACUUUCCUAGCUCUUCCUUUUGGAGACCCCACGGUAACACUCCCAAAUCAGGUUUUUGGGCCUCCAUCUCCAAAAUAAAACACAUUCUCCUUGACUCCUGUUUUUAUCAAAUCAGAGAAGGCAAUAUUUCCAUCUGGAGUACUCCUUGGUUCCCUCUGUGGGAAAUUGUCCAUGACCAUCUAAACAUUCAGGAUGGGCACUUCACUUACCCAACCAAGGUUAAAGAUCUUUCGAUAGAGAAUCAUAAACUUUGGAAUACUAACUUAAUUUUGCAGAUCUUUGAUCAGCCGGCAGCUGAUGAAAUUCUCAGGACACCAAUUCUUCCAGGAGAUGAGGAGGACAUUCUCUGCUGGAAGCACAAUGAUUCUGGAGUUUGCACAGCUAAGGAGGCUUACAAAUUUUGUGCCCAAAACAUGCAGAUCUCCUCUUCUUCCCCCUCUCUAUCUCUGCAGGUUAUUUCUACACUCAAGAAAAUCUGGAAGGACAAACACCUCCUUCCCAGGGCCCGCGAGUGGACGCGUUGGCCGGUGCGUGCGACAUUGUGGCUGCUCAUGCGACUGGCUCCGGCGCUGGGAGCCGCAGGCCCCCUCAGCCGGUUGUCUGUCGACGGCCGAGGAGGUGGCGGUGGUAGCUGUGACUACUGCUGCUGCUGCACCUGGGCAGGGUCAGGGUUCUCCUGAUCCUGCGACAUGGGCUGCACGUCGUGUGACCGCGUGUUCGCUGCUGGGGCACCACGCGGAUCGAUCCGAGAGUCGCCAGCCCGCUUGGGAGGCCUAGCGACUAGUUCUGCCGUCGGAGAAGACGAAGCUGAUGUGGCUGCAAACGAUGGCGCCGGCGAGCUCUCCGCACGUGCCCCCUACCUGGCAUGCCAAAUGUCGUAGCCCGGGGCUUAGACACUGGGGAUGCGAGGCACCCCCUUUUUGGUUCAGCAGUGGGCGUUGGGGAUCGCUCCGGGAGAUCGCCGGCGAGGCAAAUGACGGGGGUUGCAAUGCACGAGUCGGUUUACCUAGGUUUGGGCCACCCGGAGGUGUAAAACCCUACGUCCUGCUUCUGAUUGUUUAUUAGCCAAUGAACAAGUGUUUACAAGGUUGCCGGGGGAAUCCCGGGGUGCUCUCUUCCCUUUUUUGCUAAGUGGCUACUUGCUACUUCUGGCCUCAAUCACUUGGGAUUGUAACCCAGCUCCAGUUCAACCCUAGAAGAACCAAAACCCAACCCCUUUGACCGGUGGCGCGGGUCCUCCUUUUAUACUCAAGGGGAUACCACAGGUGCCACGGUCUGCAUGGGGGAUGCGCCCUAGGACACGUGUCGAACAGAGACCCAAGGACAGAUGCACUGUAGCUAGGGCCACACGUGUCCUAGAUUCACCGCGGGCUACUCACUGUAAGCUACUCACUGUAGGUUGACUAGAUGAAUAACCUCUUCCCUGUCGGAGCAUUUAAUGCUCGGCUUGUGGCACACUCCACGCUCCGACCAGCACUGCACAGAAGGGGCCUGCCGGGCGGCCACGUGGCGUCGAUGCUCUGCCUGUACUGGGCACCGACCCUGUUGCAGGCGCCAGCGCCAGGAGACACCUUCCCCGGCAAGCGAGCUUCCCGGGAGGCGCCCCGACGGGGAUCUUCACGCUAUCUUCCGGGGUAACCCCCGCAGCCUGGCUAGCCCUGCCGAGCUGGUGGCUUCCCGGGCAGCCCUACCGGGCUGGCGGCUUCCUAGGCAGCUCGCACCAUGCUGCCUCGGGGGCUGUCCUUGCAGGGAGCAAGCGAGGCGACCCACGCGUUGAGCAACAGUGGUACCCCGGGUGCCACUGAUGCGACAGGCCCACUGUCAGCGGCCUUUUCCAGGGCCGGGUCGCAUCCUUUCGUUGCUUCCCCGGAGGUGCUAUUUUCUGCCUCGUUCCGGUCUGCUUGCUGGCGGUGCCCGAGGGGGGGGGGGCGUCUUCAGUUUCAUCUGCGCCUAUAUAAGGUGCUUGGCUUGAUGGUGUUUCUUCGCAGGUAGUUGCUGUUAUUUUUUGUUGUGCUAACCCAGGGAGCGAUCUGCAUAGCUGCGUGUUCGCUGUCCAGGUUGCCUGGGUGACGGUUCUCAUGGUUGUUGUGCUCGUGCGAGGUUGUCGCGCUGUUCUAGUUUCUUUUGCCGGCGUUGGAUCAUGGCAUGGCGGUCCGGUGGUGUCGGUCGCGGGAGGUUCCUCAUCGUCGUGGUGCGUGUCGUCGCGGCAGAUGGUGUCUCUUUUCCGGUGUUAUGGCAUGUCAUGUUCCGCCGCGUGGUGCGUGUCGUCGCGGCAGAUGGUGUCUCUUUUCCGGUGUUAUGGCAUGUCAUGUUCCGCCGGCGGUCCGUUUGCCCUUCCGCCGUUUUGGGUCGCGUCACCGUCGUUCGUGCUUGGUUUGCUUCGGGAAAGCGUCGGGCUCUUAUCGGAGGUUCGUGUUUCCUGUUUUCGUCGAAGGGCCUCCGCUUGCAUUCCUGCCGUCGCCGUCUUCGUCGUCAACACGCCUAAUCCCGUUUGUGACGUCGAGGUAGUUACCCGCUUGUUCUCAUGUCUGCCGUCCACGCAUUUCGGGAUCUCUGCUGGGAUGCACUAUGGUCCGCCUGGGAACUGACGUCGUUGUUGUCGGGAAGGGCGAUGCAAGUUCGGAUGUGAUUUGCCACAAGCGGCUGUCCGCUCGCGAGCAGCGGUGGGCGGAUUGGCGGCUGGAUCAUGCAUUUUUUGAGCCCGGGAUGGACGGGGAGGGCGUCCCGGAGCUGUCGAAGUUUCAUGCCUCUAGGCGGAACGAGAACGGGGGAUCGUGAUCCAUCCUGAUGGUUUUGUCGAUAGGACCAGGUUAGAUGUUUGUGUGUAUGAGCUCUGUUUGUUGUCGGGGAUGGUGCCGCCGAUGUCGCUCUUUCUGCGCGCGGUGAUGGAAGCUUAUGGCCUUUGUCUCUCCCAGGUGCAUUCCAAUUCCUUCGUUUUUCUUGCAAUUUUCCAGCAUUUGUGCGAGGCGUUUGUCGGGGUCAUACCAUCAGUGGCCCUGUUACAGCACUACGUCAAGGUCCGGAGGGAGGGUGUUGCGCUUGGGGGAGGCGUGUGCUUUUGCCUUCGGGACAGGCUAAAGGUCGCUUUCCCUAUCGUCAGGAAAAAGAACUGGGAGGAGUGGCGCCAUCAGUGGUGUUAUGUCCGCUAAGAUGAGUGGCAUCACUGUCUAGAUGAAAUUGCCGAAGAUGCCAAGAUGCUAGAGGGCUAAAGCACCUGUGAUCCUCGUGAUGUUCUUCUCGGGCCUAUUGUGGAUAGGAUAUCGGCAUUACAUCGAGCGGGUUUGACCGGCAAUCAGAUCAUCGCUGAUUACGUUAGCAGGGGCAUCGCUCCACUCCAGCUGCGAUCGCGUCCGUCGUGGGAACAUGACGGGCUGGACGACAGGACUCGGCUUGAUCCCGGCCUAGGGAUGCAACCGUCGGGAGACGUGGUGAGGUGUAGGGUGCACUGGCUUUAUGGGGGGAGGGACGGUGUCGCACCGCUUCCCCCGGGCGUCGUUGGAUUGGGCGCUGGGACCGAGGGUCUGGCGGAUAUUGUUGGCCAAUUUCCUGCCUGCGAUGAAUGGGGUCCGGUGGUGACUGCUCGCCCCUCUACCGAGGGAGGUGUGCAGCGUAUUGGUGAUGCUGGAACAGUUGUCGACCGGUUGUCCGUCGAAGACCCUUCUUCUGUUGGAGGGUAUUGUGUCCUGCCCGGCGGUGACAACGCUUGUGGGGCUUUUGGUGGUGCUGGCGCGUUCAACAACGUCGGUCUAGGGCUCUCGACAGCGGGGGGUUCCAUCUUGGAGGCAUCUUGUCUGGGAUGGGUCGUUUCUGAUGGGGCUUUUGGACCGUGCAGUGGGAGCCCCUAGGGACCAGUUCCCGAAGCUAUCUCGCAAGCUGUGUCGAUUGCGUCAUCCACCGAUACCGCGUAUGUGCCAUCGAGUGCUCUUUCCCCCGGGCCUGCCAGCGGCCCGUCUGUUGUGGUCCCCGUUAUGUCGGUCGGCGUGUUCCUCGUGUUGACUGAUGUCCCCGAGAACGCCGUGGUCUUAGCGGUUCUCUGUGCCCAAGUAAGUUGGGUUGUCUCUCGCACGGUUCGCUGGUGUGUUUGUGUUUUUGCCUGGCCCUUGUCCUUGUUGAGUUGUGCGGUGCUCUGAGUUGUUUUUUAUUUGUGCAGCGGUGAUUCCGUUGAGCGUGUUGUGGGACGUCCGGUGAAACGGUUACGUGGGGUCGGUGCCAUCGUCAGUUCCACGUCUAGCAGGGCCAGGACGGUGUUUUCGCUCGUUGAGGGCCUGUCCUUUGGUUCUAACGCCGAAGCAUGGGCUGGCGACGCCGUUGUUCGGCACGGCAGGUGCGGCCAACGUGUCUUUGUUGUUUGCCAACUUGGUUGGGCAGCUUGGGAAGAUCGCUGGUGUCAUGUCUGACAAGCUCAGGGAUGAGGCUGUCGUGGUCGCCGGGGAGGUGGCACGUGCUCUCUUGUCCCCGGUACGUCUUUUUGUCCUCGACUUCCCAUUCGACGAGCUCCUCGGUGCUUGGGUCAAGGGCGAUGACCAUGAGUCUCACCAGGCUGAUGUGGCCUUCUUUGUGAGGAGGUGCAGUCAACGAUGACUCGCCUGGAGGUGUCUGGUGCGCCGUCCCACAGGGAGAAAGAGUAGGCCGACGAACACCGAGCUUUUUCUGCCACCCGGACUCGGCAUAGGCGUGUAACCCCCCCAUCCCCUGCCCCUCACAUUCAGAAAAAUACAUCGCUGUCUACUUGAACGUUUGACCACAGGCAUUAUUUGUACAACCCCGCCCAAGUAAAAAAAAACUUCGCAUUUUCUUUGCUAUCUAUAUUGUGCUCCAGGAAUUCGUUCGUUUGGUGUCGGGAGUAAUCCAGUGUGUGCUUCCCUUCUGGAUUUAACAUUGUUAUUCUAGUGUUUUGUUAGAUUAUUUUGUCGUGCGUGAUUUUUAUCCGGCUGGGCCCAUUACAGGGCUAAUGCGUUUGUUCCUUUUGGAUUAGGAGCGUAAGGCGCCACCUUUGCGUUCCCAGGUGCCAUUGUAGACCGUCUUGUUGGAAGGAAACCCUGAGAGUUUUUUAGCAGGGGGUCAAGGAAAGUUCUGGAGACUUGCUCUCCCGUUUGUUGGUGAGGUUUCUUUUCAUGUGUGACACCCGGGGACGUCACAUGGGAGGAUGCGGGCGGGAGGUCGUUAUGUGCCAGGGUCCUCGAAACAUCCUGGGUAGAGAAUGGAGAGGCGAGAUAGUGACAGUUCCGGAAAUGCAAAGACGGUAUAGAGGACGAUAGAGGUCCUUGGUGACUUGGGGGGCCGUGACCUUCGCUGCCGGGUGGCUCCUCGGAUCAUGAGGCUUUGUCUUGUUGUUCGUGGGGCUUGUCGUUGGCCCUACUGAUGUUGCGUUCCUCAGGAAGAACGGCAUAAUUGGAAUGCCCGACUUUUUCACUACAAGAAUUUACCUGAAUUAUGACGUUCGGAAACCGUCAUAAUGGGCCAAAAAUCCAUAGGUUCACGUGUCAAAGUUGCCGACCUACACGUGUGGGUACCUUGCCAUGACACGUGUCUUCUUCCGGCACGAACACGUGUCAGCGUCCUGACGGGACGCGCGUCGGCAUCCUGACGGGCCACUCGUCAGCUUCCUAUUCGACCAGGUGUCCUCCUCUUGUAGUGAUACGUGUCCCUCGAAGCCCAAGAAAUUAGCAGGCCCAUUAAGGCUACCUAGGCCGGCCCACCAGAAUCGAGGCCCACUUGACCAGCCCACCAUAAUCCACUGUGUGCAGGCCCAACAGUUCUGAGGCCCAUUGGGCCGGCCGGUUUCAUUUUUUCAAAAGGCCCAUUUAUGAAUUAUCUUGGCAGCCUACAGUAACGGGCCGGCCCGUUGAUGGUUUUUCAGCAGGCCCAUUUACGGUUUGUCUCUAGGCCUCAGAAAAUAACGGGCCGGCCCGUUAACCUGUUGACAACAGGUCUCAAAGUAAUGGGCUGCCCCAUUAGAUACGGUCGUUUACGGUUUGUUCAUUUGGCCCAUUUGUUACGUGCAGACCCGUUUAUGAUUUCUUUUCCGGCCCGGUUACGCUCCCAUCCGGCCCAGUCGUUAGGUUGCACGGCAGCACAACGGCCCACGUUAGCUACAGCCUAACAAUGCGUUCGUGCGUUACAUGAUCAAGAUAAAACUUCGGAAAAAAACCCAUGAUCAAGAUAAAACAUAACAAUGCGUUUGUGCGUUACAUGAUCAAGAUAAAACUUCGGAAAAAAACCCAUGAUCAAGAUAAAACAUAACAAUGCGUUCAUGCGUUACAUGAUCAACAUAAAAUUUGGAAAAAAAACCAUGAUCAAGAUAAAACAGUCCACGAGGGCCCUGAAGACUGAGCUUCACAACACCUGGCCCACGUGAUAAUUACAACACGCGGGUUCAGUACAUACAAAGAUAACACGGGUGCCAUUGUCGUGAAUGGCAAACGAUCUUCAGGCAGCCAAAAUAACAGCUCGACCAUGCACCUGGACCAUCCCACCUCCACGCAAGCAAAAGAUAACAGUUCAGACAUCGCACCACACGUGCUCCAUGUACCUACUUACCUUUCCGGAUUCUUGAUCGGGAAAACAGAGCCUUAGCAAGGCUUCCAUUGGAUGCAGAGUGCUCAGGCAAGCAAAAAAUAACAGUAUAAACGUCACACCGCACCCACAUGAUGAAGAAAACGAGGUUUCACUUCUGACUUGACGGAUGUACGAAGGUUAUACUUCAUCCUCAACCUUCUGCAAUUGAGAAACAUGGUUGUCAGCCGCGCAACAUACAGAAAUCGAGUUAGUGAGGGCUCUUUAAAAGCUGAGUUACAAUGGCAUCUUGCACGCUCGUGGAGGACCCGGCUUCUUCCUUUUGUGGCAGGACUGUAAUAGGCAUAUGUUAAAAGUUGAUUUGAACAUUGAUAACUACAGAACACCCAUCAAAAGAUUACGUUCAACUUCGGUCAAAAAAAGAUUGUGUUCAACUAAUGGUCUUGGCAUAGAUGGUUACCCGGGUAAAUUGAAUAGCUAGGUGACAUGACAUGGUGCCAAGGAAGGGGAAAUUCAUCGUGAUUACACAAAAAUCGUACAUAAAUAACACAUAUAAGAAUAAUUCAUGUGCAGCUAACUGAAAUAUUUCCGGUAGUUACGACUCGGUAGAGUGCACAAUACCUGAUGGAAUGUAGAAUCUCCUGAAUGGCAACAAAUCGGUGGUAUUUUCCUGGUCUAUAUGUCGCACCGGUGGCCCACGGGGUCCCACUGAUGCCGGACGCGUGAAUCGCGACCACGGGAUCCCGCAAGGAAUGCUCCCCAGGAAGGGCAAACCCUGGAAGCCUCUCGCCUCCGAGACAACAGCCAAGGGUACGAGGAGACGUUCACUCGCAAAACCAUCACACAGGAGGUUAAAAGCUCUGACACCAUUGAGAUCAGGGUAAGAAAGACAACCAUCCCAACGGCAACCCGAGAAGCAUCAUCCCGGCAAGUUAGCAGCUCGCUGCCCCCGCAACUGGCUAGGCAACGGUACUGGGGUGCUUCCCGGCUACUAGAGCUUGGGCCCGCAGAUGGGGUCAGCGAAACAGUGAAGACAACAGCGGCAGUGCAAUUAAUGCACCGGCAGGAGUCACAUCGGUAGGGCUAGUCUUGCUCAGCACCUCAUAUUGAAUUUGCUUAUAACCGUUCAGGAUUACCUUGGGCCACACUAUAAAAAAAAAUGUCAAUCCAGCAAUAAAAAACAUGGUAAAAAAAUCAAAAAUAGUUUGAUCGCUAGGGUAGAGAAUCUGACAACUAAUCAAAAGCAUACCCUAGUCGCUAGGGGUAGGAAACCAGUUUAUCCACGUCUACAUACUAGUUUAUCUCUGCGAGUUUACCAAUUUAUAAGUUUGUCCAUGGCUAUUAGCCUGUUUAGUUUUACCUAUGCGUCGAUUUAUCGACAUCUACUUUCUAGUUUAUCCGUACAUACUUACCAAUUUAUCCGUACACAUUUAUCAGGUUAACCGGACAUAUCUACCACGUUAACCACACAUACUUACCAAGUUAACUAGCCAUAGUAAUCAGGUUGACUGGGCAUAGUUACCAGGUUAAAACAAUUGUUCACUAGACUAUGACCGCUUGGUUGCCAGGUCAUAAUCACUUGUUUAUCAGGUUAAAAUCACUUGGUUACCGGGUCAGUUUCUUGUUUACUUGGUUAAUACCACUUGAUUAUCAGGUUAUAACCGCUUGUUUAUCAAGUUAGAAUAUCACCUGGUUACCAGGUUAUAUAGUCUCUUGUUUACUAGGUCAUAGUCAAUUGUUUAUUAGAUUAAUAUCACCUGUUUAUCAGAUUACUAUGACUUCAUUACCGGUUAUAGUCACUGUUUUACAAGUUAGUAUCACUUGUUUAUCAGAUUUUAGUCACUUGUUUACCAGAUUAAUAUUACUUCGUUAUCAGGUUAUAGUCAUUGUUUUACCAGGUUAAAAAUCACCAGGUAACUAGCUUAUUUGCGUCUAACUACCAAGAAAUGCGGCAUUUGACACAUACAGGGAGCAAAUGGCGGCUCCUUUUCCUCCUACACGCAUGCUAAUACCACCGCAACGACUUUUCCGCCACCGCAACCUGCUAUUGCUCUAUGUCUUGUCCAGGCGCCAUGAUCAUAGUGAUCUUAUUGCUGAAGCGCUCGGGAUCUUUGGCGCGUGACUGCAGCCGAACAAGAACUUGCCGAGGAUGGGCUUGGCCGGGUGAAGUACACAUCCGAGAUGUAUGUGUUGGCCGAGGCCGACCCGCGUCAGGCUACUGGACACGGUACUAGCAUUGGUCAUCGUUGGCGGUGCACCCAUUGGCGUAGGAGACGAGCUGCCGGCAGGUCGAGAGGCUGCAUGAAUCCAGCGCCCCGUUCCGCCGCGGCGCCUGCAUCUGAACCCAUCUCCUCUCCCAUGCGGCUGCCCUCAAGACGCACUGUUCCUCCCCUCCACCUUCAGAUGCCACCGCCGACCCUGCGCCCGGUCGCGCCGCCGCGCCCAACUCGCCUGCUCCGGCCUUGCGCUCUGCCACGCAGCCGCGCCCUACUCUACGGUGCCGCCAAGCCUUGCCAACCUGCUCCAGCCCUGCACCCUGCCCCACCGCGCCACCCAGCGCCGCUGCCGCAGCCUGCUCCGCCCAGCCGCUCGAUUUGGGCCACACCAGCUCCGCCGCUCGAGUUCUAGGAGAGAGAGACGCUCAGGAUCCAGGGGAGAAGCACAGAGAGAGGGAUCGGUACGCGCCGCACGGUAAGACACGGGUGGGCGCAUGCCCCCCCGUUAGAUUGCCCGAAAAAAAACAGCAUCCAAACAGUCCCCGCCUACCUUUACUUUGCAUUAUUUUAUUGUCUAUGUCUCCAUUUAGACAAUGAUUAAGAAAAAGUUUAAUCUAACAAUUCUCCAAGAGCGCAGGUUGUCUAUAUUAUCCAUUCUAUAUUUUUAGGAAAAAAAGGGCCGAUUCCAUCGUUCGAGUCUUCCAAAUACUUUCACUUCUCGAAGACCGGUCAUGCAUUAUCAACACGUAAAUCUAAAAUUAAGCUUUGGCCGUCAAAUCGCAUUCUCGAACAACACAUCAGCAAGAACACAGAUGCAUCAUCGCCAAUCUGAAAGUUCAUGCAGUUCAUCAUCGACACAUACAUCAAGUUCAUACAUAAACGUUAACUAGAUAUCAGUAAGAGAAGCAUUUAACCUAAUAAACAAAAUGAGCUCCGCGUAUUCUCAUUGACGCCACACACUCCUCCUUCUCGUCAGAGGAGGAGCCGCUCCGCAGCCCAGCGCCCUUUCCACCUCCGAUGAGGAGAGCUUGAGGGCCCUCCACUGUGUGUGCGGCGUCGCGACGGGCCUCCUCCUCCUCCUCCUUAGUCAGGACGGAGGCAACUAGGGCAUGGCGCAUGACGGGAUCUUCGUCCUCAUCGGAGGAGGACAUGGCGUCGUGCGGGCGGCGGUGGGGGCUGGAGCAGAAGCUCUCUAGCGCAUCCCAGAGUUAGCUAGAGCGGGAGCGCUCCGACGCAUCCCCAAGGAGUUAGAAGAAACAGGAGCUCCCUAACGAGGCUGCCUCCACACGGAGCUCAUCCUCCUGCUCGCAGUGAUGGGCUAGGGUUUUGGGAAGGUGGUUUCCGACUCCUAGCGAGUGUAGCGUAGGGCAUCGUGCUUCUCCUUUUUACCUUCUACCCAAAAAAAUUCGUGUCAGCAAGUUGUCUCCUUCUGGUCAGAAAAGAAACAUAAGAUAUUUAAGCUUGGUUCAGCAUUGUAAGAAAUUCCAGUCAAACUAGGGGUAAAUCUGGUCAAAGUGCAUUUGAGCUCAAAAAUUCUGGAAAAUCCUGUAAAAUCAGGGACAAUCUUAGGAAGCUGCUGUUAACAUUUUAACUCAAUUGGAGCUGUGAAAAGGGUUCAAAACACAGAAAUACCCCUGUACUUUUGUGAAAAACCUUUGAGUUUGGGUUCGUGUGCUCGUGUUUUCAACCUUUAGCUUCAAUAACUGCGCUUCGAUUCAUAUCUUAGUCGUGCUAGUCGAUGUCCAGCAGAUAGUACUAGCAUUUGUGGGCAUCUUAUCAAAACAUUGCAUUGCUUUUUUGUUUCAUUCCUAUUCCUUGCUACUUAUAACACCCACCCAAUCUUCACUUUAAACUACCCAGCGUAGAGAUUCAUGUCAUCUGGCAAUCUCUCCAUCCAAUCUUCCAAGUGAUGAGACACUGUUGGUUUCUAUUCACCUCCUACUGCAUUGCAUGGUAAGAACCCGUAAGAACCGUGAAAUGGCAUGUGCAUCGAGUGACAUUUUCUCGCAUCCUACUAGUGCAUAAGAGCAUCUUCAACAUCACACCCAUAUUUUAGGUACCCAAAUCCAUUAUGGGUAGGAGAGAGAGAAAAUUUGGUUACUCAAAAUAUGUCCAACUAUUCCAACAUACCCAAACCAAAUACCCAUAUUGACGGGUUUUGAGCGGAUAGUGACUGCUUCUUAGUUAGGAUCUCGACAAUACGAAGCAAUAGGUUGGUUAUUAGUUAAUUUUCUAUAAUUACCCAAAAAAAUUCUUUUUUUAAAGAAAAAAAUAACGAGACACACACUAAGCAUAGCAAUUAUAUUAAAUGAUUUAUCAAUUUUCAUUAAAUCUUAUAGAAAGAGGUAUAAUUUCUUUUUUUUUAGGGAUUUCGGGAAAAAAAGGCUCUUGUCAUUUUUUAUUCUAUCACUGCACAGAAUGCGAAGACAAGAUUAGUUAUUCUUCAUCUACGAAUAUCCAAAUUUUUACACCUAAUACUCCAUGGAUAGUUCGAAUUGGAUAGCAACAAUAAUCAAUUUUAGCGCGAAUUGUUUGGAGAGGAAGUUUUUGUUUCCUUCUACGCGCUGAGCAUGGCAGGUUCUGCAGUUCCAAGAAGGGCAAGACUUCACCAUCCUGUGAGGUUACUUAUCCCCAAAAAAUUAGCUACUCCGUAUUAUAUUUUAUGUUUUAUGGUUCUCCAAAUAAGGUGAAAUGACAUCCUUAUCGGUCAUUGAACAAAGAGCUGUUGUAGGUUUCCUCGCCAACAAAACUGAUUCCUAGCUGACCUGUAUUAUAUUUCAUGUUAUCAAUAUUUGAACAUGCCUUACUAGUUUCCAUUCUAUAAUUCUUGUCAAAAUAUUACAUGUAUCUACACGCUUAUCAAAAUAGAUGUAUUUUUAGACAAAUUUGAGACAAGAAUUUGAGACAAGAAUUAUGAAGCCAAGAGAAUAAUACAUAAUUCUUGACGAAAUGUUACAUGUAUCUAGACGUUUUUAAGAAUAGAUGCAUCUAUUUUUGAACAAAUUUAAGACAAGAAUUAUGAAACCUAGAGAAUAUACGCAUAUCAGCAACAAUAGGUUAAAAGUAAAGCUGCGUGAAAUGCAAAGAGCUGUUGUAGGUUUCCUUUUCGACUUCCCAAAAAUGUAAUUAAUAUUUAAUUAACAUUGUUGGACAUACCAAGAUCGCCUGAUUUGUUAAGUUACCAAAGCUAUUAUGUAUUGCAAGGUAAUAUAACCAGAUCCGGCUUACAAGCUCACUGAACCACAUGCAUGAAAAAGCUUAUUUCACCACCCACGCUGUCACAUGACAGAGACAUGGUUCAGCUAUCUGAAUACAUCGUACGGGCAAAAUUCGACUGACUAAAUCCCGAAACAAAAAAUUAUAUGGACCAUCUGCGGGUAAUCCACCUGCGAUUGCCCAAUCAUAUACACUCUACAACCGACCUUCCUAAACUAUUAAGCAAACUUGGGGAUGCAUCCACCACAGGGCCCAUCAACAAAUAUUCAUCAAUCAAUGGGAGAUGGUGCUCGGGACCAAAACAGCAUCGUAACAAGUACGUAGUGUUCUAAUCCCACUACGACCCGACAACAAGCCAACAUCGGCAAGACAUUAUCCACGACGAUUCUGUUGCUGGCUUCUAUUGCAAGAACUGCGCCUCAAAAUUGGCCUCCAAAAACAAGUUGACCAAGGCUGCAAAAACCCGAUGCUUGCAAUCACCAAAUCACAGGAUACUGACCUGUGUAUUGUUCACAAAACCAAAGACAAACAACCAUGCUAUAACUUUGUCACUGUGCAUUUGCUUUCUCCAACUUUUCUUUCUCAAUUUCAACUUUUCUUUCCGCAGCAUGUUGAGCUAUGCCAUUAGCAAGUGCCUGGUAGCUGAAAUCCAGAGUCUGCAUAAGGUUCUGGAACCUAGCUGGAUCGGAUGCUUUUAUAGCUGAAAGAAAUUACUAUUACCUUGUCAGGCAGCUUUGGGCAGGUACAUAGCGUAAAAACAAUUUGUAGGUAAAAAAUUUCUUUACCUUGGAUGGUUUCAACAAAGAAGAUAAAUGGAUCCACCUCAUCUAUCGGUGUUUGCAGCUCCUCAUCAUCGCUGAAAUCGUCAUCAGAAUCGUUGUCGUCGUCAUCAUUAUCAUGGAGCUGGAAACCUCUAGCCUGAAUUACCAGAAGCAUGCAAAGAGUAAGCAUAGGUGCUAAUAAAAACAAAAAAUAAAAUUAUACUCAAAAUACUACGGAGCAUGCAACAUCUUUGCCCCAGGGAUCUUUCACUCAUCCUUUGCAGACAACCACUUGGAUGCCCUUUCCAAGUUCUUGUGGGGUCAUGCUACAAUUAAUAACUGAACACUGAACAGUAUGUCUUGGUUGUAGACUUACAUUAUUUUUUAUUCGGGAUUGGUUUCUACUUUUAAAGAACAGUUAUCAAAAGUUUGAACUGACCGUUUCCAUCCUAGAACUUAUUAACCCAUAUAAUUAUUUCUUAACAGUGCGACACGCUGCUGGUUUACAUGUAAUACUUAUGAUGUUAAGUAUGGCAAAAAUAGAUGAUGCAUCUACACGAAUCGAUUAUACGCAAUCUUGUUCUGCUUGAACUUUUGUGGAGAAGUGUCAUCCAGUUUACCAGGAGAGUAAAUGUUGUGUCCGGAAGAUGUAACGGGAAAUUAUUCUUAAGACACUACGCUACCCAAUCUCCAUAAAGAUGAUUGUUGCAGCAACCAUGAGAUUGCAAAACAAUAUUCUAACCGUGAUACAGUUUAGAAUUUCAAUGAUGGUAUACAUGGGUGAUCCGUGUAUGUCUACAAGCAUUGCUCAUGUGAUCCUUGAGAAGUGCAAUCAUGAAGAGAAAAUCAACUUAUAUAUCUUGCUAGUGUAUGCAUGUAUAUGUCUCAUCCAUAAUACUCUCUCUGAUCCAUAUUAGUUGUCGAAAUAUUACAUGUAUUUAGACGCUUUUUAGGCAUAGAUACAUCCAUAUUUGGGCAAAUUUGAGACAUUUAAUAUGGAUCGGAGGGACUAUUUCAUAUGGUAUUCUAAAAUUUAAAAGGAAUAACAUCACCACAUGUACAAAUAAAGAGAAGCAAGACAUAACCAUAUUAGAAGUGUUACAGCCAGGAUAGUAUGGUCUAUUUUUGCCCCCAGACCUUUCUUCCAGUGUUUCUACCAUGGUUUUUAAAGCAUCCAGACGGGGGGCGCCUCAACGCCUAGGCGCUCAAAGCACGAAGCGAGGUGACGCCUUAGUCAUUUUUUGGAACUGUUGAAUAUGGCCCAAGGCCCAUUAAGUGGACUGAACGGAGGGUUUUCUUCCUUCUCCUCUCCCGUGCUCCCCGGUCCCCACGAACUGCAGCCGCCACCCCCACAGACCACCAAAUCUAUGAGCACUCAAGGGAGGGCCGGCGGAGGAAGGUCCUAGCCGGAGAGGGGAAGGGCCGGCGGAGGAGCAGGCUUGGCCGGAGAAGGAGAGGCCGGCAGAGGAGGAUGGGAUCUGGCAGGAAGCUUCCUGGCGGCGGAGGAGGAUGGGAUCUGGCGGGAGCUCCUCUCUCUCUUAGCUCCUCUCUCUCUUUUCCCUCGAUCUAUACAACUGCUGUGUUCCCCUCUCUCCCCCCGGUCUGUUUCCCCCCCAAUUUCUCUGUUUCUCCCGCCGAUUUCUGUUUCCCGCUCGACCUUUGUCGUACUAUUGGCCCACGGGGUCCCACUGAUACGGGACGCAUGGGUCGCAAGUGACGAAGCCCCACCACAGGUUGGCCUCCCGGGAAGGAUAAGCCCGGGGAGCCCACCCCAAAGAGACGGUUAUUGGCUACGGCAAAGCCAAGAGUUGGAACAGGAGAGGUGCCCGCUUCGGUGGGUGCCCGGGAACUCAGGUACCGGAAAGAGGAAGGCACGCUGCCCCGGCAAUGGGCUGGGUGUGCUUGCCGGGAAGGGGCUCCCAGCAACCCGCGCUCGGGCAUGCAGGUGGGACCCGCAGAACAGUGAAGACAGGACGAGACAGCAGAAGCAGUGCAUUUAAUGCACCGACAGGAGUCACAUCAGCAAGGCUAGUCUUGCUCAGCAAGGCUAGAGCGGCUACCCUAUAAGUCCAUUUUAUUUACCGUGUACAGUGGCCUGGGCGCUGCAUGGCGCCUAGCGUGGAUCAACAGUAGAGUAAGUUUUGUGGCAAUGACACGCGUGUAGCAAACGUGUCACGCAGCAUGCAUCGGCACCUGUGGUAUCCCCUUGUCUAUAAAAGGAGGACCAGUCAAAGGGUUGGAACCCUAGUCAGUAACAAGUAAUAUUGCAUCCACUUGUAGCAGAACCCCUUAGAAGGACAAGUAGCUUACCGAGCGCACUAAUUCGUGAAUACAACCAAAGGCAGGACGUAGGGCGUUACACCUCCGGGAGGCCCGAACCUGGGUAAAUCCGAUUGUCUACACUUCGUGUCUUUUGUCACGUCGGCGAUCACCGGAGCGCUCGCCUCGCCCCUCACCGAACAACAAGGGGGUGUCCAACAUCCCCGGUGCCGGGGACCCGUGCUCCGACAACCUUCUAUCGACAGCGUCCAGAAACGAGCGAAGCGGCAAUUUCAGCGCCUAAACGACGCCCCUGGACGCUUUAGUUCGAAUUCUAAGGCGAGAACGACGCCUUGACGUCGCUGGGCGCUUCGACGCUUUGAAAACCAUGGUUUCUACAACCAACCUGAUAACCCAAUGCUUUCAUAAGACUGAUCCAGAUCCUAAAGAGUGGAUCUCAAGAUGCCGCUGGGUACCUGAUACCCACUGCCUUAUCCAUACCCAAACGAACGAGUCGGGUAUGGGCGAGAAUUUUUUUGCCCAGCCAAGUCGGGGAGGGUAUGGGCACUAUCCACGAUUCCCCAAUCGCCAAAUCCAGGUCGCCAGGCCUCCAUUCCCAAAUGCUUCGUCCCCAAAUCCAGCUCGCUCGUCCCUGCCUCGAUCCCCAAAUCAAAAUCACUUCAUCCCUCAAUCUGAAAAUCAGACUCGCUCCGCCCCUCGAUCCUCAAAUCAAAAUCGCCAGUACCGCUGAGGAGGGGGUUGUCAUGCUCGGGCGGAAGUGGAAGACACGGCGAGCGAAGGCCUCGUCGAAUUUGGCGCCGCGCCGCCUGGCGCCUCCCUGGGACGCGGCAAGCGAUACUAGCGCUGCAUCGGUCGACAAGUUCUCAUGAUGCUGAUCUUGGACGAGAUUGCGCCACUGCAGGCGACAAGAAGUUAGCCUGCACCAGCCUGCUGCUGGCCUCCGCGCACGCCAGCAGCGCGUAAAGCAUCAGGGUCGAGGAGGACCGUGGCCGCUAUGUGCGAGGAGGAGGAGGAUCAUGCUCGGCGAUCUGAGAAAUUUGUCACGGGUAAAAAGGGUAAUGGGUAAUUACGGGGAGGGUAGACAUGGGGAUUUCAUUUUCUGAGUAUGGGGAGGGUAAAAUACAGGUUAAGCCAAACCCUCCCCAACGGCAUCCUGAAGUGGAUCAGGAGCUGGAAGCUGAAAAAGAGGGAUCUGGAGCUCUACCAAACAUGGCUUAUGUAUUAAUGUGUAGCAGUUUGAAGGAAAAACACAUCAAGUAUGCUCUUCACCAGAGACUGCAAUAUUUCCAUUAACUAUUCUGUCAUCACAAUCAUUUUAAGAUAACAUUAACAUGGUAAGCAUCUGGAAUAAAAAUUAAAGCAAGACAAUAAGGUCUCUGAAUGUAAAUUAUAUUUGAAUCAAGAUCACAACACAAACCUGUACAAGUUUCUGUAUACUGAGACUAGUUACUUCAUCCUGAUCUUCAUCAUUGACCCCCAUAUCCUUAUCGUCCUCAUCCUCUUCUUCAUCGGCAUCAAAUUCAUCCAGAUCAUCAGUAGCAGUAUCAUUUUGCCUCUUAGAUUCUGGUUUAUAAAAGCAAAAGAUUGAGAUUAAACAGAAGAAGAAAUAUAAACACUAAAUUUUUGUACUAUAGUACUAGUAUACAAGUAAAAAUAAUGUUUGAAGUCUUAGAUGCUCUUUCUUUUCUUUGCCUCUAACAAAAUCACCUUAUUAUUUAAUUUAAUGAAUAUACAGUGGUAGACCACUCUACUGUUUUUAUUUUUUUUAAGAAUACUGUACAAGGUAACAGCUUAAGUCCAUGUUUAAUGUCAGGAGCAUAAUAAUUCCUAAAGGGCUAGCGGUUCAGCGGAGUAUUAUACAAUAAACAAGAGAUUUGCACCUGCAACUUGAUCCUUGUACGCGAUAAGCAGCUCGAGUGUUGCUUUGAAAAUGCGCUCCAAAGCCUCUGCUGGAAUAUGAUUAGCUGGAAGGCUAAUAAGUGAAAUCAAUCCCAAGCAGCAGACUUUCUUGUCAUGCUCUCUGCAAAUAAAGCAAAACACCAUUUCUUGAGCCAAGACGUCAUAUAAAACACAACAGUAUAUAUAAUCCUACCAUCAUGAGCUAACAAAACAAACCUUUUGAAGUUCACCCGCUUGCCGUUUUUUUUUACUUGUUGUAACAUGACAAACCAAAGAUUGAAAAUUUGUGUUGCAACUCCAAGUUUAUGCAACAUUGCCAGUGUCAGUGAAGGAUUGUAGUAGAACGCAUUAGCUAUCUGCAGUUGGCAUUGGAUGAAGUUAGAUAUAGGUUCUUACUCCCUCCGUUCCAUAAUUCUUGUCAUGGUUUUAGUUCAAAUUUGAACUAAUGGUUAGAACAUGCACUUCGCUGAUGAGAUUGACUUAACAUGAGUACAUGACUAUCAAGGGGCCUAUAACCCAUGGAAUUGGUAACUAUGGUGUACCCGAACUUGCAAAUACUAUAGCUUUGCAUUAUUGCAAGAAUCAAAGCAUUUAGUAUUUAGGAGGGUAAUUUAGUUUUCAAACUCUUUGAAGAUUUGUCACUAGCCAAUAUAAAAAUAAUUAAACAAGAUUGCAUGCAAAUGAAUAGAUGUAAUUACCCAAUUGCAUUUGGCUAGCUGACUUUAUACUUGUGUAUUCGUAAAUCAUAUAUCAACUCUAUCCAUAAGGUCUGUAUAAUGUGAACGCUAAAGACAUGUGAAACUUCGCGAACAAGUCUAGCAGCCGAAGGAAACUAGCAGCCUGCCAAUUAAACUAUGUGGGGACCCGUACAAUCACACCAAGCAAAGGAAAGGGUACGAGUGAUCUCUUUCUCAAUUUUCAUGAAGAAAGGAUGAAGAGCGAACUUUUUUUGGACCAGAGUGGAUUUCGUACUCCAAAAAGUACUCGAAAUACCAAACAGGGACUUAUAUAGAAAUGGUGAUUUGGUCUGUGCCUCACCAAUUUAGGCCAAAUCUAAGCUAAAACUUCUUCAUUAUUACCCUUUUGUUGCAAACAUGGCACUUAAACUGUAAUAUUUGGUAAUACUUUGAGUUUAGCUUAGGUUUCACAAGAUUUUAUCUAGUUCUCACUGAUUAGGACCAAUAAUGAGGUACAGGCAGGCCCAGAGUGAACUGGCUCAGGAUUGUAAAACCUUGCUGCACAACCAAUUUUGAUGCUACUUAUAGAGUACUGCAUAAUCUACUCUACAGUGACACAUGAUGCUACUUUUAUACACAACAACUGAUACAGAAAGCUGAAAACAAAAUAAUACUCCAUCCGUCCCAUAUUAAGUGACUUUCUAUUACAUGUAUCUAGACGUAUUUUAGUAUAUAGAUACGUCCAUAUUUAGACAAAUUUGAGUCACUUAAUAUGGGACGCAGGGAGUACAACAAAUGCCCACAGCUGCACUACAAUCAAGCAUUUUAGCUGAUUAGCAUGUUUAGAUCAAAGAGAGAAGGGCAAGGCACAUAUUUCUUACCACUUGCACAAGGAGAGAUUUAAGAUAUGGCUUCUCUGCUCGAUGGAGCCUGUCAAUCGUAAGCCUGAGAUACGGCUCAACCCAAUGAUCGACUUGACCUUUGCAGUUUUGAAAAAACACUUCAAUGAGUUUGGGUGCCGGCACAAUAUCAGAAUCUUCCAUGUUUUGGUCGGUCAUAACCUUGAAGUGUGAACAUUAAACCGUAAGUCAAAAUUAUGAAACAUUCAGAACAAAUUGCAGUUAAAGAAUGCACCUAAUCCACACUCACAGAUGAUAGUCCUUUCCAUAGGCUUUGUUGAUAAUCAGGAUCUUUGCAGGCAACAAAAUGUUCAGUACCACGAGAAAUGUAGUUGUCUAGUGGGACAAGAAUAUCUGCAAGGCAACAAAAAUAUUUCACAAUGAGCUGCAAAAUGGUCUCCAAAAUAACGUAUAAUGCAAUUGCUUCUGAAUGUCCACCAUAAUAAUUGCAACCAGUGGCUACCAAGCCAGUUACAUUUGAAAGACUAUUAACAGCUGGCAAACAAGCUUCCUAGCAGAUACAUGAGUAGUUAGUAAGUAAGCACUUCAUAAUAACAGCCUGCAGACCUGAAUUGUAUAUAUAUAUAUAUAUAUAUAUAUAUAUAUAAUAUCAAACAUGUUUAACAGUGCAACAAAAGACAUGAUCAUUCCUGAUGUUCACAUCUCAAAAGAGAAACACGAUGCCGAUGGAUUAGCCUUUUCGAGCAAUAGAUAUUAGAUACCAUGAUGCUAAAUUAUACGUCAUGAUUCCAGUUUAGGCCUGUAUGGAUAGAGGUCCAGGCGUCCGCAGGCCCGCAUAGGCCGCGCGCGUAAUAUUGUUUUCCAGAUUCACAGACACUGCCUACGAUAAGUGGGAUUUGCAGGCGCACACUGCGUAGUCCCCUAUGGGCCUCUCCAUGCUCCUUGUCUCCAGGCAACUGCUACCUUCCACCCACUCAUCGACAGAAUUGCCAAUCGAUUACCCAACCGGAAGUUGAAAUUCUUACUAAGGUGGGUUGGUUGAUUAUCAUUAGUGUCAUCCUCUCGGUGAUCCCAAUUCAUCAGCUGCUGGUUUUAGCCAUGUUAAAUAAGGAAGUCAAACAGGUGGACAAAAUCAGAUGUGGCUUGCUAUGGGCAGGACACGCCCAAGUGUAGCCACUGCAACAUAAUUUGGGUGUGCAUCAUUAUUUGCUUCAUGUACAUAACUCUUGGCAUUAGGUAAGAAGCCUGUUCUGGGGAGACCACUAGGUGCUAAGUUGCUACCAAGAUGGAAAAGCAACAUGCAGUGUCGCUCUGGUGCUGUACAGCAUGGUCCCAAAAUGUCACAGCAAGUGCUGUUUGGUCGAGCAGGCUGAUGCAGAUCCAGCGAUAUUACACGGCAUCAGCCCUGCGCUCUCUAUAGCACGGAUUGGAGUGGACAUGUGACUUCACAGCGGCAUAUGUGACAUGAACCCGAUGGUUUUCGUUAUUUAGUCUAGCGUAAAGCCUAUAUACGGAACAGUGAAUAUAUCAAUCUUACCAAUUUGAUAUACCUUAUGAUGUACACUUUACAAACCCAUUCAAUGGAUAAUGUAGGAUACAAUCACUAAAUAAACAGAUAAAUACUUUCAAGUAAAGAUUUUACAAGGUUGAUGAUGAGGAUGGCAAAAUCAUGAAAAUAUUAAAUUAGCAAAGAAGCAGAACAAAACAAAGGAAAUGAGAAAUUAUAUAAUAACAUGUAGCAUGGUGUCUUUCACUAAAAAAGAAGUAGCAUGAUUUCAAAAUUUCAAUGAAGACGUCAACACAAAGAUAGUAUAGUCCCUUUGUUCCCAACUAGUUAGCACUUUUAACCAAACCAGACAAACAAAGUAAUCCAAGUUUUGGAUGAAAUGUGACAAACAAUCCCGUUAUAUCUCAAGCACUUAACAAGGAAAGUACAGUGAGGGGUGUAAUCAGGUUGAUCUAGGAACAAUGACUCAGAAUUAUGAAAGUGCCACACAUUUGGACAGAAAUUUUUGGGUCAAGAGUGCUAACUACUACGACACAGAUGGUGUAACUACCAGAAAGCCUGCAAUGUGAAUGAUCUAAAAUUUAAUUUCCAGCAAUCCAGCAUACAGCAAAUUUAACAGCAACCCAUCCAAAACUAGACUUACUCCCAAAGAAAUCAAUGGCCCAAUCAUUUAGAGCCUCCAUCAUCACCGGCCACAAGCUCCACAUGUUCAAUGAUAUUGCUGGGGAGUAAAACGUCAUAUAGGACAGUAUUUCUAGAACUUCUUCAUAAACAUCUGCAAAACAGAGUCAAAUUGCAUCAGCAAAUUUGAAGUAAAAGGAACAGUCAAGUUUAUAAAAUCAAAACUGAUAUUAACAUAUAAACAAAAUAUCUCUAUCAAACAUCUGAUAAUUAUUUGAGUUCUUGCAUCUUUACUAUUCCUCCGAUCCUAAAUUCUUGUCUCAAAUUUGCCCAAAUAUGGAUGUAUCUAUUCUUAAAAAGUGUCUAGAUGCAUGUAAUAUUUCGACAACAAUUUAGGAUCGGAGGGAGUAGCUAAUACAGGGGAAGGGAUAGAAGCUAAUUGAGUAAUUGUAACUACCUACAGGCUUCUAACGAAUUGAAAGGCUUGCUUCUCACUUUCUUAAAAAAGAUUGCUUUUACUACACCUCAAAAGUACCAACACCCUAAACAACCAAGAAUUCAAGUAAGGCGUAACUACAAAUUGAUUUGCAAACAGCUAUAGUUGAGACUAUAUUAUCCUUGAAAUGUAACACAUCCAUUAUAAUAAUCAGACAAUACAUAUACCUUGACCAUCUGAAGUCAACAUCCUGCGCAAAAUAGGCAACAAAGUGGACUCUAUUUGGAUAAAAAGAUGGGGAAGAUUGCUAACGGACUCAAGGAUUGUGCUUAAAGCACGCAAGCAACCUACAGCAGCUAAAGCCCCAGAGUCCUCAACCUCAUCAUCAGCUUCUGAACUAGCCAUGCAUCUCCAGAAGACAGCAGCCUAUCAACAUUAGUAAGCAUGAAGUUUCAGCAAGGUAGCAGCACUGCAGCACAUAACCAUAUUGAGAUAAAUAUAAAUCAAGGAGCAACAUACCAAACUCUGGCACAAUCCAAGCGCAUAUGGUGCCAUCUCUUCACCAAAUCUAUCAACAAUUGUCUCAAGAGUGAAAACAAGGUCCUCAUUCUCAACUUCACUCAUAAGCUUAAAAAAUUCUGCAAAUAAAAUAAAAAACAAUUAAACCAAGACAAAACGACAUCCAUAACAAGGUUGAAGAAAGUAGUUCCUACCAUCAAGAAGCUGAGGAAGAAUUGGACGGAUCUCAUCUAGAUCUGUAGAACAAGAUAGGACUUGUAAUGAACAAAUAAAACAAGAUCAACAAGUGACUAAGAACCUAGGAAAUGGAAUGAAACUUACCUUUGCAUGCUUCGACAAAAGAACGGAGAGCAAAGACUGAAUCAACCCUGACAGGAAGUUCUGGAUCACGCAAACCAGAUAUAACACAAUGCAUAGCUUUGCGAAAAUUAUCCUGGUCUGAGAAGUUGAUGUGCGCAUACUGCCCAGCAACCCAUGCUGCCUAUUUAUUAUUACCCAUAUAAUGCAUUAGCUUGAUGUGAACAAAAGUAGUGAGUAUAUCUAGGAAAAAUUAGGAGCAAUGAUUUUUUUUAACUAAACUAGAACACCGUAACAGAAAUAAAGAAAAAUAACAAAAUCGAUCCUAAAUAGUACUCACUCCAAUCCAUAAAAAGUAUCGUCCAUUUUGUACUAAGUUAGUACAAAUUUUGUACUAAGUGGCGACACUUUUUAUGGAUCGGAGGGAGUAGAUAGCAAACUUAUAUUAAUUAUAACAGAGCAAAUUAAGUGCUCUGUAGACGAAUUUGAAUAAAAUGUCUCCUAAAGAUAAUAAUCAUUUCAAAUGUGGCAACAGCGGUCACAAUUUGCAGUCAAGAGAGAUGGCAGUCGUGCAGCGGGCAGCGGCACGAUCAUCUCCGACGGCGUUAGAGCAAUCACAAGCAGCGUCUCAGACAGGGUGCGCUCGAGUGGCGGGUCGUCCGGUCAUGCAACACACAUGCAGGCAUGUAUGCAGAGGCAUAUGCACGCAUAUGGCCCGUGUCAGAUGCUUUGGAGCUGGAGGGCUUGAACAAGGAUGUGUGCAAGCUGAGCAUUAAGCAGCCCCAUACAUUUGUACAUUGGUUUCUCUUUGCAUGGGAGUCAGAAAUAGUAUCAAUCUCUACAUAAAGCCAUGUUGCACUUCUAGAGGAAGGAACUACAUGCCACAAAGAGAUCCGGACAAACUGAAGAAGGCAGAGAGUGCAGAUGAGCUGGGCACACAAGACUACAAGAGAAUGAAGGGUGCGCCAUCAUCUCCAUUUUCAACAUCCACAUGGAAAAUUCAUGCAGGUCUCUCUGACAAAAGUGGGGCCAUCAAGGCCUUGGUCCUUGGAGCUAGCUGACAGCACGAGGACAUGCUCUCUGGCGAAAGGGGGUGUAGUGUUACGGUCAUGGGGGCAGCAGAAGAUAGGCAUAAACGUGAAGGCAUUGGAUAGAUCAUGUUUAGAUCAAGUAAUAUGUAUCCUGGUUUGAUACGAUUGGGUCUAUUAGGAAAUAGUUCAGUCCGUAUUCUGACCAGGAUAGGGCACUCACCCUCAACAAUCUAGCGGCAGGCUUGUCCUUGACAUGAUUAGAGAGGCUCCGAGGCUUUGGGAAACUUUUCAUUAUUGGUUGAUUGGUUAAAACUAUUCACUUUUUAGGGGCCAGAUCCAAAAAAUGUCUUUAGCAGGGCCCCUACUAGGGUCACUAUUUUAGGGAGGCCCCUAAAACACCCCCUGAAGCCCCUUUCCUAGGGGUCCCUUGGGGAGCCCCUAUCCUCCCCUCCGCCCAUGCCCCUAUCAGAGUCAGCCUUUGCAGAUGCCUUUGCAGCACUGCCACCACCCCACGACGUCACAAUUCCGGCCCACCCCCUACGCUCCUCUGGCCGCAUCGUCUCCACAUGUGAGGAGUGCUUGUGGAGAAGAAAGAAUAAAUAAAUAAAUAAAAUACUAGUCCCUGACAAGUAGGUCCCACAUGUCAAAGAAAAAAAGGGCUGUGGAAUAGGGGCCUGGGCCAUUGCUGAAGCUCCUUGUAAUUUUUGAAACCCUAAAAAAUAGGAGAACCCCUUUAUGCUGUUUAGGGGCCCUGUUUUAGGGGCUACUGCUGAAGAUGCUCUUAGGGCAUCUGCAAAGGCUGACUCUGAUUGACUCCUAUUUGACAUUAGUUGAUGUGGAAGUAAGAGAAAUAGGAGAGGAGAGAAUUGACUCUUCGUGAAUAGUCAGACACUUAAGGCAGGAAUCAAUUAAGAGUCAGCUAAGAGUCGACCUUUUAACCAUUGUAUAACAUCGCAUUUAAUGCUAAGAACUCAUCUAGAGUCAGUUUAAAGACACAAGCCAUUGCACGCGUUAUUUUACUGUUGACUACCUGACAUCGAGAGCCAGUACUGACUCUACUAUUGCGUAUGCCCUUACCUGCUAGUCAUUUAUAUAAGACGACUUGGGGCGCGGGCCUAGUUUUGAAAACCGGACCGGUAAUCGAACCGGCUAGCCUCUCGGUUCGGGUUUUUCCGGUCGAACCGCCGGUUCACCGGUUGAACCGGUCUGGUUUUUUAAGAUAUAUAAAAUAAUCUAUUUUAACUAAAUACUGCAAAAAAAAUUCCCACUCGAGGUGCGUCAGUGAGCGGCCUGGCGGCGCUGCGGGCCGCGAGGCACGCGGCGGCCGGCGCCGAGAGCGGCGAGCGGGUGCGGCGAGGCGCGCAGCGGCCGGUGAUGGUGGCGGCGAGCGGGCGCGGGGAGGGGCGCGGCGGCCGGUGCUGGUGGCGGCGAGCGGGUGUGGGGAGGGGGCGGCGGCCGCCGCUGGCGCGCGGCUGCCGGUGCUCGGGGCGGCCAGGCGCGGCGGCGGGCGGGCGUGGGAUCCGGCGAGACGGGGAACGGCAAGUGAACCGGGCGGUUCGAGCGAAACCGCCCGGUUCCGGUUCACCUGGUUUUUCCCGGUCCGCUUGGCCGUCCGGUGCAGUGCACGAAACAGACCGCUGGGAGCUGCGGUUCCGGUUUUUUCCGAUCGGACCGCCGGUCCUGUCCGGUUUUCAAAACCAGGGGCGCGGGAUGGUGGCGUGGUGCUGCGGGAUGGAGCGUGGAGGCCAGGCGGAGUGGUGGCUGGGGAUGGCAAGACGGCCAUGCAUGGGCGUGAAUAUAUUGAGCACACUUGUCCAUAAGUCAGAUCUCAAUUCAAACUCAAGACUGAACCAUACCACUACUUUCCUAGUUUAAUUGCACUCUUCCUAAUUUAAGUAUGCCCUUUCUAUUAGACUCAAUCAUAUCCGACGAAGAUACAUACUACUUGAUUUAUUCCUUUUAAUCAGUCUUCCUAUCUCCAACAAAAUCUAUCCAAUGCGUUCACGUUUAUGCCUAUCUUCUGCUAUUCUGUGCACCCACGAUCACAACAAGCAUAGUACUUAGAAAAUUAGUUGAAAAAUUAGGAUCUUGGAUACAGUGUAAGUAAACAUUCUAACUAUUUCGGGUUUGAGGUGGUACAAAUUUCAGGGGCAUAGAAGUAUAUUUCCAACUUCUAUAAGUGAAGAAGGGAAGCAGAAAUGGGAAGUGGUAUACACAAAAGAGGUCGAACUGCUAGCCAUGUUUGAGCACAGUACCUUCGCGCGCAAGUGUCCACAAUGACUACUGAAUUCUGGAAAGACAUGUUGAACCAACAUUCGCUCCAGCUCAGCCUUAUAUGGAUCUGUUUGUUUCAAUCUAUCACAUAAUGUCCCAAUGGCAAGAAGUGCACCAUCUUUUUGGCGAUAUGGCUUCAAUUCAACAGAUGCUUCAUCAUACCUGCCAAGGUUUUCUGGUAUAAGAUAGUUCAUAAAGGCUGAGGCACACAAAAUAGGUCACAACUCACAAGAAUGACACAUACCUCCUAAAUAUCUCCACAAUAAAAUGGACAAACUUUUGUAGGUUGCCUUUUCCCCGUUUCCUUACCAAUUCACUCACAAAAUCCAUAGCGGCUGUUCGAGGACUAUACAAAUCUUCAAUUAUAUCUGAAUGCAAAAUAAUAAAAGCAACUGAAUAUAGUGCAUGCUACCUGAAAUAAUUUGUGCGAGUUAACGAUCAUGCUAAUUUUACCAUAGCCUUUCCGGACAUAUUCAUGCGGAUCUUCAUCCCAUAACAUUUGAUCAUUGUCAUUGAAGCACAUCAGUGGAAAUAUUAUCUCAAACAGGAUUAUGUCAAUUUGUGGUUGCAUCAGCUGAUACAUGCUGUUCUUUGUUACACUGCAAGAAAAAUGCAACCACAGGCAGUCACCUAUCAUCUCAAAGAUACAUAUAUAUUUUAUAAAUGUGGUAGACAAAACAACUGAUGCAAGAAUCAGUCAGAUUCAGAUAAAAAAAGAUGUCCAGGAAAAUUUCAACAUGCAACUAGUAAAUGUCAACUCAGCAUUAGAAAAUUUCAACAUUAUUUUUAGAUGAACAGAAAUUUCAACAGAAAUUAAGAACAUAUAACUAGUUACAGAACACACAUCCUGCAUGCCAAAUUCUUCAUCCUUAGGAAAUUCGAAGCCAAAUUUGUGACAUUAGUACUCAGCAUAGCAAAUUGUGUUACUGGAAUUAUGUAACAGAGCUAGAGAGACGCUCACAGCAAGCUCUGAGAGACAUCCAGAAAUAAGUAAAGACAGAGACAAAGGAUAAAAUGCAAUCAUAAUUAAGCAAGCUAGUUUGGAAUUGCAUCAUGCUGCUAGAAAAGAAAAACCUGACAUACCUGUUUGUAAGAUAUUGAAGGAUGAGAUUGAUAACCCUAUCGGGCAAAUAGCCACCAGUACGGAUUGCAUUGAGCAGCUGUAAAUGACAUCCCAAAAUUUUUCCAGCAUAGUUCUUUUGAAACAUUUGAGCAAAAGCUUUGCUCUCUGGUUUAUGAACCUUCAUAUCAGCAAACCUGUCAAUAACAAUCAGAAAACAAGGUCAAAACAAUGAUUAGCAACUUAAGUAACAAGUCAAUUCCAUACUGACCGACUGUAUAGGCGGUUCAAGAUAUGGGUAAUCCAUUUCUUGACUUUCCACCAGCCCCAAGCUUUCCUAGCAUCAGCAUCCAGUGGUUGCCCUUCCGCUGGAACUGGCCUUUCCAACAAGUUUAAGAAUAGAACAAUCCAUCUAUUGAAGAUAUUUGGUUCAAACAGUUGCCUUGGAAUUUCUAGCUGCACAAAGUAUAUGACAAGAACAUAAGCAGAGUAGAAAAACUGGGAAGAAAACAUAAUUUUAUAAGGCCAGGAACAUACAUAAAUUGAGGACCAGAAUAUUUUGCAGAUCAGCUUGAUCAAGUCAGCUACUUCAAUUGGAGGAUUGGCAAUCUGGACAAGUGUGCUCAAUAUAUUCAACAAACGAGGGAAACACUCCUCAACAAUUUGAUGCAAGGGUAUCCUUUCCUCCUCUGACUUGAACCUAAGCCAUGAAUAAAUAAGAUAAUUGUGCUAGUUCAUAUAAAUGGAACACAAUCAUCGUUUUGUGAUGUCAUCAAGCAAAAGCUUCAUUGUACAAAAUUUAUGUUCUGCAUCCUUCAUCUAAGCAGAAAUCUAAAAUAACAAUGCUAUCUUGACAAUAUUGCUCUGUGUUCCCUGUAGACAAUCUCCACAGCACUCUUCCAGAAAAAAUUAAAAUGUGUAGACAAAGUUUCACAACAAAAGCAACACAAAUAAAUCUUUAGUUAUUUUGAGUUAUGGAAUCAAAACAUGUCAAAGCAGAAUUACUGGAAAUGCAACUAUUAAGCAAAUAAAUAGAAGGAAAAGGUGGAGCAUAUACUAACUCAUAUUUCCUGGACAGGAUCCUUAGCACAUAUAGAGCUCCAAAAAUUUGAUCCUGUGAUUCAAGGUUAUGUGUAACCCAGUGUAGAAGACUAGGCCACUGCUCAGGAUAAUCUGCAAGGAUCAAGGUCUUGAUACUUUCUCCAAGCUGUGCUCUAAGAUAGUUAUGAAAGAUUUGUCAAUUAUCCAUAUGUUUCCCUAACAUCAACAAUGAAGAAUAAGAUGCAACCAUGGCUUAGAUCAAACUCAAACCUGCCUAGCCACAAGGCUGUACAAGAAGGCCAGUGCAAAGAUUAACAGGCAUCAACGAUUUGAAGAACCACAAGCUUGAAUCAAUUUGAACAAGGGGGUUUAUUGAAGAAUAAAAAGGAAAAGUGGGGCACACAUGGAUCUGACUUCACUAACACCAAGAUCAACGCCACAAUCACCAAAUAGAGUAGAAAGGAGAAAGGAGUAGAGACCAAGCCUAGGGCGUGUUCUCUGGCAAAACCGGCGCCAACGCGAGGGCAAGAUCUCCAGUCAAGAAGAGCCGCCAGACCCACCUCUCCGGUAGCAUACUCCUUCAAAAAAACGCCCCUAAGGCAACGAUGGAAUAUAAAAGGAGAGGGAAUUUGCCAGACCCUCCCUCCUCCUCACCCUCCAGCUGGCAAGGCCACCUGAGAGGAGGGAGAGAGCAGGCACGGUCGCGGAGCAGAUGGGAGCUGUAGCAACAGGAAGGAGAAGAGAGCAGCAAGGGUGGGGGGCAAUGGCCAGUGUCCCAGAAUUCAGUUUAUCUGGUUAAAAAAAUGCCCAUAUACCAGACACAUUUGGCACCACAACUCUUGCAAGAGGCUAUGACAGGAAAAAAAAAUCUUAGAAGAAAAAAAGGUGGAUUGCAACAAAGUUAUUUACCUUAGCAGCGGAGGCAAUUGAGUUACAAAGCCCAGUAUAUUCUCACGAACCAUGGACUUGUCAUCUUCUGGAAUUUUUCGCGUUUCUUCUACAUAAAGGGAAAACAUCGUAAGCUGUAGAAACACAUACGGGAAUUAGUGCUCGACUACUGCCCUUGACGCACCAGGAUCAAUAGGUGACCAGGCUUUUGAAACAAAGUUCUUGAAGUGAAUGCUUGCGACCUGUCUGACAGCCAUAUCACAAUUUCCAUCCACAAUUAUCUGUAACAAUCUCACCAGAUGUUGUGGGGUAUACUGAAACUGCAGGAACCACAGGAGCUUCAGUACAAUGGUCCAAACUAAAAAGCACAUAUGUAAAGCAUCGCAGCAACAUGAUUUAUAGAAGAAAAACACAGAUAAAUUCUGAAUAACAAUGACCAGUACUAAAGGUAAGGUCGCAUCAUUUAGAACACUCUACUUUGUUCCUUUGGGUAUUUACCAAGUAAUCACUGAGUAUAUGGUAUUUAGAAACGGCACAAUCACUAAGUAUACGGUAUUAUCACAGUAGAAAGCCUUUUGCUGCAAAAAUGAUGAUUGAAAUAAGAUAACUUGUGCAGAAUCAUUGGAGGCCCCUUAAUACAUAUAAAAUUUGGGGAUCCUACCAUGUUUCAGCUUUAAUGCCAGUCUACUUGAUUGAACAGGUUGAUAAGCCACCAUCUAUGAGAUGUCCAUGAGCUGGAUGUCAAUAUGCGAACUAGAACAUCUGUAUGAGCUAGGAAACUAAUUAAAUCCAACUACAUGGCAUUGUGCAGCAAGCAACAAACCAGCACAGAAGUCCAGCUCAUACAAUAUAGCAACAACAACCGAGUGGAUAUGGAACCAAGAAAUAUUACUGAUGUAGUAAUGCGAGUGAUUCGAUUGAGCGGGAUUUCAAGGUCAAACCCAAGCACGGAGAAACGCGGCAGUGAAUCGGGUUGAAAGUGAAAGUCGCCAAAAAGUGGCGGAAUGCUCUGGAAACCAAUUCGCCAAAAAGUGACCGAACGAACCACCACCCCAGUCGAAUCCGAUCCAUUACAGCGCGGCAACCACCGCAGGAAACCCGAUAGUGCGUCGACACGAGCAGCGGGGCGAGAGAGAAUAGAGCGUGAUCAAGGCGGCAGUGGGGCGCUAACCUGGUUGAGGCUGGCCUCAGCGGCUUUGCGCUCCUCGGGGGCGUGGCUGAGCGCCGCACGAAGCACUAGUGUCAGGUUGGUCAGAUCCAUCGCCGCGGCCAGGCUGACCUCGAGCACCGACGGCAGCAGCGGCAGGGCGGCGAGGAGCCAGGGCCGUGGGCGAGGCCGGAACCCCGAGACAGGGUUCUUGAUCGGCGACGAGGGAGGAUUGAGAGUGGGUGGGCGGGGGCGUGGAGUCGUCCUCACACUUCUGGCCUCGCGGAGACUUCGGAGGAGAGAAGCGUGCGUGCGCGCCGCGCGGGGCCGUGCGUGCCCGAGGCAGAGAAAGGGAGGAGUAGAUCGGUGUGGGUGGGGGAAGGGGGGGGGGGGACGGUAUUUAACUCUAGGGUUUGGUCAAGGGGUUUUGCUCGGCCUACACCCGAGCAGGCCCGGCCUGCGGGCACGACCGUCGACCGCUACUGUUUCUGGAUUCCGUGCGCCGCGCCGCGCUGCUCCGGGCGAAACUGGCCGCGGGGGCGGGCCAGAGAACACUCAACAUCAGUUCCGCUUGAGCAGGCCGACUUUUGUCCCUUCGUAAUUUUUCAGACUCAGCGGGCUCCUUAGAAACAACACCCGUAUCCAGUAUGUGCUAAGCCAAAAGAAUCCAUCUUAAGUCGUGACCUAAUUAGGGGUGUACCUAGGGUUUCCAAUAUACUCUGACGGCGCCGACGUCUGUGUCCACAAAUUCUACUUUUCUCCACGUUUAUUAGUUCAGGGAAGCUUUGCGCUGAUCACCUCGGCGCCCCUGCUCUGCCUCUGCCGUGUUGCCUGCAUGGCGAGCCAGACGAAUGAAGUGCCCCUGGCGGGCGAUGAUGUUAACCAUGCUGACAGAUCUGAACCGAGCUUGGAAGAACACCUCAAGAAACUGCAUCUGCAGGGGAGGAAGGUACGGAUCUGGAUUUCUCUGCCAAAUCGGAUGGAUUGACAGAGGGUGACGAGGGCAUCACUAGUCCUUUGUCAUCUUUGUCUAAUGAUGAUCUUGCUGUUCAAGAUAAACCCAAUGAUCUACGCAUUAGACCAAUUACACGAGCACGUGCCAAGUUAUUAGAACAACAGGUGAACUCACUCCUAACUGCACCUAAUGUUUCUAUUGAUGAGAAUUUUAUACUGUCUAAGUUUUUGUAUCUUUGUGUAAUCAGAUUUGAGGCUGAGGCAACCGUGGAGCGUGGAGCAGAGUAGGCCGCGUGCGAGGAUUAUCAUGUGUUGUUAUCCAACAUCAAGAUAUGCGUGAGCGAGGAGAGGGAGGCAGGCAUACCACAAAUGAAGAUGGAGGAUACAAAUCGCUAGAAUAAUAACUUGUGUGCAAGGGGCAGCCAACGACAAAAAUGAUCUGCCCACCACAAGUUGAGUACAAGUAUGAGGCGCACCAGGACAGCCUACGACAAGUCCGACACGUCUAAGGGGUGCCCGGACCUGCGAGUUCUCGUUUAAGCCAAGUCCCAUUCGGAUUGCCUGUAUGUGUCUGAGUCGAACCUAGUUUGAGUCUGAGUCUGAGUCCGUUUGCGUGUUUGGCUGCCCCUCGCCUAUAUAUACAAGGGGAAAGCCUAGGGUUAGGGUUAGAUCACGUUUUAGCUAUUUUCGAGGGUAUGGUUAAUUGUGAGAAGCAUUCAUCUGAAAUCCUAUACACCAUACUCGUUUCGAUUGGGUGUUUUUAUCUACUGAAAUUUCGAGCGUAAUCUGUCGUUCCACUGAGAAUUGGAAGAUUGCGAAACAGCUUGUGGUUGGCGGACUACUACGCAAAUGUGUGAUGUUGCGAAUUUCCAUUGGGUUGCAAGUUUGUCGUGCGGCGGCGAGUGAACAGCCGGAAGAUUUGUAGAAUCAUACAAGUUAUGCACGUUGCUCUCUGAGAAGAUCGGGCCACCCUUAUCAUCUUGGUAUCAGAUUUCCAUUGUUUACUCGGUGAGCAUAAUUUUACCCGUAGUUAGAUUUGGUUUUCAUUCUAUCCAGAAAAGGACAUACAAAAAAAUUUAGGUUAGAUUUUGCCAUAGCCUUAGUUGCACCGUUUUUACUUGUGUUUAGUUGCUGGUCGUUUUCCUUUGCGUAUCCUUUUCUUCCGUUUAGUUGAUCUUAUAGGUUUGUUUCCGAGUCUUUGUUCGGAUCCACCAGAUUGGUUUUUCUCCUUGUUCUAGUCGGAGUCGGCGAGAUCAGUUUGUGUUCGAGUCCUACUCCAAGUCGGUUUGCUGUUUCUGUGUCCAACACUUAGAUCGGUUUUCCUUUCCAAUCCGAGUUCUAUCUGGCUUCAGUUGGGGGUCGGUUUCCCUUUCCAAUCCGAGUUGUCGAGUCCGAAUACGUUUUGGUUUCCGAGUGAUAGCCUUUUCUUCUUUGUGUAAACUUACUUAUUUGAGACUAGCAUAUCUUUUGCUCUACGGGCUGCUCUUGUUUUUCCUUUUAGUAUCCGAUCUGUAAGUUGAUCCGAGUUCCGGAAAGUUUCGGACACAAGGAAAGAGGAGGGGAGAGCCAAAAAAAAAAGAGUCUGGAAACCUCUCCGAAAUUUUUUCGAGCCUCUACUAUUUUUACACUUCCGGAAUUGUUUUUAGCUAUCCGCCGUUCUAGCGGAAAAUUUGUGAUCCAAAAUUUGUUGUUUUCACGCAGCGACGUAGCUUUUGCUAGUGUCUCUCCUUGUGCAUUGCAACACGAGCUUUCCUCCGACGUAUAUCAUAUUUUCAGCUCUUCCAUGUAGUUGCAUUUGCCCCAAUUAUCUCCACCGUCUGUCUUUCCCUUGUGAGUUGAGUCAUACGAUCAGCACUAGGCCUUGUAAUUUGGUGUUGUUAGGUAUCCCAACCAAGCUCCACCUUAUACACCUUAGUUGUCGUGUGAUAGUCUUGACCCAUAAAAUUCGCUUGAUCACACACCCGUGUGUUUCAGCCACCGCGGUGAUAAGUAGCUUUUUCAAUUCACUUCGGAACGGUAAGAUACCUUGUUAUUUUCAAUUUUGAGUGAGUUGAGUGUUUCCACAUAUAUAUAUACACACUUGGUUGCUGCUGUUUUUGUGUCUACCAUGGCUAUAGAAGCUGAUCAGUACGAUGUGGCGAAGAAGCAAGAUGCUACAGCCCUGGUGCAGUUCUAUCAAUAUGAGGCGCUUUGUAUGCACUUUCAGCGUCAACUCGGCCUCAAUAUUGAUCCCCUCGCAGAGCAAGUGUAGAACAUGGAGCUGAAGGUGGACAAUACAGAGAAGACCGUGAAUGACACGCAUCAAUCUCUCACCGCGUUGCAGCAAUCGGUUGACGCGCUCCAGCGGUCCAUUGAUGCUAUUUAAACCACUUUGGAUGGGUUGCAAGGCGAUGAAGAGAGUGUCCAUGCUCGUGAGGAUGACGGCAGUCAACGUUAACGGUUUCAGCAAGUCAAUCGUGAUUGCCGAGUGCACGAUGACAUUCCCAAUCGUCGCUGGAUGGGUGGUCGUGGUGGUGGUCCGCAUGGUCGUGGAUUUGCUGAUCAUGAUGUUGACGGUGAUUUCAGGAAGCCACACCAUCAUGAUGAUGAUGGCUUGGGCAUGCCCAAGUUUACAAUUCCAAAGUUUGAAGGCUCCACUGAUGUUGAAGAGUAUCUCAAUUGGGAGCUGAAGGUUGAGAAGUUAUGGCGCAUGCAUGAGUACACCGAAGAUAGAAAGAUCAAGUUGGCGUCCUCUGAAUUUGAUGGUUAUGCUUUGCUAUGGUGGGAGAACCUUGUGCAAACACGAGAAGAGGAAGGAUUGCCCGCUAUUGUCACUUGGUUGUCUAUGAAGAGAGAGAUGCGUGAGCGUUUUAUUCCACGCAACUACACCCGUUCUAUUUAUGAUAAGUUGCAGAAUUUGAAGCAAGGUACCAAGUCAGUGGAUGACUAUCAUCAGGAGAUGGAGCUUAUUAUGCAGCGUGCCCGCGUACGUGAAGAUGCUGAACAAGCCAUGCAUCGUUUUCUUUCAGGUCUGAACUUCAAUAUUAAGCGCAUUGUCCAGCAUUAUCAGUACCAUGACAUCACAGAGUUGCUGCAUCAAGCACGUGAAGCAGAGGCUCAGUUGGCGGAAGAUGCGAAGUUUGCCGCACGUAAUACCGCUGCCAAGGGUCGUUUUACACCAUGGACAACGAGCAGCGUGUCUACUCCUAGUACGGUAUCCAGGUCACGUGGCACUUUCAACACCAAGCCCGAGGUUGCUGUUUCUACUACCAAGAAGCCGGUGUAGCCCGCUACUAGUUCUGCCUCGUCCUCUAAUUCCCCUGCUCGUAACAGGGAUAUCAUUUGCCAUACCUUCGGCGGACGAGGCCAUAUCCAGCAAGAUUUCCCCAAUAAGAGGAUUAUGCUUGUGAAUGAAGAAACCGGUGAAUAUGAAUCCGGUGAUGAGGUUGAUCCCGAAUCUGUUUUUGAGGAAGAUGAGGAGGAUCCCCAUGCUAUUGUUUAUGCUGAUGCUACACAUCUUCCAACCAUAGUUUGUACGCCAAAAGUUUUGAGUGUGGUGCCUAGCUCGGCCGAGGAGCGCCGUUGUUUCACACCAAGGUCAUUGUGGGACACGACAAGGCAUGCAAGGUGAUUAUCAAUGGAGGAAGUUGUCACAAUCUAGCUAGUAAAGAGCUUUGCACAAAACUGAAGUUGAAGUAUUUACCGCACCCCAAACAAUACUAUAUUCUGUGGCUUAGUGAUCACGGCGAGAUGAAGAUUAGCCACAUGGUGCGUGUUGAGUUUCAGAUUGGACCAUAUAAGGACACCGUUGAGUGUGAUGUGGUUCCUGUGACGGUGUGGCAUUUGCUUUUGGAACGUCCGUGGCAAUCAGAUCGAGAUGUUCGUCAUCAUGGGCGAGCUAAUACUUAUAGUCUCCAUUGGCAUGGCAAGGAGGUGAUCUUACAUCCUAUGACACCACAACAGAUUGUUAAUGAAUCUUGUCAAAAAGUUGAAGUAAAUCGUGAGAAUGAGCGUGAGAGAUUAGAUAGGUGAGCGACUCCACAUUCGGUGAGUGAGUGCCAAAAGCCAAAUUUGAGUGGUAAACAAAACAGUGAGGGAGAGAAUUCCUUAGUAAUGCUAGCCACCAAAUCAGAUUUGAGAGAGUUCAGCGAGGAUCCUACUUUGGAACCUUUUGUGCUUAUGUGCAAAGGUGUUCUUCUUUCUACUAACUAUAUAACCCCGCUGCCUAUUAGUGUUUCUCAUGUUUUGCAGGAAUUCAACGAUGUUUUUCGGAUGAAGUCCCCGCUGGUUUGCCACCAUUGAGAGGGAUUGAGCAUCAAAUUGACUUGAUUUCAGUAGCGUCGCUGCCCAAUCGUCCACCAUACCGUACGAACCCCGACGAGAUGAAGGAAAUUCAGAAACAAGUACAACCGCUUCUCGACAAAGGUUAUAUUCGCGUAAGCUUAAGUCCUUGUGUUGUUCCUGUUAUUUUAGUGCCUAAGAAAGAUGGUACUUGAUGCAUGUGUGUAGAUUGUAGAGAGAUUAAUAACAUCACUAUUCGAUAUCUAUCGUGGCGGUGUCACGGUAGAUGCCAUAGGAUGGCUUAACUUGGGGCCGAUGGACGAUGGAGGAUCCGGAGGAGGGAGGACGUGGAGGGAAACACGCAUAAAUCACACAAGCACACACAGAUCUACCCAUGUUCGGAGUCCUCUUGCCGAGGUAAGACUCCUACUCCUGCUUUCUUGUAUUAGCCGGGAUAGACAAGCUAUACAAUGGCGCUCCUUGAGCUGUAUUCUUAAGGAAGAAGAAGAAGAAGGGGAAAAAUCCUAGAUGUCUAAGUGCUCAGUCCCUCUCCACAGACAUGUCACACUGACAUGUGGGUCGAGUCUAACGUCAUCUUCUUUGGGCCCCGCCGGGCACGCGGCUUGGUUCCCUCCAGGUAGCACCGCAGGGGACAAGACAACUUUACUUUUCCCUGGCAUCUUGCAACGAGUAUAGCUAUCCUCUGCCGGCUUCCGUCAGAGAUUCUCUUUCGGUGCUUCUUUUGUGCAGUCACCUGGCACCGGUACGUAAGCGCUGACUGCUUUUCUGAGAUAAUGAUGGCGCUGCUUUACUCUGCACUGUGUGGUCAGGAUAAGACCGUUGAGAGAUCUCGGCCAUCGCCGAGAUGAAGGUGCUCGUUCUUAUCCUGCAAACUCAUAAGACAAGAUAGUCAUGCCGGCAUACGCCCGGGAUGCCGGCUUAGUGUUAGUUUGACGUUACGAUGCCGGCAUGCAUAACCAUGCCGGCUUUGCCUCCGUCAUCUCGGCUAGAGCAUGUCGUCAUGACCCUACCCGGGGUUAUACCCCCGACACUAGUCCCGAAGCUGUUGCGGUUCGGCAGGGAAGAAUGUUGGGCCACGACAGUUUCCCAUAGACAAACCAUUAAAGCCUACGAGGGCUUAGCCGAGGAGGAUGCCGAGACAACCCCGAGUUCUCUUACCGAGAUCAAGUUAUCCUGACAUAUCGGGUCGGCGCUCUUAUCCAGCCCCUGGCCGAGAUUUCUUCUCCUUCAUGCCCGACAGUGGAAAACUCACUCCUGCCGACUUUGAUGCCACCUGUUGCUUGUGAUCUGGGCUCUUCUAAAAUAACGGGAGGAUAAGACACGAGUUACUGCCGUUGCGCUUUUUGAGGUGAGCGCGUCGUCCCAUCGGACAGUAAAGCCGACAGAGCCAUUAAGAGGGGAAUUUGAGUUCCCACGCAGACACUUAUCCUCCCGGAUCUUGCGGGAUUCUCGGCGCCACGCCGCGCAGUAACCAAGCUUGUGCGCUUUAAUGGGGUUAACGGCUCAAGAACCGUGCGCGUUCUUCCCGUUGGCCACGGGGAUCGUGGGUGCGGAGGAUCCGCACCCCAUUACUGUGCCGCGGGUAUAAAUAACAGGGGGAGGGCGAGGGUAAAAAACCCUUCGCACUCCUCGCCUUCUUCGCAUUCCUCUGCUCUCUCGCUCCUUGCGCACUCUGCCGCCGUUGCUAGCUCGGAACUCCUCCGCCGCUACGGUUUCUUGCUCUCACCAUCGAGCUUGCCGCCGCUAGUUCGCUCGCAUCCGCCUGAGUCUCCGCCGCACUUGCUUGCUUGCCUGAGCCUCGCGCAAGCACCUUCCUCACCGAAAACUCCAAACCCUAGAUCUACUCUCCAUCCAUGGCGUCUUCUUCCCAGAACCCCGCCGUCGACCCUGCUGCUCAGCAGGCUCAGGAGAGGACCGAUUCCGAGCGAGCCGGCUGGGAGGGGUCCGAUGUCACUCCGGCGGACAUCGAGUGGCUCCGCCUCUCCUGGCGGAUCCCGGAGGACGUCGAAUCCCGGGUUCCCGGCAACGAGACCGUGCCGACUCCUGAGCUUGGUGAGCAUGUCGUUUUCCUUGCUCACUUCGAACGCGAUUUCGCUCUUCCUGCUAGCGAUUUUCUUAGGAAUUUCCUAGAUUUCUUUGGCCUCCAGCCGCACCACCUUCCGGCGAAUGCCAUCCUCACUCUCUCGGCAUUCGUCACUUGCUGCGAGGGCUAUCUCGGCCUCUGGCCCUCCAUCGACCUGUGGUCCCGGUACUUCAUGUUCCGGUCACAGCUUCUUCCUUGACAAGGAGAAUCCCGGCGCCGCGAAGCCGAUGACCCAAUGCGGCGCCGCCACCGUCAUUCCUCGCCGGGGUUCUGCCUUCCCCCGGAUUCAGGGUCUUGAGUCUUGUAAAAAAUGGCUCAAGACCUUUUUCUACGUCAAGAACACCUCCGACACCGACAGAAUCAACCUACCGGGAUUCGAAGUCGGCCCUCCGGAGGAGAAGAGCAACUAGACCUAUGACCCGAAGGAGACCCUCCCGGAGGUCAACAAGAUCCACGCCGGCAUCCUUGAACUCAAGGAUAACGGGAUGAUGGCUGACGACCUGUUAGCCACCUUCGUGUAUCGGCGUCUCUGUCCGCUCCAGCGCCGAGUACACAAGAUGUGUUUUUAUGGCGGCCAAUUCGACCCGGACAGAGUGUUGACCUUCAAGCUCACUCAUGCUGAAGUCCGGCGCCGGGUCAAAGCGAUCGCCAAGACAAACAUGUCGGAGCAAUGGACAUGGGGCAUGCCGGCAUUCAGCCGGGAUCGCCACGCUCCUCCGGUAAGUUUUUGUUCUCAUUUAACUCCUGUUCAUAUCCGACACAUGGUUAUGCCGGCAUUUAUCCGGCAAAGGCUUAUCUCUGCUCAACCUGAUUUCUUUAUGCUGAGGUUGUCUCUUCAGCAUAGCGAAGUCGGGAAUUCCCCGGACAAACGCUUUGCGGCCCCUCGCAGGUCCGUUGACGCCGAGGAUCCGGACUCCGAGGACUUCAUGCCGAUUGCCCAUGCCGCCCUCGUUGUGUCAAAUGUAAGGCUCUCCAACAUUUUCUCGCAGUCCUUAUAGUAUUCGUCACCAAAAUGCUUAUUCCUGCUUUAUCCCGGAAAUAGCCGACUCGGGCGAGCGUGCUGCUGUGGCGUUGGAUCCGGCUGCUGCUGUGGCACCGGUCCGGGAGAAACGCGCAGUCAUAAAGCGCGCCGCCGAGAAAGAUCUUCCGCAGAAUGUGAAGCGGAAGAAAACUGCGGCAUGUGGACCCAAACCCAAGCUCCUGAUUGCUGGGUAAGACCAAUAUUACCUCAAUCGUUGAUAUCAGUUUUCUUCUUUAUUGCCAUGCCAGCGACUAACUUUUACUUCUGUAGGGCGGCUUUGACGGCCACGCAAUCUUGGACGUGUAUCACGUCGGAGAUUCCGGUGGCUCCAUCUCCCCGUGCCGAGGCUGCGACCCAAGCCACGAGUGAGCCCGAGACCGCAGUGGAUCCGACAUCCUUCGUCUAGGAUGUCGGCCCGAGCGCAGACGCGCCGAACGUCGUCUCAGCCGGGACAUCCGCAGCCGGGACUGCCCCCUCCUCGGCAGCAACCGAGACGUUGACGGAGCCGCAGGCCACGGAGACAGCGCAACAGCUGGCAACGGGGCCUCAAGAAACCCAAGGGCCGCAACCGACUUCAACAGCUCCAUCGCUCCUGCAAAGGCCAAGAAGGCUAAGAGCUCCGCAACUGCGACGGGAUCGGCCCCUCCGGGUUCCUCUGGCCCACAGCCUUCUGGAAGGCACCAGGGAGUUCCCCUCCGAACGUCCAGUGGGCACAGCUGGGGGUCGCUGGGCCAGUUUGUAACGGACUGGAACAGCACCGACAAUUACGAGGUGACCUCCAGCACCCUUCAGGCGGCUCGGCAAAGCCCGUUGGUGGGACCUCCACCUGCGGCGACUCCAGAGUUGGUGGCUACCCGGAUGUACCAAGCAAGGGUGGCCUUGUUUGAGGCCAACCGAUCUGCAGAGUUAUGAAAAAUUUCUUAAAAGAUUUUGCUCUUAAUUCCAGCAUAGUAUCCAUACUCCUAGUGCCUGAGGUUUAGGGCGAGUAAGAAUUAAUCGGUGUGAAGCUUAUCCCCUUGAAAUUUCAAACACUCUGCAACACUUAGAAACUCCAAACACUUAUUCUCCGAGAUUCAGAGCGGGUUUAGAAUAGUCGGCCUGAAGCUUUAGAAGCUUCAAACACUUAUUUCCCGAAAUUCAAGCCGGGUUUAGAAUAGUCGGCCUCAAGCUUUAGAAACUCCAAACACUUAUUCCCUGAGAUUCAGGCCGGGUUUAGAAUAGUCGGCCUGAAGCUUUAGAAGCUUCACACACUUAUUCCCCGAGAUUCAGGCCGAGUUUAGAAUAGUCGGCCUGAAGGUUUAGAAGCUUCAAACGCUUAUUCCCCGAGAUUCAGGCCGGGUUUAGAAUAGUCGGCCUGAAGGUUUAGAAGCUUCAAACGCUUAUUCCCCGAGAUUCAGGCCGGGUUUAGAAUAGUCGGCCUGAAGCUUUAGAAUCUUCAAACACUUAUUUCCUGAGAUUCAGGCCGGGUUUAGAAUAGCCGGCCUGAAGCUUUAGAAGCUUCAAACACUUAUUCCCCGAGAUUCAGGCCAGGUUUAGAAUAGUCGGCCUGAAGCUUGUAAUUGCCGACCUCCUAUUGCACUAAACAAACCAGUGAAUUAUUGCUUUGCAGUCCUGCAUGAACAAGCGCACCGCUACCUUCAAGACUUUGCUAGCAAAGUACAAGAAGUUGGAGGAUGAGGUGAAGAAGUGCAAGGGUCUGGUCGCCGAGACCGAGACCCGCGCCGUUGCCGCCGAGAAAGAGGAUGCCGAGAAGACCCGACGGUUCAAGGUUGUCCGGCAUCAGCUCAUCGAGAUCGAGACCAUGCUGACCAGUAAGUUGCCUUGACACAAAUUUCUUCAUCUGAUCACUUGUCCGAGUAAUAGUAAUAAAAUGCCGAGACUCAUUACUAUCCUUUGCGCUUUUUGUCAGACUUUUUCCCACAAUCGGUCGAGACCGCCCAAGCCGCCGUGAUCAAGGUGCGUAGGAAGAGGGAUCCAGCCUGGACAACCCCUUCGAAUACGACUUAGAGGAUUAUCUGGUUAGCAUUGCUAGCCGGGUAAAGCCUCUAAAAUCGUUCGGGGUGAACAUGUUGAACGUCGGCAUCUGUGCAUUCCGGGCUCUGUGGCCGGGAGAGGAGGCUUCGACCGGCAUCCCCGAAUUGGCAACGCGCCUGCUGGAGGGGGGGAUCGCCUCAACGAGUGGCGGGAAUCGGCCGCGCGCGACGGCGCCGACGAGGCCUUGUCGUUCGUACUAUCUUGGUACGACGGCAUCAACCUUGACAUGCUGCAGUCAAUGCGUGCCGGUUCCCCCUACCUCACGAACCCCGAGCUGGUUGCGAAGCGCAAGGAGCGGGCCUAUUCCUUCAUCCAGUAUGCCGACGUGCAUACAUUUGUGGAGGGCCCGACAUCUGAAGCAAAGGCCGAGAUGACCGACGGAGACGUGGAAAAGGCAGUGGAUGAGGAGAUCGCCGUCGAGUCGGCCUCCACCGUGAUGGAUGCUCCGAGUUCCGGCGCCAACAACCCUUCUGUCUCUUUUUAGCUAUGUCAGAAAAAACUUUAGAAUUAUCAGAUCCUCGGAAUGCCGGGUGCAAAUGUAACCGGAAUACCAUACUUUUGUUUGCAAGGCACCAUGUUUUUAAUUUAAUUAAGUCUUUUGUUUAUCGAAUUUCCGACCGAGUCCCCGAGUUCAUCUUUUCUCUUAGUGAAAUUUUAUGACUUCGGUUCUUUUGUCUGCCUGAUCGGCGUUCGACGUAUGAAUCGCAAAGUGAUAAAACCACCCUUUCGAAAAAAGUAACUCGAUGGAUUCGCUUGGCAAUAACCGAGUUAAGAAAGAAAUGCCGAGUUAAAAGAACGUGCAUCUUGGAUCGCUUUAUUGCUUGUUUCCGCAAUCACUUUUCAUGUGUUCGGUUAUCUUAUACCCGUCUCUAGCUUGCCAUGAAGCCGAGUUGCGGACAACAGCGAAGUCAUAGAGGGGAUUUUCAACACCGACACAUUACUAAACUGACAUAAGAUUACACAACUAAGCCAUGCCGACAUACGAAAGAUAAUUGCAAUACAGCACUUAAAUGAUAUGGAAGUCCCCGAGUUUCUUUUAAGAACCCGACGGAUAAUUUCAUUGUCUUAAAAGAUUCAGCAUAAGAAAAAAACGAUACAAAUACUGAGCUCUCAAGUAUAGAACGGACGAAGCAAAGCGACGUUCCAUGGCCGCUUGGUCUCCUCGCUUGACCGGUCCAUCCUUUUCGCCUUGGGAUCUUGUGCAUCUAUAAGAUAGUAGGAAUCAUUGUGAAGCGCUUUGCUCACAAUGAAGGGUCCUUCCCAUGGGGGUGAUGGUUUGUGCAUGCCGGCUGUGCGCUGCACAAGUCGGAGGACGAGGUCCCCUUCCCUGAAUACUCGCGGGUUGACCUUUUGGCUGUGAUAAUGCCUUAGGUGCUGUUGAUAGAAGGCCGACCGAGACAGAGCCAAUUCCCGUGCUUCUUCGAGCAGGUCGACUUCAUUUUCUCGGGCCUCUUUUACCUCGGCGUCCAUAUACAUGGUUACUCGUGGAGAGUCAUGUUCAAUGUCGGCUGGUAGGGCACGAGGAAGAAUGGCGUGUAGCCUGUAGAGUGAUUGGGAGUCGUCCUGAGACUCCAUAGCACAGCCGGGAGUUCGUCCAGCCAGCAUCCCGGAGUACGUUCCAAUGGUUUGAUUAGCCGAGGUUUUAUGCCGGCUAAAUCCGUGCCGUUUGCUCUUUCCACUUGUCCAUUGGACUGAGGAUGUGCUACGGAAGCGAUAUCCAGGCGGAUUUUCUUUUCCGCACAAAAUCGCGCGAAAGGUCCCUCUGCGAAGUUCGUUUCAUUAUCCGUGAUGACACUAUGCGGGUACCCAUAUCUCAAGAUGAUGUCCUUCAGGAAUGAUACCGCAGUUUUGCCGUCACACUUUCGUAUCGGCUUCACCUCAAUCCACUUGGUGAACUUGUCGACCAUAACCAAGAUAUGCGUCAUGCCUCCUCGCGCCCGCUUGAACAGUCCCACCAUAUCCAAACACCAAACAGCAAACUGCCAAGUGAUUGGAAUAGUCUUGAGCUCGGAUGCCAGCAUAUGAAUCUUGAUGGCAUAUCUCUGGCAGCCGUUACACUUCCUGACCAUGUCUUCUGCUUCCUGUAGUGCACUUGGCUAGUAGAAACAAUGUCGGAAUGCCUUGCCCACUAGCGUUCGUGAAGAUGUAUGAUGGUCGCACUCUACCUGAUGAAUAUCCCAGAGUAUUUCUUGCCCUUCUUCUGGAUCGACGCAUCGCUACAGGACAUUUGUGACACUCCUCUUGUAUAGCUCUCCAUUGAUGGUGGUGUACGCCUUCGCCCUUCUCUGAAUUUUGUCUUGCCGUCACUUCCUCUUCUGGGAGACUCACAUCCUUGAGGGAGGACAUUAUCGAUUGCACCCAAGCCAGCACAGGACGAGUAGUGAAAAUCGGUUCAUCCGGUACGUCUACCUCCAUUGGCUCAAUUGCCAUUGCUUUUGCCGUGUUCAGGCGCUCAGUCCCCGGGUUACCGGAACUGUCACCGCUGUCAAUGUCCAUGGGGGUGACAUCGGCUUCUGAGCUCGCCGGGAUAAAUAUCGAUUCCGAUUUUGGUGUUGGCUUGAUGGAUGGUUUGCGUUAAUGCUCUAAUGCCACACCAGCCGGAAUAGCCUGUCGCGUUGAGCCGAGUUUCGAUUGUGUGUCGGCUGCCUCAUUUUUCGUCUGCGGUAUAUGGUGAAACUCGCACCCUUCAAAGUAACCACUGAUCUUCUGAACGUGGAAACGGUAUAGCGCCAUAUUGGCAUCUAAUGCAUCCCAAUUGCCGGAAGCUUGCUGGACUACCAGAUCGGAAUGACCAAAGCAUUGAAUUCGGCGGACUCCAAUUUCUUUCGUCAUUUUCAGUCCGUGCACAAGUGCCUCAUACUCGGCAACAUUUUUGGAUGCUGCGAAGUGAAUUUGCAAUACGUACUUAAGUUGGUCGCGCUUUGGCGAGGUCAGAACUAUGUAGGCACCAAGCCCACUUUUCAUCUUAGAGCCGUCAAAAUGCAUUUUCCAGUAGUUAGUUUCCGGGGGCGGUGGUUCAUACUCCAUCUCAGCCCAAUCCACCAAGAAAUCCGUCAGAGUCUGAGAUUUCACCGCAUCUCGUCUGUCGUACUGCAGCGCAUAAGGUGCUAACUCGACGGCCCACUUUGCGACCCGGCCGCUCGCGUCUUUGUUAUUCAUGAUUUUCGAGACGGGCGCCUCACAUAUAACUCGGAUCUGAUGUGCCUCAAAGUAAUGCUUCAGCUUCUUUGCCACCAUAUACACGCCAUACGCCAUUUUCUGGUAAUGGGGGUAAUUCUGCUUAGACGACGAUAGCACCUCACUCAAGUAAUAUACCGGCCUUUGCACCGAUUUGUCGUUUUAAUCUUUUUCCACCAACAUGACGGCGCUAACGACUCGGUUCGUUGCUACUAUGUAUAACAGCAUUGGCUCCUUCUCCAUUGGCGAGGCUAAUAUUGGUGCCGUAGCAAUCAUUUUCUUCAGCUCCUGGAAAGCUAGGUCUGCCUAUGGCGUCCACACAAAUUUGUCGGUUUUCUUCAUCAGCUGGUAUAAGGGCAUAGUCUUUUCAUCUAGCCGACUAACGAAACAACUCAGCGAUGCUAGGCAUCCAGUGAAUUUUUGCACAUCUUUGAGGCACUUCGGCAGUUUCAUUCUUUCUAUAGCGGCAAUUUUCACAUGGUUCGUUUCUAUACCUCGGCUUGAUACCAGAAACCCGAGCAAUUUUCCUGCCGGCACACCGAAUGUGCAUUUGGCUUGGUUCAGUUUCAUUCGGAACCUCCUCAGAUUUGCAAAUGUUUUCCGGAUAUCAUCCAGGAGCGUGGCGCUUUCCUUGGUUUUUAUGACGACAUCGUCGACAUAUACCUUGAGGCCUUGAGUCAUUGUAAUGGGCUUGGACUCUCCCUGAGACCUAGAGUCUUGCAUAUAUAAAAGGUCUAGGAGGGGGGAGCCAGGACAAGCAACAACGAGCAAGCCUCUCACAUACACCCAUCUCCACGUAGAACCCUAGAGUCGCGAGACUCCCCUUCGCCAGAUCUACUCUGCGCAUCAUAGCCCCAGCGGCUCCAUUGUAAUCUCUCCAUCAAAAUCAAGAUCAGACAAGCAGGACGUAGGGGUAUUACCUUCCGAGGGCCCUGAACCUGGGUAAAUCGUGUCCCUUGUGUCCUUGUUAGCUGACGGAGUUGCCGAUACGCACGCUACGUGUCUUCUCCCUGAUCUAAAGCUCAUCAACAUGGGCAUUGUCAAAGGUGACCCUUCGUCAUUGGCGCCGACCGUGGGGAAGACGUGUGUCGGAUCUACGAUUCCAGCGGCCUCAUCUUCAUCAGGCGAGUCGUCGACUCAGAUUUGCGAAUGUUUUCCGGAUAUCAUCCAGGAGCGUGGCGCUUUCCUUGGUUUUUAUGACGACAUCGUCGACAUAUACCUGCACAUUUUUGCUGAGCUGAUCGUGCAAACAUUUCUGCAUGCAUCUUUGAUAAGUGGCCCCUGCAUUUCUCAAACCAAAUGGCAUAGUGCGAUAGCAAUAAUCCCCGGACGGGGUGAUAAAUGAUGUCUUUAUUUGAUCAUUAGGGUUCUGUGGUAUCUGGUGAAAACCAGAGUAGGCGUCUACAAAAGACAGCAACUCACACUCGGCAGUGGAGUCGAUCACUUGAUCGAUCCGAGGUAACGGAAAUGGAUCUUUGGAACAUGCCUUGUUUAAGCUGGGGUAGUCGAUACACAUGCGCCAUACCUUGGCAGUAGUUGGGUCAUCUUUCUUCUUCUCAACCAUGACCGGGUUCGACAGUCAGUUGGGAUGCAACACUUCCAUGAUAAAGCCGGCAGCUAAGAGCCGGGAUACCUCUUCCGAUAUGAAUUUUCUUCUGUCGUCGGCGAAGCGUCGAAGGGGCUGCUUCACCGGUCUUGCAUCUGGUCUGACAUGUAAUGAGUGCUCAGCCAACUCCCUCGGCACACCCGACAGGUCUUGAUUUGACCAUGCAAAGAUAUCCCGAUUCUCACGGAGGAAGCUGCUGAGCUCGCCUUCCUAUUUCUCUCCCAGGCCGGCACCAAUGAUGACUGACGUGGUUAUGACUAAUCACGUACUCAACUCAAGGAUACCCGUCAUGGCCCACCACGGGGUCCAUGAGGAGAACGACUAGAACUCCUGGAGUCAACAUGCCAAUCUUGACGACUCGAGAUAAGGAAGCUUUAAAUAUAACAUAUCUCAUCAUCGUAAUGGGCUUGGACUCUCCCUGAGACCUAGACUCCUGCAUAUAUAAAAGACUAGGAGGGGGGGAGCCAGGACAAGCAACAACGAGCAAGCCUCUCGCAUACACCCAUCUCCACGUAGAACCCUAGAGUCGCGAGACUCCCCUUUGCCAGAUCUACUCUGCGCAUCAUAGCCCCGGCGGCUCCAUUGUAAUCUCUCCAUCGAAAUCAAGAUCAGACAAGCAGGACGUAGGGGUAUUACCUUCCGAGGGCCCUGAACCUGGGUAAAUCGUGUCCCUUGUGUCCUUGUUAGCCGACGGAGUCACCGAUACGCACGCUACGUGUCUUCUCCCUGAUCUAAAGCUCAUCAACAUGGGCAUUGUCAAAGAUGACCCUUCGUCAAUGACGGUGCGGUCCGGGAACUCGCUGUCAACCUGUACCUUCUUUGUCUCCUUGGCUGCUUGAAAAGCCACACUUCCAUGGGGAUUGGUCAUAUCCGGCAGGCCAAUUUGCGCCGCCUGAGCCAUCGCAACAGCCUCUUGUAACUUCUUCUUCUCGCCAGCGAUGACAAGCGACUCGGCUAGAGCAAAUCCGUCCGCUGCACACUCCAUUGAGCGUUUGUAGUUGCCAGCAAUGGUUAUGGUACCAUUUGGUCCCGGCAUCUUUAUCUUCAGAUAGCCAAUGUGAGUAGUAGCCAUGAACUUGGCAAGUGCCGGUCUGUCAAGCAGCGCAUGGUACGGACUGCUAAGGCCACCACCUCGAACACUAGGUUCUCAGUCCGACAGUUCUUCCUGGUGCCAAAUAAGACAUCCACUAGGAUCUUGCCUCCCGGGGCACAAGACACUCCCGGCACAAUACCGUGAAAGGUAGUCCGGCUGGGCUCAAGCAUGUAUCAGUAAUGCCGAGCUUAAGCAUCGUGUCCCGGUACAGGAUAUUGAUGCUGCUCCCAUUAUCAAUGAGAACCCGAGUGAACUUGACGUUAAUGUCGGGCCCGAUGAGUGUUGGGUCGACCACCAGAGCAUAUCCACCAGGGUUGGGCAUAACCUUAGGAUGGUCUGCCUGGUUCCAGUUGAUCUCCUGCUCCGACCAAUACAUGAACUUUGGAACAACCGGCAUAACAGCAUUGACCUCCAUCUCUCGCCUGCGCUGACUUUGCUUGUCAGUUGGCUCAGUGAUGAAGAUCAUGUAGCUUUGGUGAUUGAAGCGAUCCCCCUUCACCAACGGUUCGAUCUCUGUGCUUACUGUGCUAGUCCCUGGAUCGACUCACUAGCACACACAGUUUCAUGAUGAAAUAUACAGAAGCAAAGGUCAAAGUACUUUAUUACAUCGCAUCAUCCAGAAUUUAAUAAUACUUACAACCUCGCAUGACCUCCUAGGCCAGCAUAACAAAUAAUGUUCAAAACCAUGAUAACAAUGUAUGAUGAAACUGCAGUGGAAAGGUAGAGUAAAAGGGCCUCAUCUACUCCCAGAGGAGAGAGCAUGUUGGAAUGUAAGCACAUGACACAAAGAAAUAUCGACGAAUCUCACUCUUCGUCAGUUUCACCUGCAUUAUUAAUUGCAGCCACUACGUGGUCAAUACAUUUGAAUGUAUUGGCAAGCUCACUAGAGUUAUAAAGGACCUACCAAGUACAUGCAUAGUUUGGCUAAGUGGGGUUUGGCUACUUUGCAUAAAAACAUCAUUAUUCAAAUCCUAUCGUUUGUUUUUAGACAAAUAGUUUUGAAUUCUAUUGGACAUGGGGUAGAAACACCCAUGCUCCUAUUAACCUAGGCACAUUAAGUAGAAACAUCAAUGCUCCUACCUAGUUCUAACCAUUCAUUUUAUUAGGAAAUUAGAAUGAGUGAGACUUUCCUUACAGCCCCAAUAUCCAGUUGCUCAUAAUUGUCCGUAACCGGGGACACGGCUAAGUACUUAGUUUGACACCCUCGAGAGGUGGUACACUUUACCCACAAGAAUUCGACGUGUUAAUCCCUUGCUGUCCUCCGGGUGGAGUAGCAACGGCAUCGACUUCAAGAAUUUUCAGAACAUGUUCACCCAAACCACCUGAGGGACCCGCGCUCCCACCUACACAACUACCUCAGUACAAUCCCUCGGAUCUGGGUAAACAUUUCUUACUCCAUCCAGGCAGAGCCCAUAUUACCAUGUGGUUGUACUGGAAGCUACUAAACAGGAAACUAGUCCAGUCUCUGGUUAUCCCGGGUGGCAUCCCACAUUGUGACGAAGUCGCUCCCCGAAUCCACGGGAGAGACGUCCAUGGACGAUCCAUCUCCGAAUCCACGGAGACUCGACUCAGAGGGACCCAUAGAAAUGGACCUAACGUCAUGACAUCCGAAUACUCAAAGCAGCCCACAGGACGGUUCAUUGAAUUACUUGUUUUGCCAUACACAAGGAAAACUAUAUUUGUAAUUCAAUAGUAUCACAUUGUAAUAAUACCACCCUCGUAUAUUAUCAUAGCAUAGCAUUUUACUACUACGAUGGCAAUUGGUGGUAAGGUCAUGACAAAGGGUAUCCUAUACUAGUAGGACAGAUCAUAGCUAGUAUAGAUACAAUAAUAACCCUAACAAUGCAACUAAUAAAAUCUAGUGCAUAAUAAAAUAAUGGGUAAAUGAUCAAAGUGAACUUGCCUUGAUAGUAGUUGGUAUUCAAACACUCUUCGUAAUCACACAGUUCGCUCUCCGAGAAAACUAUACAAUCAGGCAAACAUACACAUACAUAAACACACCAUACAAACAAAGAAUAUGUAUGCCAUGAUGCAAUGCAAAUUAUGUGACAUGAGUUUUGGUUUAUUUUAUUUGGGUGAUCUACUGAUUCAAAGCAUUGAUAAUUAAGCACAUGCGAUUAGGGUUUUUAAACAAAAGCAAAAGUUAGGGUUUAAAACCUAAAAUGAGGUUUUAUUUGCAUCUGCAAAGCAAUUUAAUUCAAAAUAUUUAUUUCUCUGCCCCAUUGAACAGAGCACAAUAAAACAAAUUUUUGGGCUCUGGUUUCAUUCAAAAAGGAUCUCUAAAUAAUUAGUUAUGAUUUAAACGGCAUAAAACCCUAAUCUGUAAUUUGAAUGUGAUUCAAAUAAUCAAAUUUGAAAUUGGAAAGUGCCAAAAGAUCACUAAAUUUGGCCAAUUAGAUUUAAAGUUAUGAUCAUUUGAAGUUACAGGGGCCUAUCUGCAAAAAGACCAUUUAAUUAUUCCGGGGGGGUUAAAAUUACAUUCUCAUUUUAUAAACCAGGGGCCACGUGGCGCGUUAUUAUUGGACGGUACCGGUUCGGUUUAUAAAUAUAUCCGAGCCAUUAGAUCUAACUUAUAAAGAUCGGACGCUCCAAAGUGCGUACCGGUUCGUUUUAUAAGUGAUCUAAUCCUAGCCAUCGAUCUAGAUCGGACGGACGAGAGGCUAGGGUUUCUUACCGGGCGGCGGCGGGCUGCCGGAGUUGGAGGAGACGGCGGCGCGGGCACGGGCGCGGCGGCGCGGGGCGCUCCGGCGAGGCGGGCGACGCGGGGGUGGUCGGGAACGGCGCGGCGCGGCACGACGGAGACGGGGGCGCGGUCGGCGGCGCUCGGGGAUGACACGGUCGGCGCCUAGGACGAGGAAGACGCGACGGCGCGGGGCGGCUCCGGCGAAGCUUCGGGCGGCGGUGCGGGCGGUGCUGCAGGGCACAAAGAUGGAGAAGGAGCGCGUCAAACGAACCGCGAGGAGGAGAGAAAGAAUAUGGGGGAGGUCCGGUCGUUCUGGGCGUACCGUGUAGGUGACGGCGAGCUCGGGACGGCGGCGGGCACGGAGCUACUCCGGCGAGCGAUUCCGGUGGCCUGGCGGCGUGCGAGCAGGGGCGAGAGCUUUAAAGGGACGCGAGAGGAGCACUUCGGGAAGGUCCGAGCAGACAGGGCGGCAGAGAUUGCGCGCGGCGGCGUCCAUGGCAGGCGGUGCGGGGAUUGCGGGAGCUUUCCCCGCGAGGACGAAGCCCUCUUGACAGUUGGGCCCCACCUGUCAGCGGGUGCAGGGCGCGCGCGCGGACCGGGCAGUCGGGGCCGGUCGGGCGCGGGCGGACUGGGCCGGUUCGGCCCAUUUUGGCCGGGCCGGUCCGGUUUACCCCUUUUUUUCUUUUAGGCCUUUUCUUUUUCUGUUUUUUUCUCAUUUCUUUGAUAUCUUUUGUGUUUGAACUCCAAAUUGGUCCAAAUAAAUUCCAGAAAUUUGUAAAAUCAUUUUCUACCAAGAUACAACUUUUGGGAGUAGUUUCCCCUCAAAAUAAAAUAUAUAAAAAUCAUUUGUCCUAUAAAUGCCGUUAGGGCUAUAUAACUAUUUGAAUAUAAUACUUUUUCAACUCCAAAUAAUUAUCCAAAAACUAUGAGAUAGCUUAUAUAUGCAUUAAACCCCUUUUAUGCAUAAACCCUAUUGGUUUGAAAAUUCCAAAGCUCAAAUGGGUGUAAACCAAAUCUUUUAAAGACUUUUGAGAUUCAAAUUUGAAUUCAAACAUGCAAUUGUGGCACGAUGCUCAUGGAUGCAAUGCACUUGUAAAGGUUUGAAAUUUUGGGAUGUUACAGUGAUGCUCCUUGUACUCAUUUCUUCUGACAUAACCCGGGAUAUCUUGGUCUUCCACCUGGUUGACAUCAUUGUUUUCCUGAGGGGGUCCAUGGAUCUGUGCGUUAGCGCCUGUGAGCGGUGGAGGGGUGGGGUGGGGGGGUAACCGACUUGCCUUGCCCUUCUCGGCCCGCUACAUCCAACUGCAUUGCCGCGUUGUGUGAUUCGCCGGCUUGUUGGGGUUAGUCGUGUGGAAAUGACAAGGCUGAUCCAGCAUCACUUCAAACGUAUACUUUGGCUUAUCUUGCCAGGGCUUCUUUUGUUCUCCCUUCUUGACCCACUGCUGAUUUCCUGUUUUCUGACGCUGACUAGGGCCAGCAUCAGGUUGAUCCUGAAUAGCGGCGACAUGGGCUGGCCCAUAUCGGUAAUCCGGCCUGUCAUCCCUUCUCUUGUUGCGGUGAUCUUGAUGAUUGUUCCUCCGGAAUGCCCCGACUGGAUUGUAUGUCGGCUGCUCCCUUUGCGGUUCUGCCGGCAUCAGCAAUGGCUGAGUUGGAUCGCCAAGCGCAUACAUGUCGACGAUCCGAAUCAUCUCAGAUAGGGUAGCUGGCAUCUUUCUUUGCAGCUUCUGCCACAACAUGCUGCCGUGCCGACAUCCUUGGGCAAACCAAGCUAUGACUUGUGAUUCCACUAUCCCUUCACAGAAAUUGUGGAGAUUGUUCCAUCUUGUCAGGUAAUCCCGGUCAGUCUCGUUGUCUCUUUGCUUGCACAUGGACAACUGCUGAGGGCGAUUUGGCCUCUUGUAAGUGCAAGUAAAAUGGCUGACGAAAGCUUCUUCAAAGUCUAUACCAGCAAAUUGAUGCUGCCUUCCGGCAAAUUGUUCAGCCAUAUCCUUGCCGGCCCUACCAACAUCUAGGGUACAUAACAUACCGCCCAUCUGCGGUUGCCGCCUGCCACACUUACUACAGCGAUAUAGUCCAGCCAAUCUUCCGGCUUAGUACUGCCGUCAUAUGUUCUUGUACCCCUGGGCAGCUGGAAACCCGGGGCUGGUCUCUCUCUCAUGAUCCGAUGUGCAAAGCAACACGGUCCCGGAGGGCCUUGCUCCUCCAGAAGCUCAGACAUAUAAAUUCUGUCAAGCCGAUGUCGGGCAUCCAGGGGCGACACUUGCCUGUUCCCAACUUAGGCUCCAAGCGGACCAAGAUUAUCACGCUCUCGCCUGAUAUAACCCUCGUCGCCCAUGGCCGAAUAUCUGUUGUCGUAAUGGUCGUACCGGCGAUCUUCACCUUGAUAAGGGGGUUACGCCCGACACCCUGCUGACCUGCGGCAGUAUUGGGUGCCGGACCCCGAGGUCGGUGUCCAUGAUCAAAUGAGUAGCGUUCUUGCUGGUCACGGCGAUUGUCGCCGGGACAUAGACCACUCUGGCUGUCAUCAACCCUUCUGACUAUCUGUUUCUCGACCAUGGCUGGGUCAUAACGCUCCAGCUGCUUAUCCCGGCCUGAAUUGACACUUUUGUCUCGCUUGCCACAGGCGAAGACGCUUGCUUCUCAACUCGGCCUCCGACAUCCGCUGCCGAGUGGAUAACCUGAGAUGCACCGGGCUUGCCGUGCAUUCUCAUGUAUGCCUCAUUCUGCUCAUUAGCUGUGCGGAGCAGCUCUUUCAUGCGCAGCAGCUGCUGUCGGAGUGCCUCUCCUAUAAGAUUUGGUAGCUCUUCGGCCGCAGCUUCAGCAGCUCUGAGAUUCUUGACAGGGGUAUUGUAUUUCGGCUUUAGCGCCGAGGCGUAACUUGCCGAUACUGCUGGCACACCCCUGCCAUCUCUUGUCAUCUCGGCAUUCAAGUUAGCUACAAGAUCUAGUGCACUGGAACUCGUGGUUAUGCACCCGAAUCUUUUAGUAUGGAACAUUGUCUUUUCUAAGUAAAAACCCCUAGUAUCUGAAAGAAUGAAAAGGUGCUUUCGUUCUUGUGGAUUAAGAAGCCCUCGUACCUUAAUGAAAGGAAAAUCGUAAUUUUUCGUUAGGUAUUUGACCAAAUACGAUCGUCUAGUUCUUAUAGAACCUAUCACUAAAAUACCCGAUAGGGCUAAGCGGAACGAAAAGGGUUUUCCAUGAGAUGGUAAAUGAAAACGAUUAGCCCCACACGAGGUUUGGGAAUAAGUGAUUGUCUGAUAAUGAGCAAGGAAUAUACGUCUUUCUGCUAAAGAGGAUCUAUUAAACUCAUAAUUCAUUAGAUCCUUGUUAUCAAUGCCAACUAGGUAUCAUAAGUAAAUGGAUCUCGGUUGUUCAAUCCUUUGAUAACCAAGGUCAUUCUUUGCUAAAGAGAAAUGAUCACUAUGAGUCAGACUCAAUAGAAUUGGAUCCAUUCCAAAUAGAGAGAAUUAGGAUUCUUGAUCCCUCUCAAUCUCUCUUUCAAUUCGAGGAUCCAGAGAGGUGUUUUCAUAGUCAUCUCCGAAUAUUUGCCAUCUCCGAAUAUUUUCGAUUUCAUUUUUCUAUGAUAUGUCUUUCUAUAUGAAAAUUGGUUAUUUACGAUGUAGGAUGAUCCCUGUUAAGCAUCCAUGGCUGAAUGGUUAAAGCGCCCAACUCAUAAUUGGUAAAUUUGCGGGUUCAAUUCCUGCUGGAUGCACGCGAACGGGAACGUUCCAUAAGUCUAUUGGAACUGGCUCUCUAUCCAUGGAAUCUCAUCCAUCAUCCAUACAUAACGAAUUGGUAUGGUAUAUUCAUACCAUAACAUAAGAACAAUAAGAACUCGAAUUCUUAUCGAUACUGGGACUCAGAGCAUAGGAGGGAAAGUCGAUUUAUGGAUGGAAUCAAAUACACAGUAUUUACAGAAAAAAGUCUUCGUUUAUUGGGAAAGAAUCAAUAUACUUUUAAUGUUGAAUCAGGAUUCACUAAGACAGAAAUAAAGCAUUGUGUCGAACUCUUCUUUGGUGUUAAGGUAGUAGCUGUGAAUAGCCAUCGACUACCCGGAAAGGGUAGAAGAAUAGGACCUAUUCUGGGACAUACAAUGCAUUACAGACGUAUGAUCAUUACCCUUCAACCGGGUUAUUCUAUUCCACUUCUAGAUAGAGAAAAAAACUAAAGGAGAAUACUUAAUAAUACGGCGAAACAUUUAUAUAAAACACCUAUCUCGAGUACACGCAAGGGAACCGUAGACAGGCAAGUGAAAUCCAAUCCACGAAAUAAUUUGAUCCAUGGACGGCACCGUUGUGGUAAAGGUCGUAAUUCCAGAGGAAUCAUUACCGCAAGGCAUAGAGGGGGAGGUCAUAAAUGCCUAUACCGUAAAAUCGAUUUUCGACGGAAUCAAAAAGACAUAUCUGGUAGAAUCGUAACCAUAGAAUACGACCCUAAUCGAAAUGCAUACAUUUGUCUCAUACACUAUGGGGAUGGUGAGAAGAGAUAUAUUUUACAUCCCAGAGGGGCUAUAAUUGGAGAUACUAUUGUUUCUGGUACAAAAGUUCUUAUAACAAUGGGAAAUGCCCUACCUUUGAGUGCGGUUUGAACUAUUGAUUUACGUAAUUGGAAGUAACCAAUUAGGUUUACGACGAAACCUAGAAAUCGAUCACUGAUCCAAUUUGACUAUCUCUACGGGAUAGACCUUAACAGAAAACUGUUGAGUAACGGCAGCAAGUGAUUGAGUUCAGUAGUUCCUCAUAGAAAAUUAUUGACUCUAGAGAUAUGGUAAUAUGGAGAAGACAAAAUUGUUUGAAGCACGCACAAAACCGGAAGCGCCCCUUGUUUCAAAGAGAGUAGGACGGGUUAUUCACAUUUAAUUUGAUGGUCAGAGGCGAAUUGAAAGCUAAGCAGUGGUAAUUAAGACCCCCGGGGAAAAAAGGGAUGUCUCCUACGUUACCCAUAAUAUGUGGAAGUAUCAACGUAAUUUCAUAGAGUCAUUCGAUCUGAAUGCUACAUGAAGAACAUAAGCCAGAUGACGGAACGCGGAGACCUAGGAUGUGGAAGAUCCUAACAUGAGCGAUUCGGCAGAUUUGGAUUCCUUUCCUAUAUAUCCACUCAUGUGGUACUUCAUCAUAUGAUUUAUAUAAGAUCCAUCUGUCUAGAGAUCGUCAUAUACAUCUAGAAAGCCGUAUGCUUUGGAAGAAGCUUGUACAGUUUGGGAAGGGGUUUUUUGAGAGAAAAGAAGAAUCUACUUCAACCGAUAUGCCCUUAGGCACGGCCAUGCAUAACAUAGAAAUCACACGUGGAAGGGGUGGCCAAUUAGCUAGAGCAGCAGGUGCUGUAGCGAAACUUAUUGCAAAAGAGGGUAAAUCAGCCACUUUAAGAUUACCAUUUGGGGAGGUCCGUUUAGUAUCCCAAAACUGCUUAGCAACAGUCGGACAAGUGGGUAAUGUUGGGGUGAACCAAAAAAGUUUGGGUAGAGCCGGAUCUAAGUGUUGGCUAGGUAAACGCCCCAUAGUAAGAGGGGUAGUUAUGAACCCCCAUGGGGGCGGUGAAGGGAAAGCCCCCAUUGGUAGAAAAAAACCCACAACCCCUUGGGGUUAUCCUGCGCUUGGAAGAAGAACUAGGAAAAGGAAACGUAGGGCUUUGAAACCAAAUACGUUACCUACAAUGGAAGUAAACAUGUUAGUAACGGAACCCUCUUCAAAUAGAUCUAAUGGAUAAGCUACAUAACAGAUCCAUUGACUGUCUUCCCCAGGAACAGGCUCGAUGUCAUAGCAUCGUCCUUUGUAACAAUCAAGACUAGUAAGUCCAUCAGUCCAAACAGUUGUCCAUGUACCAAUAGAAGAUUCGGCAGCUACUGCAGCCCCUACUUCUUCGGGCGGAACCCCAGGUUGAGGAGAUACUCGGAAUGCUACCAAGAUAUCAGUAUCCUUGGUUUCAUACUCCGGGGUGUAGUAAGUCAAUCUAUAAUCUUUAACACCAGCUUUAAAUCCAACACUUGCUUUAGUUUCUGUUUGUGGUGACAUAAGUCCCUCCUUACAACUCUUGAAUUAAGAAUUCUCACAAUAACAAGUUCUACUCGAUGUGAAUUAGGCGUAAAUGAAACUUUAGCAAAAAUCUCAUAAAAAAAAGAGAUAUUCAAUUAAUAGCAACUCAUUACAGAAAAUUGAGGGCAUGCUUAAGUUAAUUAAUAUUUUUCAUUCAUAUAUAAUGCGUACACCCUGUGUAUGUUCUAUCCUAUAGGAAUUUCACUAUAGGAAUUCGAUAGGAAUUGAGUUGUUGUUAUGGUAAGUUAACACCGUUCGUUAUUAAACCAAGGAUUUGAUUUAACAAAUCCAUCAUUAUUGUAUACUCUUUGAUAGAUAUAGCGCAACCCAAAUCAAUCCUUAACCUUUUUUUUUACAAAUUAUUAAAGGGCCCCUUUCUUAUUUUGAAAAGAAAUACCUAACUAAAUACUAAGAAAUUUUUUUGUUGACAGCAAUCUAUGCUUCACAGUAGUAUAUAUUUUGUAUAGCGAAGUCCUAGAUAGGAAAGUAGAGUAGGCACGGAUCCUCCACAAAAGGAAAAAUCUAUCUUAUGAAAAAAAGAUUGAUUGAACUUUCCAACGGCCUCAUUCCAUGAGUAAAGGGUUGAAAGGGAUUCGCUUGGGCAACGAAAUCAAGUCCUGUUCCCCUUUUUUCUCUUAUUGAAUUAACUAAUUGAUUUCCUUUUUACUUUUGGAUUUUUGGAUAUUUUUUUGGAUUUGGUAUUAUUCAACAAGAAAAAAUUAAAUUUUUUGACAAAAUCCUUUUCUUUUAUUAUGUGAUAAUUAUGAGAACCAAUCCUACUACUUCUCGUCCCGGGGUUUCCCCAAUUGAAGAAAAAAGUACAGGCCGUAUCGAUCAAAUUAUUGGACCCGUGCUGGACGUCACUUUUCCCCCCAGUAAGUUACCUUAUAUUUAUAACGCUUUGGUAGUCCAGAGUAGAGACACUGCCGAUAAGCAAAUUAAUGUGACUUGUGAGGUACAACAAUUAUUAGGAAAUAAUCGAGUUAGAGCUGUAGCUAUAAGUGCUACAGAUGGGUUGAUGAGAGGAAUGGAAGUGAUUGACACAGGAGCUCCUCUCAGUGUUCCGGUCGGCGGAGCUACUCUCGGGCGAAUUUUCAACGUUCUUGGGGAGCCUGUUGACAAUUUGGGUCCUGUAGAUAGUAGUGCAACGUUCCCUAUUCAUAGAUCUGCGCCUGCCUUUAUCGAGUUAGAUACGAAAUUAUCCAUCUUUGAAACAGGUAUUAAGGUCGUCGAUCUUUUAGCUCCUUAUCGACGUGGAGGAAAAAUAGGACUAUUUGGGGGGGGCUGGGGUAGGUAAAACAGUACUCAUCAUGGAAUUAAUCAACAACAUUGCUAAAGCUCAUGGGGGCGUAUCCGUAUUUGGUGGAGUAGGGGAACGGACUCGUGAAGGAAAUGAUCUUUAUAUGGAAAUGAGGGAAUCCGGAGUAAUUAAUGAAAAAAAUAUUGAGGAAUCAAAGGUAGCUCUAGUCUAUGGCCAAAUGAAUGAACCACCGGGAGCUCAUAUGAGAGUUGGUUUAACUGCCCUAACUAUGGCGGAAUAUUUCCGAGAUGUUAAUAAGCAAGACGUGCUUUUAUUCAUCGAUAAUAUCUUUCGUUUUGUUCAAGCAGGAUUGGAGGUAUCCGCUUUAUUAGGGAGAAUGCCCUCCGCGGUGGGUUAUCAACCUACUCUUAGUACAGAAAUGGGUUCUUUGCAAGAAAGAAUUGCUUCUACUAAAAAGGGAUCUAUAACUUCGAUCCAAGCGGUUUAUGUACCUGCGGACGAUUUGACUGACCCUGCUCUUGCCACAACAUUUGCCCAUUUGGAUGCUACUACCGUACUUUCCAGAGGAUUAGCUUCCAAGGGUAUUUAUCCAGCAGUAGAUCCUUUAGAUUCAACCUCAACUAUGUUACAGCCUCGGAUCGUUGGCAACGAACAUUAUGAAACUGCGCAAAGAGUUAAGGAAACUUUACAACGUUACAAGGAACUUCAGGACAUUAUCGCAAUUCUUGGAUUGGAUGAAUUAUCGGAGGAGGAUCGUUUAACUAUAGCAAGAGCGCGAAAAAUUGAGCGUUUCUUAUCACAACCGUUCUUUGUAGCAGAAGUUUUUACUGGUUCUGCAGGAAAGUAUGUUGGUCUUGCAGAAACAAUUAGGGGAUUUCAACUAAUCCUUUCGGAGAAUUAGAUGGCCUACCCGAGCAGGCUUUUUAUUUGGUGGGUAACAUCGAUGAAGCUAGCACGAAAGCUAUAACCUUAGAAGAGGAGAACAAAUCGAAGAAAUGAAAUUAAAUCUUUAUGUACUGACUCCUAAGCGAAUUAUUUGGGAUUGUGAAGUGAAAGAAAUCAUUUUAUCCACUAAUAGUGGUCAAAUUGGGGUAUUACUAAACCAUGCCCCCAUUAAUAUAGCAGUAGAUAUGGGUCCUUUGAGAAUACGCCUCCUCAACGACCAAUGGUUAACGGCGGUUCUGUGGAGCGGUUUUGCGAAGUUAAUAAUGAGAUCAUUAUUUUAGGAAAUGAUGCGGAACUGGGUAGUGAUAUUGAUCCGGAAGAAGCUCAACAGGCACUUAAAAUAGCCGAAGAUAACUUGAGUAAAGCUGAGGGUACGAAAGAAUUGGUUGAAGCGAAACUAGCUCUCAGACGAGCUAGGAUACGAAUCGAGGCUGUCAAUUGGAUUCCCCCAUCCAAUUGAAGACAAUCCAAUGGUUUAUAGUUGAUACAAAGAUAAAGGGAAGAGGGGUAGAAAAAGUUAUUAGAUAGCGAAGCGAAAUAAGCCCAAUGCUAUCUAGUAAUUUUUCUACCUACCUACCUACUAUUGGAUUUGAACCAAUGACUCCCGCCGUAUGCAAUACUCUAACCACUGAGUUAAGUAGGCAAUUUAUGAUCACAAAGGAAGACCCAUUACUUCGAUCGAUUAUAUAUCGAAUCCCUUUUCUAAGCAAUAACGCUUCCUUAUUGGUAUGUUAUAUACUAAACAGAUACAUAUUUAAAGAGAUACCCUCUGGCAUUAGAGAAUAUUCAUCUUGACAAUAAAUUAUCUAUAUGUUAAGAUAUCUCUGAUAAGGGCUAUAGCUCAGUUCGGUAGAGCAACUCGUUUACACGUGCGCCAAUGCUUUUCAAAGGAGCUUAUUAUGCAAUGAAUAUAAUGGAUCUUAUUGCAAAAUCAAUGUCUUACUUCAUAGAUUCGACAGAAUAGGAGAACAGUAGCCUGACAAAGAGUCAGUUCAGUCCGAUUCAGGUCCCCAUUCUGGUGCCUAAUCAAAUCGAACCCUUAUGGAUUUGCUAGUUGAUAAGGUAAAUAUCCAGCCCACUAAAUGCUAGGCAUAAUGAGGAUAAGGGCCUCCAAAAAACUUCCUUUCGUUCUAUGAACUUUAAGGUGUAUGAAGUCUCAUAGUUAACUCUUGCAGUGGAACGAUAGAGACUCCAUUUCACUUAGGUUGAUUUAAUUUAGGCCGGAGGCAGACCUAAGUCAAGGUAAUCCUCCUUUGAAACACUUUGGUAUUGCUCCUAGAUAGACCAUAAUACAAAUAAUCAAUCAGAGCACAGGGAGCCAUCUCAUUAUCUUUCCGUAAAGAAAAACUAUGGUGGACUAACUGAUCUUUAAAUCAGUUGAUGAAAGAGCCCAAUGCAAAAAAAUGCAUGUUGGGUCUUUGAAAUAGUUCGAAUCAUUUCGAUAAUAAUCUGUUUGAUCUGUUUUACCGAGAAGGUCUACGGUUCGAAUCCGUAUAGCCCUAAUAUGUCCUAUUUUUGGAUUUUAGUAUAGAUAUCCUAUGUUUUCCUUAGUAUAGCUUUUAUUUUCACAUUAGUACUUGUUUAUAGACUGGGCGGGCGCCUGCGACAUAGAAUAGGCGUAAAAGCAUUACCACAGGCUCAUUCAUCAAAAAUCAUAGAGAUAGGAAACGAAAAAGUGAUUUCUAUCAAAUCAAUAGAAGAAAAGAGCCCUUCCCUGAUUUGAAUCCCGCCCUUCUUCAAAUAGGGUAUCUCUAGACUUCCCUAUAAAAACUGCAAUGAUUUUCUCCAUCUUGCGAAUUUAUACUUUGUUUUAAGUAUAUUACUUUGCUUAUAUAUACAUUAUCUAAAUAGAUCUACUUAAAAUCCUAAAUAGAAAAAAAUAUAGAAAGAAUUAAAGUAAAGAGUAAAUAAGAAAACAGAAUAUUAUGUCUCAUAGUUCUGAAAUAGAGUUCCUUAUUUUUUUAUAGUAUUACUUCUCAGUCUACUGCAUAGACUAGUCCUCUUAUGUUAAUUAGGUUCUAAAGAUUAUAGAGAAAGCAAAAUAAAGUGAAGGGAUAAAGUAUUUUUUAUAUAAGAAUUAGAUCUAUACCAUAUCUAAAUAGAAUGGAAAAAAAAGAAGGGGAGUUGGGAUUCCAUUGGAUGAAUCUUUAAAGAAGACACAGCACAGAGAAAACAAAGGCUAAACUAAGCGAUUUUGUUUGAACAAAACAGAUUCUUGUUUCACCGAGGAAAAGAGAUAAGUUCUGGAUGAAUUGACAAUGCAUAAUUGAAUUGAUUAAUUUAAGUCUCGUCUAUUCUACAUUAAUGGGAGUACAUUAUGUUUCUGCUUCACGAAUAUGAUAUUUUUUGGACAUUUCUAAUAAUAGCAAGCCUUAUUCCGAUUUUGGCAUUUUGGAUUUCAGGGCUUUUAGCCCCGAUUAGUGAAGGACCCGAAAAGCUUUCUAGUUAUGAAUCGGGUAUAGAACCCAUGGGAGGGGCUUGGCUACAAUUCCGAAUACGCUAUUACAUGUUUGCGCUAGUUUUUGUUAUUUUUGAUGUGGAAACCGUCUUUCUCUACCCUUGGGCAAUGAGUUUCGACGUAUUGGGUGUAUCCGUUUUUAUCGAAGCUUUCAUUUUCGUGCUUAUCCUAGUUGUUGGUUUAGUUUAUGCAUGGCGAAAAGGAGCCUUGGAAUGGUCUUAACUGAAUAUUUAGAAGAAAAAAAAGAAGAAAAAGAUUCCAUUGAGACAGUUAUGAGUUUGAUUGAGUUUCCUUUACUUGACCAAACAAGUUCCAAUUCUGUUAUUUCAACUACACCAAACGAUCUUUCAAAUUGGUCAAGACUCUCCAGUUUAUGGCCCCUUCUAUACGGUAGCAGUUGUUGUUUCAUUGAAUUUGCUUCAUUAAUAGGCUCGCGAUUCGACUUUGAUCGUUAUGGAUUGGUACCAAGAUCAAGUCCUAGGCAAGCGGACCUAAUUUUAACAGCUGGUACAGUAACAAUGAAAAUGGCUCCUUCUUUAGUGAGGUUAUACGAGCAAAUGCCUGAACCAAAAUAUGUCAUUGCUAUGGGAGCUUGUACUAUUACAGGGGGAAUGUUCAGUACGGAUUCCUAUAGUACUGUUCGAGGAGUUGAUAAGUUAAUUCCUGUGGAUGUCUACUUGCCGGGUUGCCCACCUAAAUCGGAGGCGGUUAUAGAUGCCCUAACAAAACUUCGUAAGAAGAUAUCGCGAGAAAUAGUUGAGGAUCGAAUUCGAUCUCAAAAUAAAAACCGAUGUUUUACUACCAGUCACAAGCUUUAUGUUCGGCGCAGUACUCAUACUGGAACUUACGAGCAAGAAUUGCUCUAUCAAUCACCAUCUACUUUAGAUAUAUCUUCUGAAAAUUUUUACAAAUCCAAAAGUAUAGUACCUUCCUACAAAUUAGUGAAUUAGGAGGGGGGUUCUUUUGUCUAGAAAAAUAAAAAGCAAGGCAAUCUUUGAAACUUGCAUCCGAAAUGUGAAAUAUUUAUACAAAACAAAGAGGGAGAGAUCAAGACAAUGCAGCAGGGUUGGUUAUCUAAUUGGCUAGUCAAACAUAAGGUGGUUCAUAGAUCUUUGGGCUUUGAUCACCGAGGAAUAGAGACUUUACAAAUAAAAGCGGGGGAUUGGGAUUCCAUUGCUGUCAUUUUAUACGUAUAUGGUUACAAUUAUUUACGCUCCCAAUGUGCUUAUGAUGUAGCACCCGGUGGAUCUUUAGCUAGCGUGUAUCAUCUUACGAGAAUACAGUAUGGCAUAGAUAACCCAGAAGAAGUAUGCAUAAAAGUCUUUGCCCAAAAGGAUAAUCCUAGAAUUCCGUCUGUCUUCCGGAUUUGGAGAAGUGCCGAUUUUCAAGAACGCGAAUCUUAUGAUAUGGUGGGAAUCUCUUAUUUCCACGGUUACGCACCUCCCCAACUCGGCUAGGGUUAGUAAACGACGUAGAACUAAGACCAUGGGCUUUGUUAUACUCACGGAGUGAAAUAUCCAGUUGUUGCCGAGUGUGAGCGACGUCAACAGCUUCCUUCAGCAGCUUUUGUCGCUCCAACUCCAACUCUGCCUGCAACUGGGUCGGGUUAGCGUUCGACGCCACCGGCGUAGUCAGCCGUUCGAUGGAGGCUUGGAGCUGGGUCAGCUUCGGCGGCAGGGCCGACGUGCCGGCUUGAGCGGUGAUGUUCUUCGGCUUCUCCAAGGGGAGUUUCCCCGUUCUGCCGGAUUUGGUUGGGGCCGUGCCACUUCCUGCAGCGUCCCUUCCAGAAUUAGCACCAUGAGUCGUCACCAUGACCUCCACACGGUCAGCGGGACAGUUGACAUGCCGGCCGCGAACCGUGCGGACGGCGGGGGGGUCUUCGAUGACCAACCCCCUGCUCUGGGUACUUGCAAGGGCUUUUAGUAUCAACAUAAACCUCGUGCAUGCCGAAGUUGAUGAAGCGGCCCACGCAGGGAAGCGGUGUGUCGUUGAAGCAGCCCGCGUUGUUCUCGAUGAAGCCCAGAGAGCCGAAUCUCUGGACCAAACCGGAGACCACGCGCUCUCCGGUGACGAGGAAGCUUCCCGUCCGGAGGAAGACUCCAGCCAGCGCCGCUACAGGCCCCACGGUGGGCGCCAACUAUCGUGGUGGUGACACGGCAGAUGCCAUAGGAUGGGUUAACUUGGGGCCGAUGGACGAUGGAGGAUCCGGAGGAGGGAGAAUGUGAAGGGAAACACGCACAAAUCACACAAGCACACACAGAUCUACCCAGGUUCGGAGCCCUCUUGCCGAGGUAAGACUCUUACUCCUGCUUUCUUGUAUUAGCCGGGGUAGACAAGCUAUACAAUGGCACUCCUUGAGCUGUAUUCUUGAGGAAGAAGAAGAAGGGGAAAAAUCCUAGAUGUCUAAGUGCUCCGUCCCUCUCUACAGAGGGGUAACGUUCUAUUUAUAGGCCGCCCAUGUGGUUCCUGUGACGGUGUGUCAUUUGCUUUUGGGACGUCCGUGGCAAUCAGAUCGAGAUGUUCGUCAUCAUGGGCGAGCUAAUACUUAUAGUCUCCAUUGGCAUGGCAAGGAGGUGAUCUUAUGUCCUAUGACACCACAACAGAUUGUUAAUGAAUCUCAUCAAAAAGUUGAAGUAAAUCGUGAGAAUGAGCGUGAGAGAUUAGAUAGGCGAGGGACUCCACAUUCGGUGAGUGAGUACCAAAAGCCAAAUUUGAGUGGUAAACAGAACAGUGAGGGAGAGAAUUCCUUAGUAAUGCUAGCCACCAAAUCAGAUUUGAGAGAGUUCCGCGAGGAUCCUACCCAGGUUCGGAGCCCUCUUGCCGAGGUAAGACUCCUACUCCUGCUUUCUUGUAUUAGCCAGGAUAGACAAGCUAUACAAUGGCGCUCCUUGAGCUGUAAGAAAAAGAAGAAGGGGAAAAAUCCUAGAUGUCUAAGUGCUCCGUUGUAAGACCCCGGGACCAGAAUUAUAAAAUUUAGCCCAACAUUACUAACCUUUGCAUAAUUCAAGAGUCAGGUUCUUAACCUACGAUAAACACUUCAAUACAUACACGCAUUAAUGUGCUCAUCGCAGGAUUUUGCAACAUGAAUAUCAUGACCAAAACUCUACAGAAGAGAGUAAUUACAAAGCUCAUACAAGGAGCAGAAUAACAAAUAUUAUAAAGAGAGGACACAUGUCCCAACAUUACAUCAUUACAUCAGCGGAAGUCGAAUUAUGCCCGAGUACGGACAAGAAUACAACAUGACCUGAAGAGGCUGGAAGCUGGAAGGAAACCCGCCACGAGUCUCAGAACCCUGAUCUGGAUCUCCUGGCUAAACAUCGAAUCCAACGUCGUGCUCCACGAAGAAGCUAGCGGCUCACCUGCUCUACUGAAACCUGUGAAGAAAACAAUGUUGCAAAGCAACUGAGUACAAAGUAUUCGCAAGACUUACGGGGAGAUCUAUGCUAGUAUGCAACAUGUCUCAAAGGAGGGUAAAGUGGGGUUAUGCAGCAGCAACAAUAUCUAGAGAGACACUCUAUUAACAACGUCUAAGUAGAGGAUGAGAAGCGUCUACUAAGUGAGGUGAUUGACCUGUUUACUAAACACCAAACCACACAAUCCUUAUAUCACCCCCUCAACAUUAAUUGUUUUGGACCUUUCUUUGAUGGAAAUAAUGAUGCUGAAGCUUAUAUUGAUUGGGAAAUAGCUCUAAUUGAGCAAUUCACAUGCUUCCAUGUACUAGAUAGUCGUAAGGUCCAAAUUGCUAGUAGUAGAUUUCGUUUUGAUGCAUUAUCAUGGUGGAGUGAGAUAGUUAGAGAAAACAAAAUACCUCACACUUGGAUUGAUACGAAGAAAAUCAUGAGAGAAAAAUAUGUUCCUCCAAGUUAUGCUUAUGAGUUGCGUUCCAAAUUACGACGUUUGACACAAGAUGAUAAAACUGUUGAUGAUUACUACCAUGAGUUCCAAAUUUUAACCUUGCGAUCUGGUUUAGAUGAAACCGAACAAAGAAAAAUGGAUAGGUUUUAUUCUGGGCUUAAUUUUGAAAUUUCUUACGUGAUUGAAUAUGGGGAUUACGACUCUCUAUUGUGUUUGCUUAAUCUUGCUCGUGAAGCUGAGAGAAAGUUAGAAAGAAGGUAUAAUACAAAUGAGGCGAGCCCACAAGGUAAUGUUACAGAGGUUUGUGUUGCUGAACUAAAUAUGACGUGUAUUGAAAUAAAUGAGAUAUUUGAUGAACAUGCUGCCCCUUGUAAAAUUGUUGAUUUACUUGCCGAUUUGAGCGCACCCAUUGAUUCAAUUGAUAAUGAUUUAUGUGAUGAGUUAUCUGCUGUUUUGGAACAGACUUGUGACGGGAUGAUUAAAUUUGAUUUAUGUUGCAUUGAAUUAAUUAAACAUGAAGAAGUGUUUCUUAUGGUUCCGCCUAAUAAUUCUCUGUGUUCUAUUAAACUUGAUGCACCUAUAUAUUUGUCACAUGCAAUGGAUAAAGGUUCCGAGUUAACAAUUUCAAAAUCUUUUGCUAAUGCCCAUGGAUACACUAUUCAAUUAAUUGGAGAACAUGACGUGAACAAUAAAUUUUGGGUGCAUCAGAUUUGCAUUGCUUGUGAUAACUUUCUUGAUUUGAGAGAAAAUAAUAUGUUGCAUAUGCUUAACCAUUUUGAUAUGACCUCCAAUAUUGGUGUUGAUUAUUUGCCAAUUAGUUCUUUACACGAUUGUUCGAAUAUUAGUGCUUUGACAUGCUCUAAAUUUCAGCAUCUUGUAGUAACUAAUUUGGGUAACAUUAUUAAUUAUUAUUCUCCAGUGUUGGGAUGGUAUAAUGGUGAGCGGUGCAAACCAAAUACAAGAUGUUGUUUCACUUAUAUAUGCAAAACAUAUUGUCAAUCUUCUUGCUGGAAUGAUAUUCAUGAUGAUUGUGUGACUAAUUAUCUCAUGAGAUUGUGUUAUAAAACAUUAAUUGUGCAACAUGGGAGUGGAGUUAAAAAUAACGAUAUAUACAUAUACCAUGCGCAUACCUUGUCCCUUUUGUUUGCAUAUUUUCAGCAUAAACGACGCCGAGGACGGCUUUCCUUUCAAGAAAGGGAGGAUGAUAUGGACAUGCUAACCAUGGAUACGACCAUUAGAACCCUAAUUGUUGGUGUCUCUAAUAAUUAUAAUCAGGUGAAUUCAAUUACAAAAUGUUUUCAAUAUGUUACUUGCAAAGAGGCGGAGCUACUAUCUUGUGUAAUCUUAUUAUGUAGGCAUCUUAUUGAACUUUACAAGUCCAAAGUGAAGAUGAAGUGUUAUAGCCUGCAAAGGGAGAUUCAAAGUGAAGCCUAUCAAGUCUACUUUCCAACAAAUCAAACGGCACAUGAUUCGGAGCUUGCUAGAGAAAGAUAUCACGAAUUAAAGUUGAAUCCGAUUCGGGUCCGAGCUGUCAGGAGACCCGAAUUUGUUUUAAUCACCCAGGCCGCAUCUGGAGUCCAAAUCAAGCAAAAAAGUACUUGUUGGAAAGUUAAUUACAAGACCUUUCCAACGGAUCUGGCCCCAUCAAGAGAUUCGACUCGUGCUGACCGUGGCGGACAAAACAAGCUGACGGAUCUGUUUUUCUGUUUCCUAAAGAGUUGUAGUUUGUUAGGAAAGUUAGAGAUAGAGUUGGAUUUCGGACUCCUUAAUCAAGGUGGACGAAAAUAUCUCUCCCUCCUCCUUUAUAUACCCCAUGAACCCCCUAAGGAGCUUUGGGUUUUGAUUAGAUAAAGUUUAGCCAUCUUUGCUACUUUCGUGUAAUCGCGUGUGUCGGUUAGACCACCUGUUUUAUCGUCAAGACUCCAACUUAUCGUCUCAUUGAGACAUUGGUUUGAUAUAGUAUAUUCGCAAUUUUAGAUUGCAUCUGCUAUUUAUCUUGUUCUUGCUUGUUCUUUGAUUGCUUGCAGGAACAAAGACCUUCGUGGUCAGGUUGAUCGUGCCCCCGCGUGAUCAAUAACCCUCUGGAGUUGGUGUAUCGAUUGCUAAGGCGCUGCCUCCUAGGCCGUAGUCGGAUCGUCAACGUCACCUUCUACCCAAAUCGAGAGUUACCAAUCUCAUCGAAAGAUCGGGCCACCCGCACCCGUAUCAUUUAUAUAAGUUCAAAGUAUUUUAUUUGGAACCAUUUGCAUAUUAUGAUUUUAUCGGACUAUUAUUCGCAUCUUAAUAAAUCCUAUUUUCCUUUUUAAGGAUUUAUUAGCACACUAAGUUUCCAAUUUGGAUGCCAUGACCAUUUGAGAGCAUCGUUGGAAUAUUUAAAUUGAUUAGAAAUGUUCUCCAACUUUUAUCUAAAUAAUAAAGAGAGGGAAUAAUAUGACUUUCCUAGUUAUAAGGUUGGAAACAUAUUUAAUGAUGCACCUAUGUUUUCUCAAUUUUUAUUUUGACAUGUUAAUAUUGUUUUUGAUAAGAAGUUAUCAAAUAUUCGAGAAGAGGAUAACGUGACAUCCUCAUGUGCAAAUGUUAUUCGAACAUUUAUUCCGUCGUUGAGAGUGGGAUAACGUGACUUCCCAAAUAUAUAUAUGGUUGAAAACAUCUGCGAUGGUUUAGAUGAUUUGUGAUUUGGUGUUAUAAAGCUAUUUGGGAAUUUAGUGAACCAUAUAAAUAUUAUAGGAUUUUAUUUGAUGUUCAACCCAAUGAGGUACUUAGCUAAGGAAGGGUUUUACUGCAAAGUAUGCCACUCCAAUAUUUUAUUGGAGUUUAAACUAAUUUAUGAAACAAAGAUUUCAUAAUAGAUUUCAAAACCUAUUUUAUUUAUUACUUAUAAAGCCCUAAUGACAUUUAUAUAAGAAAAAAUAUUUUCACUUAUUUUAUUUUGAAAGGAUUCAAGUCCCAAAAGUUCACAGUUUGGAGGAUUUGAAUUUACAAAUUUACUGGAGUUUAUUUGGACUUAUUUGGAGUUAGGAAUCAAAAGUUAUUAAUAAAAACAGAAAUGGAAAAAAAAAGGAAAACAAAAAAAGAAAGAAUGGACCGACCCAACUAGGCUGGCCCAUCGUGUUCUUCCUCCUCUCCACAAGAAGGAAACCCCUCCUUCUAUAUUUUCUUCCUUUGAUUUUUUUCCUUCCCGUGCGUCUCUCUUUGAAAGGAAACCACCCCAUCAAUUCUCACCAUCCCAGGAACCGAUUCAGGCAAUCAAUUUGAAGUUUCCUCUCAUAAUCGCAGUUUCCAAAAGAGGCGCUCCGAAUGCCGCCCGUCGACAUCCACGCCCGAUCUCCCUCCUCGACCAAUAUAAAAGGAUUCCACGCGCAUCACUUUGAGCCUUUGCCUCUCCUCUCCCAUUCCCAUGUGGAAAGCUUCGCCUCUAAACCUCUGUACAGCCGGCUACGUCGACGUCUUCCUCCACCGGUCACCGGUAAGGUUGCUGCGAUCAAUGAUCAAGAAGAACCUGCGUGCAUGGGAGGAGUGUUUGCCGCAUGUGGAAUUUGAAUAUAACAGGGCAGUACAUUCAUCAACGCAGCUUUGUCCGUUUGAGGUGGUAUAUAGUUUCAAACCCAUUACGCCAGUUGAUUUGCUGCCACUUCCAAGUCAAGAGCGUGUGAAUAUGGAGGCGUGCAAGCAUGCUGAUUUUGAUCGGAAGAGACAUGUAACAUCCCAAAAAUUUCAAACUUUUACAUGUGCAUUGCAUCCAUAAGCAUCAUGCCACAAUUGCAUAUUUGAAUUCAAAUUUGAAUCUCAAAAGGCUUCGGAAAGAUUUUAUUUCAAUUUAAACCCUAGGGUUUACACCCAUUUGAGCUUUGGAUCUUCAAACCAAUAGGGUUUAUUUAUAAAAGGGGUUUAUUGCAUAAAUAAGCCAUCCCAUAAUUAUUUGGAGUUGAAAAACUAUUUUAUUUAAAUAGUUAUAUAGCCGUAAAGGCAUUUAUAGGGAAAAUGUAUUUUUAGAUAUUUUAUUUUGAGGGGAAAUUACUCCCAAAAGUUGUAUCAUGAUAAAACAUGAUUUUACAAAUUUUCUGGAAUUUAUUUGGACCAAUUUGGGGCUCAAAAUCAAAAGAUAUCAAAGAAAUAAGAAAAAGAGAAAAAGAAAAGGCUACAAGAAAAAAAAAGGGGAAAACCGGACCGGCCCCGCCGUUUUGGGCCGAACCGGCCCCGCUUCGGCCAAGCCCGCCCGAACCGGACCCGCCCAGCGCCGCGCGCGCGCGCUUGAGCCACCGACAGGUGGGGCCCACCUGUCGGGGUCGUCUUCUCCGCGGCGAAAGCCCCGGAUUUCCGCCGCCCGCGCCGCCGCCUGCCGUUUUCGCCGCCGCGUGCCGUCUCCGCCGCAAUCUCCUCCCCCCCCUUCCUGAUUUCGCAGCCCCGACCGCGUCCAUAUAAAGGCCACCGCCUCCUCUCUCUUCCCCUAAACCCCCUCGCCACCACGCCGCCAGGCCGCCGGAAUACCUUGCCGGGGCAAGGAGUCCCCCCCGCCGCCGUUUUUGCUUCGGGUCGACACCACCGGUGAGCCUCUUCGCCCGAACCUUGCAAUUUCUGGACUGCAUCGUCCUCGCGCCUAUUUUGACACGCGCGGAUUUGUCCUAGGUGCGCCCUAGCAGCCGGAGCAGUGCCGACGUCCUCGCCGGAGCCCGCGCCCUCGCCGUCGAGAGUCCCCGUAGUCCUAGACGUCGCCCUCGACCUCGUUUCGUCGUGCGGACCGCGUCACGGUCUUCGCCUCAUCGCGCCGUGCGCACCCAUGUCUUCCCUGAGCCGCCCGCGUCGCCGGAACCGCCCGUGCCGCUGCCGCCCGUGCCUGCGCCGCGGUCCCCCCCGUCUCCGGUGACCGCCGCCACCGCCAGGUAAACCCUGGCGCAUCUCGGCCGUCCAUUUCAUCCCAACGGCUAAGAUUAGAAGCCCUCGCGCCCUUUAAAACGAACCGCUAUCGUCCAAUGAGAUUGUGACACGUGGCACCUAUUUUAUAAAACAAAAAAUGUAAUUUAAUUCCCAGAAUAAUUAGAAAUGGCACUUUUGCAGAAAAGCCCUCGAAACUUCAAAUGAUCAUAUUUUUUAAUCUGUUUGGCCAAAUUUGACGAUCCACACCUUUCUGGAAUCAUUAAGAAAUGUAUAAUUUUUUGGCACUGUGCAAUUUCAAAUUUGAGUUUUUGAAUCACAGUCAAUUUACAGAAUAGGGUUUAGUGCCAUUUAAAUCAUAACUAAUUAUUUAGAAGUCCUUUUUAAAUGAAACCAGUGCCCAAAAACUUGUUUUUUUAUCCUCUGUCCAUUGGGACAGAGCACCAAAUGUUUUGAACUAAAUUAUUUGGCUGAUGCCAAUAAAACUAAAAUUUAGGGUUUUGGUAAAUUGUUUUUGCCUUUUGUUUAAAACCCUAAUGCAUUAAUGUUUAAUUACCAAUGCUUGGGAUCAGUUGAUCAUCCAAAUAAAAUAAACCCAAUCAUGUCACAUGCUUGCAUCACAUCAUAGGAUAUUUUCUUUUGCCAUGAUGUGAAUUUUGUGUUUAUGUAUCCAUUGUUUGUAUUUGAAUAGUUUUCUCGGAUAGCGAACCUUGUGAUUGUGACGAGUGUUUGAACUCCAACCGCUACCAAGGCAAGUUCACUUUGACCAUCAUCCCAUUAUUUUAUUAUGCACUAGAUUUUAUUAGUUGCAUUGUUCGGAAUAUUAUGGUAUCUAUGCUAGCUAUGAUCUCUCUUAGUAGUAUCGGAUACCUUUGCCAUGUUCUUACCACCAAUUGCCAUCGUCGUAGUAAAAUGCCAUGCUAUGAUAAUAUACAAGGGUGGUAUUAUUACAAUGUGAUACUAUUGAAUUCCAAUAUGAUUUUCCUAGUGUAUGGCAAAACAAGUAAUUCAAUGAAUCGUUCUGGGUGGGCGGCUUUGAGUUUUCGGAUGUCGUGACGUUAGGUCCAUUUCUAUGGGGCCCACUGAGUCGUCUCCCCGUGAGAUUCGGGGAGCGUCCAUGGUCGUCUCCCCGUGAGAUUCGGGGAGCGCUUGCGUCACAAUGUGGAAUGCCACCCGGGGUAACCAGAGACUGGACUAGUUUCCUGUUUAGUAGCUUCCAGUACAACCACAUGGUAUUAUGGGCUCUGCCAGGAUGGACGUAAGAAAUAUGAACCUGGAUCCGAGGUGACAUCGGUAUGUAGCAGUGUAGGUCGGAACGCGUCCCUCAGGUGGUUUGGGGGAAUAUGUUCUGAAAAUUCCUGUAAUCGAUGCCGUUGCUACUCUACCCUUAGGACAGCAAGGGAUUAACACGUCGAUUUCUUGUGGGUAAAGUGUACCACCUCUCGAGAGUGUCAAACUAAGUACUUAGCCUUGUCCCCGGUUACGGACAAUUAUGAGCAACUAGAUAUUGGGCUGUAAGGAAGGUCUCACUCAUUCCAAUUUCCUAAUAAAAUGAAUGGAUUGAACUGGGAAGGAGCAUUGAUGUAUCUACUCAAUGUGCCUAGGUUAAGAGGAGCAUUGAUGUAUGUACUCAAUGUGCCUAGGUUAAUAGGAGCAUGGGUGUUUCUACCCCGUGUCCAAUAGAAUUCAAAACUAUUUGUUUAAAAAUGAUAGGAUUGAAUAAUGAUGCUUUUAUGCAACUAGCCAAACCCUCCUAGCCAAAUUAUGCAUGUACUUGGUAGGUCCUUUAUAACUCUGGUGAACUUGCCAAUAAAUUCAAAUGUAUCGACCACGUAGGGGCUGCAAUUAACAAUGCAGGUGGAUCCGACGAUGAGUGAGGUUCGUCGUUAUGUUGUGGGUCAUGUGCUUACAUUCCAACAUGCUCUCACCUUGGAGUACUUGUGGCCCUUAUGUUCUACCCUUUUCCGCUGCAGUAUUUUGAAACAUUGUUUUAUGAUGUUCAAACAGUAUUUGCUUUAUGCUGACCCAAGAGGUCAUGCGAGGUUGUAAGUACUAUUUAAAUCCUAGAUGAUGCGAUGUAAUAAUGUACUUUUCACCUUUGCUUAUGUAUAUUUCAUCAUGAAACUGUGUGUGCUAGUGAGUCGAUCCAGGGACUAGCACAGUAAGCACAGAGAUCGAACCCUGUAAGGGGGAGGAUCGCUUCAGAUGGUAUCAGAGCAAUGUGUUGCCUGUAGGAACGUGACCCUAGUUUGGAUUAGGAUGAGACAAAACCAAGGACCAAACCUUAGGAUUAUUUCUUAUUCAUAUCUGAUCUAUAUAUAUACACAUAUAAUUUACUCCUUAUCCCUAUUCAUCGAACACAUUGCAUUUAUAUCUUACAUAUGCAUGACAUGUUUAUUGCUUUUAUUCCUACAUAUACACCAAAUACUAUGCCUUAUACCACAGAUGCAUGUUUAUUUUAUUAUACCACAGAUACAUAUUUAUUUUGCUAUACCAUCCACCACUAUAAUCAUGUUGCUAUGUUAUUAACAUAUUAUUAUGCAUCCAAUUUUAUUCCACCAUAUAUAUAUUAAAUUUUAUCGCUUUACUCCCACUCUACUACCUUUAAACUAUUUUUUUUACAUACAUUCGACCAUUUUGAUCAUGUCACUGAUACUCCCUUACCUUCCUUCUUGUUUUGUAUAGAUGGGAAGCCCAACACCUUUCGGCAACGUACCGCCGUUUACCCGAGUCUACUACCCCUCCACAGACGACGACCAGUUGUUCAGUGCCUCUUUGGCAGCACUGUGUGCGUCUCUUGACCUGCCACCACCCAGGUUCAGAGGCCGAGUCGAGCCCGCCGUGCCAGAAGGAUGGCAGCCACGGUGGGAGAUUGAGGCGAAGAUCCGCGGGCAUGAGAUCGCGCCUGCUACACAGGAUAUCACCUUCAUCGCCCGCUACCCCACCUUCGAGCAAGGCCUUCAGUUCGCCAUGCAGUGCGCCUUCGCGCAGGUGUGCCGGGACUAUCAGCACAAGUUUACCGAGACCUCUCCUUUCCGUCUCUUUGGAAGGCGGAACCACACGUGCCAGGCCAUGCCAGCAGCCGACGACCAGGAGGUGUCCGAGGUGGCUGCCUAGUUCUAGAGCAUGGAGAAGAACACCGAGGAUCAAGAGACCUGCCUUGGUGAGGAGAUGACCAGGACCGACGAUGCUGAGAAGCUAGUCGGUCAUCUACUGGAAGAGAAGACCCAAUGGCAGGAAGAUAAGGCAUUGCUACAGAACACCGUCCUCAACAUGGGAGAUGCCAUUGACCAGUUGAAGUACGAGAGAGACCUGGCUCGCUACUACUGCGAGCAGUUCAAGGCCUUCAUCGAGGCAGCAGCCGUAGCCGCCGCCGAGCCAGCACCAACUGCCGCACCGGCACCAGACCAGGCCCCACCUCCACCACAGGAUCAGGAGGUGGUACCUCAGGAGGUAGCGCCGACUGAGCAGGAGGAGCCCCAGGAGGUCCACGAGAUGGACACCCCUGCCACCAACACCCGCUCCAAGAGGAAGAGGGUGAAUGGAGCCACGACGACAGCCACACCUCCCUAGUCUCGUAGCCUGCCAGUCUUGUAUCAGUUAACUAUCGUUAUCAGUUUUGCGAGUUAGUCAUUGACCAAUGUAGAUCGAUUGCAUUUUCCUGUACUCUUUUCUUAUGGGCAGUACCCCAUCAUGAACAAGUGUGUUUUGCUAUAUUUUCCAAAAUCUUUUUAUGAUUGAUUGAGUGUAUGAUUGAUAUAUGCUUGAGUCAAUAUCUUGUUUUGGGGGACUUAGACAUCCUUAGCUCUAUUCUAUCUUGAUACGGGUGCGGGUGGCCCGAUCUUUCGAUGAUAUUGAUAACUCUCGAUUUGGGUAGGAGGUGACGUUGACGAUCCGACUACGGCCUAGGAGAGCGCCUUAGCAAUCGAUACACCAACUCCAGAGGGUUAUUGAUCACGCGGGGGCACGAUCAACCUGACCACGAAGGUGUUGUUCCUGCAAGCAAUCGAAGAACAAGCAAGAACAAGAUAAAUACCAGAUGCAAUCUAAAAUUGCGAAUAUACUAUAUCAAACCAAUGUCUCAACGAGACGAUAAGUUGGGGUUCCGAAAGCGGUAAAACAGGUGGUCUAAACGACACACGCGAUUACACGAAGUAGUAGCGAUGGCUAACUUUUAGCUAAACAAAACCCAAGGCUCCUUAGGGGGCUCAUGGGUUAUAUAAAGGAGGAGGGAGAGAUAUUUUCGUCCACCUUGAGUAUUGAGUCCGAAAUCCAACUCUAUCUCUAACUUUCCUAACAAACUACAACUCUUUAGAAAACAGAAAAACAGAUCCGUCAGCUUGUUUUGUCCGCCACGGUCAGCACGAGUCGGAUCUCUUGAUGGGGCCAGAUCCGUUGGAAAGGUCUUGUAAUUACCUUUCCAACAAGUACUUGUUUGCUUGAUUUGGACUCCGGAUGCGGCCUGGGUGAUUAAAACAAAUUUGGGUCUCCUGACAGCUCGGACCCGAAUCGGAUUCAACUUUAAUUCGUGAUAUCUUUCUCUAGCAAGCUCCGAAUCAUGUGCCGUUUGAUUUGUUGGAAAGUAGACUUGAUAGGCUUCACUUUGAAUCUCCCUUUGCAGGCUAUAACACUUCAUCUUCACUUUGGACUUGUAAAGUUCAAUAAGAUGCCUACAUAAUAAGAUUACACAAGAUAGUAGCUCCGCCUCUUUGCAAGUAACAUAUUGAAAACAUUUUGUAAUUGAAUUCAUCUGAUUAUAAUUAUUAGAGACACCAACAAUUAGGGUUCUAAUGGUUGUAUCCAUGGUUAGCAUGUCCAUAUCAUCCUCCCUUUCUUGAAAGGAAAGCCGUCCUCAGCGUCGUUUAUGCUGAAAAUAUGCAAACAAAAGGGACAAGGUAUGCGCAUGGUAUAUGUAUAUAUCGUUAUUUUUAACUCCACUCCCAUGUUGCACAAUUAAUGUUUUAUAACACAAUCUCAUGAGAUAAUUAGUCACACAAUCAUCAUGAAUAUCAUUCCAGCAAGAAGAUUGACAAUAUGUUUUGCAUAUAUAAGUGAAACAACAUCUUGUAUUUGGUUUGCACCGCUCACCAUUAUACCAUCCCAACACUGGAGAAUAAUAAUUAAUAAUGUUACCCAAAUUAGUUACUACAAGAUGCUGAAAUUUAGAGCAUGUCAAAGCACUAAUAUUCGAAUAAUCGUGUAAAGAACUAAUUGGCAAAUAAUCAACACCACUAUUGGAGGUCAUAUCAAAAUGGUUAAGCAUAUGCAACAUAUUAUUUUUCUCUCAAAUCAAGAAAGUUAUCACAAGCAAUGCAAAUCUGAUGCACCCAAAAUUUAUUGUUCACGUCAUGUUCUCCAAUUAAUUGAAUAGUGUAUCCAUGGGCAUUAGCAAAAGAUUUUGAAAUUGUUAACUCGGAACCUUUAUCCAUUGCAUGUGACAAAUAUAUAGGUGCAUCAAGUUUAAUAGAACACAGAGAAUUAUUAGGCGGAACCAUAAGAAACACUUCUUCAUGUUUAAUUAAUUCAAUGCAACAUAAAUCAAAUUUAAUCAUCGCGUCACAAGUCUGUUCCAAAACAGCAGAUAACUCAUCACAUAAAUCAUUAUCAUUUGAAUCAAUGGGUGCGCUCAAAUCGGCAAGUAAAUCAACAAUUUUACAAGGGGCAGCAUGUUCAUCAAAUAUCUCAUUUAUUUCAAUACACGUCAUAUUUAGUUCAGCAACACAAACCUCUGUAACAUUACCUUGUGGGCUCGCCUCAUUUGUAUUAUACCUUCUUUCUAACUUUCUCUCAGCUUCACGAGCAAGAUUAAGCAAACACAAUAGAGAGUCGUAAUCCCCAUAUUCAAUCACGUAAGAAAUUUCAAAAUUAAGCCCAUAAUAAAACCUAUCCAUUUUUCUUUGUUCGGUUUCAUCUAAACCAGAUCGCAAGGUUAAAAUUUGGAACUCAUGGUAGUAAUCAUCAACAGUUUUAUCAUCUUGUGUCAAACGUCGUAAUUUGGAACGCAACUCAUAAGCAUAACUUGGAGAAACAUAUUUUUCUCUCAUGAUUUUCUUCGUAUCAAUCCAAGUGUGAGGUAUUUUGUUUUCUCUAACUAUCUCACUCCACCAUGAUAAUGCAUCAAAACGAAAUCUACUACUAGCAAUUUGGACCUUACGACUAUCUAGUACAUGGAAGCAUGUGAAUUGCUCAAUUAGAGCUAUUUCCCAAUCAAUAUAAGCUUCAGCAUCAUUAUUUCCAUCAAAGAAAGGUCCAAAACAAUUAAUGACAUUACAAGGAUUGCGAUAUACCUUUUCCUUGCCAAUGUCAACAACAGACGAGGAGGAUGGAUGUGGUGAAAAACGCUCAUGUCGGUCACUUGAUAGCAUAGGCCUAUUUUCCAUCCUUUGUGUAAGUCCUGUCAUGGUUAGUAUAAGACAAGAAACAAAACACAGGAAUAUGUUCCUAUCAACUAAUAGGAUGUGGCUACAAGUCGCUCAACUAUCAAGCUAAAAAUCAAGUUCUUACAAGUUCUUACCAUGCAAAAUAGGAAGGUGAUGGCCAGCGGCGUGACCAAGCCCUCCGAAGAUUAAAUGUAUCGAUGCCUCGGUAACAAAGCAACCUAGGUGUAGAAUCUGUGGAGCUUGGAGGCUUUUGUGAGUAGCAAAGAAUAGCAAAUAAUCAAAUCAGCAAUGCAAAGUUGAAAAUAUGCUCAAUAAUGCUAGUCCUAGCUGCUGGAGUCGAUAAGAACGAAUUACAGAAAUAAUCUAAGCCUAGAUACUGAAGAAGAUAGGAUAGAAAGAUCAAACGAUGGCACAACAAGUAAAUCCCUGAGAUUUUUUUCUUCUUUUUUCUUUUUGUGGCCUUCGGUUUGGCUUCUUAUUCUUUUCUUCUUUUUUUUUCUUUUUUUUUUAACCCCAGAAACUCACGCAAAAGAAGGACCGGAAAACUGUACGUCGGUCUAUCGAAGAACAGCAAAGGCUGCAGUAACAAAAAUUCAGAAAAAUAUGAAAAAAUAUGGGUUAGAAGCGUAUCGACACAAGCUUUCUAGCAAGGGCAAGAUCACUCAAAACGGAUGUCGGACGGUGGAGAAAACUGAGAAACACCGGGCUGCAGCGACGCCGGAAAACGGAUGCAGAAACUUGGAAGCUCCGAAAGUCCACCUUACAAACUGAAUUUGAGGGUCAAAGUGUAGGGCUAUGCCCUGGAUAUUUCCUGAUGCGCCUCGUCGUGAGCUUUCCAAAAAGUCCAAGAACGUCCAAAUCCGAGUUAGUACGCAAAAGAUACGCCCGUUUUACUGAACACGGGUCAAACCCACCCGAAACUAAAAUUCUACUCGGACUCGGGUCCGAAACUGACUCGAACUCUUUCUCUUUUUUUUUUGUUUUUUUUUUCUCUCUUUCCUUUUUUUUUCUUUCCUUUCUUUUUUUUUCAACUUUCCAAACAACUUGAUCUCUAAACCAAAUUCGAUCGAUGAUGAAACACUUUUCAAAAGCACUCCUUAUUGGACUCGGACUCGAACUCACGGCUGAAAACUAUUACUUGCCGACUCGAUGUAGAACUCGAAGAGAGACACAAUGUAGGACUUGACGAGGGACUCGGUGUAGGACUCGAAGAGAGACUUGGUGUAGGACUCGAUGAGGGACUCGGUGUAGGACUCAAAGAGGGACUCGGUGGAAGAUAUGGUGGCGGCGGGAGAUUAUGGCAAUCGAUACACCAACUCCAGAGGGUUAUUGAUCACGCGGGGGCACGAUCAACCUGACCACGAAGGUCUUUGUUCCUGCAAGCAAUCGAAGAACAAGCAAGAACAAGAUAAAUACCAGAUGCAAUCUAAAAUUGCGAAUAUACUAUAUCAAACCAAUGUCUCAACGAGACGAUAAGUUGGGGUUCCGAAAGCGGUAAAACAGGUGGUCUAACCGACACACGCGAUUACACGAAGUAGUAGCGAUGGCUAACUUUUAACUAAACAAAACCCAAGGCUCCUUAGGGGGGCUCAUGGGGUAUAUAAAGGAGGAGGGAGAGAUAUUUUCGUCCACCUUGAGUAUGGAGUCCGAAAUCCAACUCUAUCUCUAACUUUCCUAACAAACUACAACUCUUUAGAAAACAGAAAAAUAGAUCCGUCAGCUUGUUUUGUCCGCCACGGUUAGCACGAGUCGAAUCUCUUGAUGGGGCCAGAUCCGUUGGAAAGGUCUUGUAAUUACCUUUCCAACAAGUACUUGUUUGCCUUAUUUGGACUCCGGAUGCGUCCUGGGUGAUGUUUCCUCAUCUAUGCUACCCAAAAACAGAUGCCUCCGAGAUGCCAGAACCCCGCCAACAACGCCGAGGCUAACAACGCCGAAGCUAACGGGAAUGCUGCCACCAUGCAGCAACUAUUGGCCGCCCAGACCCAGUUCUUCUAGCUAAUUACUCACGAAAUGGCCAACAACAACAACAACAAUCAACAGAACAACAACAACCAGCAGCACCACCCACCUCAAGUGGAUAUGCUGACCAGAUUUCUGCGUUUGCGACAGCCCACUUUUUCAGCUCCACUGAGCCCAUUAUGGCUGAUGAUUGGCUUCGUUCAGUCAACAAGAAUUUGGUCACCAUCAACUGCACUGAGGAAGAGAAAGUGCGGUUUGCAGCUCAUUUGCUAGAAGGACCCGCAGCGUCAUGGUGGGAAAAUUUUCAGAUCACCACCCCCAUCGAAGAUGUCACCUGGGACAUGUUCCAGGAAGCUUUCCGCACCACCCACAUCUCUGCGGGAGUGCUUAGUCUGAAGAAGAAGGAAUUUCACAGGCUGCGUCUGGGAAGCCGCUCUGUGUCGGAAUAUAUAGAAGUAUUCAACCAGCUGUCCCGCUACGCGCCGGACGAUGUGAACACUGAUGCCAAGCGCAGAGAGAAGUUCUUGGACGGUUUGAACGACGAGCUGUCAGUUCAACUUGCUGUUGCUUACACCCCCACUAACCAGUCCUUGAUUGACAAGGCCAUCAUUUUGGAAAGUAAGCUCACUCAAAUGGAGAGCCGCAAGAAGAGACUUCACUAAGGAGGCCCUCACACCGGCCCGCACCAGAAGUAGCGCACCUCCUAUGAUAGAAGUGGCAGUUCCUCCUUGAGCAGGAACAGGAAUCAGAGCAGCCACCGCAGUGGAAGUAAUGGUCACAACCACCGCCAGGGAAACCAAGGACACCACCAUCAGGGUGGCAAUGGGAACCGGCACCAUCAGCAGCACCACCAGCAGCAUCAGUUCUCUCGCCCAAGGCCCACCAAUGGCAAUGGGAAUGGCAGGAAGAACGGCAAUGGUCAGAACCACAACGCCAACAAGGACCUGAGCAAGGUGAGUGUUACAAGUGUCACAAGAUGGGGCACUACGCCACCAACUGCCCGAACAACUAGGAUGGCACUGGGAACAAGCCCAAUCCGUUCCAGAAGGGCCACGCGAAUCACGUGGACGUGGAAGAGAUCACCGAGGAACCAGGUAUCAUACUUGGCAGCUUCCACAUUAAUUCUUUUGAAGUACUAGUUCUUUUCGACACUGGUGCAUCACAUGCAUUCAUUUCAAGAGUAUUGGUAGAAAGAGGAAAAUUACCCUCUGAGACCAUGGGUAGACCCAUGAAAGUGAAUUCACUGGGUGGAACAAUACUAGCAACCUGACACUGCCACCAGCUACCCCUAAGUAUUGGGAGACAUGUUUUUUCCCUUUGAUCUCAUAGUGAUAGAUUCCCGAGGACUGGACCUAAUCCUGAGAAUGGACUGGUUGACCUUGUAUGAAGGUUUAGUAGACUGUGCCCAGAGGACUGUCACACUCACAACCCCUGACAAAAGACGCAUCCGGUACAAGUCAACCCAUGAGCUUAAGAGACCCAAGAUUAAUACUCUUAAGGGGGUUAGCAUGGACGAAGUACCCAUGGUGAAGGAAUACCCGGACGUAUUCCCAGAGGAAUUACCAGGCAUGCCACCGGACCGUGAUGUUGAAUUCCUCAUUGAGUUAAUGCCAGGAAGUGGACCCAUAGCCAAGAGACCAUAUAAGAUGGCCAUGGAUGAAUUAAAGGGGUUAAAGAAGCAGCUAACUGAACAGUUAGCGAAAAGUUUCAUCCGCCCCAGUUCAUCACCAUGGGGAGCACCUGUCCUGUUUGUGGAAAAGAAGGACAAGACUCAACAGAUGUGCAUCAACUUUCGUUCACUAAAUGAGGCGACGAUAAAGAAUAGAUAUCCUUUGCCCAUAAUCAAUGAUCUUUUCGAUCAAUUGAAGUGAGCUCAAGUGUUCUCAAAGAUCGACCUGCGAUCAGGAUAUUUUCAGCUAAAGAUCCGAGAGAUGGAUAUACCCAAGACAACAUUCACCACUAGGUAUGGAUUGUAUGAGUAUACAGUGAUGCCAUUUAGUUUGACCAAUGCACCUGCAUACUUCAUGAACAUGAUGAAUAAGGUGUUCAUGGAUUUCUUGGACAAGUUUGUCAUACUAUUCAUCGAUGGCAUCUUGAUCUAUUCCAAGAGCAAGGAAGAGCAUGAGCAGCAUCUGCGCAUGAUUUUGGAGAAGUUGAGAGCGCACAAGUUGUACGCCAAAUUCAGCAAGUGGGAUUUUUGGUUGUCAGAAGUUAGUUUCCUUGGACACAUAGUGUCAGGAGCCGGAGUAGCUGUUGACCCAGCUAAGGUUGCAGCAGUUACAGAAUGGGAGGCACCGAAGAAUGUCGGAGAAGUCCGCAGCUUCCUUGGACUGGCUGGUUACUACCGGAGGUUCAUUGAGAAUUUCUCCAAAAUAGCAAAACCCAUGACUGAGCUCUUAAAGAAGGAGAAGAAGUUUGCCUGGCAUGAGAUAUGUGAAGAGAGCUUCCAGGAUUUGAAGAAAAGACUAGUGUCUGCGCCCAUCUUUGUUUUGCCUGACCUGCAACAGUAUUUUCAAGUAUACUGUGACGCCUCACGUCAAGGAUUGGGAAGAGUGUUGAUGCAAGGAGGUAGAGUCAUAGCGUACGCUUCGCGCAACUAAAGAGCCACGAAGGCAACUAUCCCACUCAUGACUUGGAAUUAGCUUCGGUAGUGCACGCCCUGAAGACUUGGAGACACUACCUGAUGGGGAAACACUGUGAGUUCUUUACUGAUCACAAGAGCCUGAACUACAUAUUCACUCAGAAGGAGUUGAAUCUGAGGCAGAGAAGAUGGUUAGAACUGAUAAAGGACUAUGACCUGAGUCUGCAAUACCAUCCAGGCAAGGCUAAUGUUGUAGCCGAUGCAUUGAGCCGCAAGGGCUAUAUAAAUGGACUAACAGCUGGAGAUUUAACGCCUGAAUUGUGCGAACAGUUCAAGGACCUCAGACUGAAAAUAGUACCGAAAGGUUAUUUAGCCACUUUGGAAGUACAGCCCACGUUGUUGGAUAAGAUUAGAGAAGCACAGAAGGGCGAUUUGGAAAUAAAGGAAGUAAAAGAGAAUAUGAAUAUCGGAAAGGCUAAAGAUUUCUGAGAGGACGACCAGGGUACCAUAUGGUUCGGAAAACGCAUUUGCGUACCACAGGAUCCGGAAAUCAGAAAGUUGAUACUGCAAGAAGCCCAUGAUUCACCGUACUCAAUCCACCUCGGGAACACUAAGAUGUAUAUGGACCUAAAGGAAACAUUUUGGUGGUCCGGAUUAAAGCGAGACAUCGCCGAGUUCAUUGCCUUGUGCAAUGUGUGCAGCAGAGUUAAGGCAGAGCAUCAGAAACCAGUAGGAUGGAAGUGGGAUAAAGUAGGCAUGGAUUUUAUCACCGGGUUACCAAGGACCAGAUCCGGAUAUGAUUUCAUUUGCGCAGUGGUUGACCGUUUGACCAAGGUUGCCCACUUUAUACCGGUAAAGACUACCUACACUAGUGCACAGUUAGCGAAGCGCUACAUGUCAAGGAUCGUGUGUUUACACGGAGUACCCAAGGAAAUAGUUUCAGACAGAGGUACCCAAUUUACCUCAAGAUUUUGGGGACAACUACAUGAGUCUCUAGGAACGAGACUAGAAUUCAGUACAGCAUUUCAUCCGCAGACGGAUGGACAGACCGAGAGAGUAAAUCAGAUCCUUGAAGAUAUGUUGAGAGCUUGCGCUCUAGAUUAUGGAUCCAGUUGGGAUGACAAUCUGCCGUAUGCAGAAUUCUCAUACAACAACAGCUUCCAACCCAGCAUAGGAAUGUCACCGUUUGAAGCUUUGUAUGGAAGGAGGUGCAGGACACCAUUGUUGUGGGAUGGUGUAGGAGACCGUAGCCUAUUCGGCCCAGAUUUGAUAAAGGAUGCCGAGGAAAAGGUUAGGCUCAUCCGAGAUAGACUAAAGGUAGCUCAAUCAAGGCAGAAGAGCUACGUGGAUUCCAAACGUAGGGAGGUUACCUACGAGAUUGAAGGUAGAGCAUAUCUCAGAGUGUCACCGAUACGCGGAGUUAAGAGAUUUGGAAUCAAGGGAAAGUUAGCACCCUGUUUCAUUGGACCUUUCAAGAUCUUGUCACGCCAAGGAGAAGUGGCUUACAAGUUGGAUUUACCAGAAGCACUGUCCAAUGUCCACAAUGUCUUCCAUGUAUCCCAACUAAAGAAGUGUCGUCCUGAGAUGGCCGACACACCAUUGAGGGAUACGAUACCUCUUGAGGAAGUCCAACUGCAGAGUGACCUCACCUAUGAGGAGAAACCGAUCGGAAUCUUGGAUACAGCUGAGAGACAAAACCGAUCAAAGACCAUCAAGUUUUGCAAAGUGCAGUGGGACCAUCACACUGAAGAGGAAGCCACUUAGGAACGCGAAGAUAAUCUUCGAGAAAACCACCCACACCUAUUUGCUAACCACACCGAAUCUCGAGGACUAGAUUCAUCUUAAGGGGGUCAGGUCUGUAACAUCCCAAAAUUUUCAAACUUUUACAUGUGCAUUGCAUCCAUAAGCAUCAUGCCACAAUUGCAUAUUUGAAUUCAAAUUUGAAUCUCAAAAGGCUUUGCAAAGAUUUUAUUUCAAUUUAAACCCUAAGGUUUACAACCAUUUGAGCUUUGGAUCUUCAAACCAAUAGGGUUUAUUUAUAAAAGGGGUUUAUUGCAUAAAUAAGCUAUCCCAUAAUUUUUGGAUAAUUAUUUGCAGUUGAAAAACUAUUUUAUUUAAAUAGUUAUAUAGCCCUAAAGGCAUUUAUAGGGCAAAUGUAUUUUUAGAUAUUUUAUUUUGAGGGAAAAUUACUCCCAAAAGUUGUAUCAUGAUAAAACAUGAUUUUACAAAUUUUCUGGAAUUUAUUUGGACCAAUUUGGGGCUCAAAAUCAAAAGAUAUCAAAGAAAUAAGAAAAACAGAAAAAGAAAAGGCUAAAAGAAAAAAAAAGGGGAAAACCGGACCGAACCGGCCCAGCUUCGCCCGAGCCGGCCCGAACCGGACCGACCCGGCGCCGCACGCGCACGCCCGAGCCACCGACAGGUGGAGCCCACCUGUCGGGGUCGUCUUCUCCGAGGGGAAAGCCCCGGAUUUCCGCCGCCCGCGCCGCCGCGCGCCGUCUCCGCCGCAAUCUCCUCCCCCCCGUCCUGAUUUCAUAGACCCGACCGCGUCCAUAUAGAGGCCACAGCCUCCUCUCUCUUUUUCCCCUAAACCCCCUCGCCACCACGCCGCCAGGCCGCCGGAAUACCUCGCCGGAGCAAGGAGUCCCCCGCCGCCGUUUUUGCUUCGGGUCAACACCACCGGUGAGCCUCUUCGCCCGAACCUUGCAAUUUCUGGACCGCAUCGUCCUCGCGCACGUUUUGACGCGUGCGGAAUUGUCCUAGGUGCGCCCUAGCAGCCAGAGCAGCGCCGACGACCUCGCCGGAGCCCGUGCCCUCGCCGCCGAGAGUCCCCGCAGUCCUAGACGUCGCCCUCGACCUCGUUUCGUCGCGCGGACCGCGUUACGGUCUUCACCUCAUCGCGCCGCACGCACCCGUGUCUUCCCUGAGCCGCCCGCGUCGCCGGAAUUGCCCGCGCUGCCGCCGCCUGUACCUGUGCCGCCGUCUCCCCCGUCUCCGGUGACCGCCGCCACCGCCAGGUAAACCAUGGCGCAUCUCAGCUGUCCAUUUCAUCCCAACGGCUAAGAUUAGAAGCCCUCGCGCCCUUUAAAACGAACCAGUAUCAUCCAAUGAGAUUGCGACACGUGGCACCUAUUUUAUAAAACAAAAAAUGUAAUUUAAUUCCCGGAAUAAUUAGAAAUGGCACUUUUGCAGAAAAGCCCCCAAAACUUCAAAUGAUCAUAUUUUUUAAUCUGUUUGGCGAAAUUUGAUCAUCCACACCUUUCUAGAAUCCUUAAGAAAUGUAGAAUCUUUGGCACUGUCUGAUUUCAAAUUUGAAUUUUUGAAUCACAGUCAAUUUAUAGAAUAGGGUUUAGUGCCAUUUAAAUCAUAACUAAUUAUUUGGAAGUCCUUUUUAAAUGAAACCAGUGCCCAAAAACUUGUUUUAUUAUCCUCUGUCCAUUGGGACAGAGCAAAAAAUGUUUUGAACCGCUUUUGGUGUUGCGGCGUGACUCCCAGGUGUUCUAGGCUCGCGUCUCUAGCACGGUAUUGCCUAGGGCCAGCACGGUACCGUCGUUGAGCUAUUAUUCAACUUGUGGCAUUACUGUUUUGAAUUGUUGCUACAGAUAUUAGGAUACAGCCACCCAAAGCUCCACAUAUUCCUACACCGUGCGUUGACACCGCCUGGCAAUCGCUUUAUUCAAUCUUCCUGAGGUUUAAUCACAACGGUUGCUAGUCACCACCUGCUGCAGGGUAAGAACGGGUAAGAAUCUUGGUUUGCUUGACAGAUUACGCGUUCUCCGCCACUUGCCCGAAGCAUAUACACCCAUAUUGCUGUGCUUUUUGAAUACUAAUCAUGAUAGGUGGGGAGGAGACUUCAGAACCAACAAGCGCUGAAGUACAGGCGAACUUCACCAAGCUUUUGGACGAUCACAUGCAGGACGUCGACAAACGCUUUAAUGAUACGAUGGAACACCUUGGGGGCCUCGAAACAUCUUUCACCGACAAGCUUGACGCCAAAUUCCGGGAGUUGAUGGCGCGCUUGCCACAACCUACCGCCACUCGGGCUCCCCCUCUCCACGCAUUCGCAGGGCGGGCACAGCGUGUUCCCGUUCACCAAGGUCAAACCUCGACUGCUGCUGCUCGUGAGGAGCAACAUGAGGAGUCUUACGGGGACGACGAGUCCAAGGGCAAGCGAGAGGACGAGGGGGAAGUUCUACAACAGCCGCGUGGUCGUCCACGCCCCUACAUUCGCCACGCACGCCCGCAUGUGCCGCCGGUACGUGAUGAUGACCAUGUUGCGAAAUUAAAAUUGACUAUACCCAUGUUUGAUGGUAGAUAUAAUCCUGAUGCAUACCUUUCAUGGGAAUUAGAUGUACAACAACAUUUUACAUGCUUAAAUUAUCCAGAGGAUAGACGUGUUAGUGCUGCUACUUGUGAGUUCACUAGUUUUGCUUCCAUCCGGUGGACUGAAUAUUGUCGUGUUAAUUAUGCUAAUCCAGUCACUACAUGGGAUGCUUUGAAACGGGCCAUGCGAACUCGUUUUGUGCCACCAUCAUAUCAGCGUACCUUGCUCAACAAAUUAACACGUUUAGAUCAGGGCAAAAAUUCUGUAGAAGAGUACUAUCAAGAAUUACAAACUGGUAUGAUGCGUUGUGGCAUAGUGGAAGAUAAUGAAGCUUUACUUGCACGAUUUUUCGAUGGGUUAAAUAAGGAGAUUCAGACCAUUCUUCGAUAUAAGUCAUACCAUACUAUAACUCGUUUGUUCCACCUUGCUUGCAAUGCUGAAUGUGAAGUGCAGGAUCGGAGAGAGGCGACCCGAACUAACUUUUCUGCAGGGCGUUCUAAUUCUUGGAGAACAUCGCCUUCUUCGUCACGGGCUGCUGCACCAUCCACUUCCACGCCCACACCCACGCGAGCUACAACUACUACAUCGCCUCCUGCGCCGCAUAGGAACGAAGGCCGGGAACAUGUUGGCUCCAAAAUGGGAGGGCCCCUUCCGGGUAGUGCAGGUGACCAGGCGGGGGGCUUUCCGGCUGGAAACUGAAGAAGGCUUGCCGGUGCAAAAUAGCUGGAAUAUUGAGCACAUGCGCAAGUUCUACCCGUGAAGCGGCGGAGCCCAACCCACAGGUGAUGCCGCCGAAGCAUGCCUCUCGAACUAGUGUACCUGGGCAACCCCCGAUUGUAAACCACUAGUUGCUGUGAAUAAAGAUAAGUGCUUUCUCCUAAAUUGCAAGUUGCCUCGAUUAUUUGCGUAUUUUCUCUCCUUCUGUCUCCUGCUUUAGGUGGACAGAAGUAUCUUUCUAUCCUUGGUUAUUAACAGGGGGUUGCCAGAGCCUCGAAACGAAAACCUGUUGCUGGAUCACUCCGGCACGGGGUCAUGCCGUUGCCGGGCUCCCCGCAACAUGCAUCACGCAAACGCUGCGUCUUGGAAUAGAGGAGUGCUCACACCCAAGUUUGGUAUCGACCCUUCUGUGCUCGGGGGCUGGGAGGCAAGAGGGUUAUCCAUGUUGCCCCGUGUUUUCGUGAAUUUCGAAAAAAAUUUGCAGCAUCCUGGGCUUGGUAAGAAUCUGACACGCAGGAAAAAACGGAGUCGGGCGCACUGUACUGCUCGUGGACCACCCACGGGUUGUGGCGCUUAGCGGUGCCUUGUAGUGUGGAGCGACCGCACUUCAAGGUUCUCGCCGCACUUCGAGGCUCCUGCUUCAGGGGGGAGCCGUCACGUGUGCCGCGGCGACUUGGCGUGCGUGGUGGCGAGGUCCUUACCGCACUUCAAGGGGUGUGGCACCACGGGGGCCGCGGUGACCCGGCGCGUGUGGGGGCAAGCCCCCCCUCCCCCCCCCCCCCCCCCGCGCCUAUAAAAGGGCGUACCAACCAUGGAGCAGCUCAGAGCGAAGCCAAGGAGAUGGUUGCAAAGACGAGCGAGGCCGCGGAGACACGGUGGUGGUGCAUGCCAUCCGCGCCCGACGCCGAUGGGUGCAAUGCCGUCGUGCCCCUGCCACGUCCCUCCGCCAGAAAGCUUCAAGCCCAGGAGCGCCGCAGAGACGCGAUGGCAGCGCAUUCCUCCGGCGCUCGUCGUCGGCGGGCGCUGCCAUCGCGUCCUUGCCGCGCCUCCUCCACCACGCGGUACUAAGGUGAGGGUUGCCGCUGUGGUGGCGCAACCACAGCGUUCCUGCCGCAUCCCUCAAGUGGGCUUCUCUAAAGGCGAGGGUUGCCGCGGUGACGCUGUCGGGGUGGCGCCACCCGUGCUUGGCGCCGGUGUUGCCCCCGCCACAGCGUUCCUGCCGCAUCCCUCAGGCAAGCGGAUUCAAGAGCAAGGGCUGCCGCGGCGAUGCUGUGGGGGUGCAUGCCAUCAGUGCCUAGUGCCGAUGGGUGCACAGCUACAGCGCCCCUGCCGCAUCCCUUCGACAAGCAUACCAAGCACGGGAACAAACGGAAAGCUAAGUACAUGAACCUGGUCCGGGAACUUUCUAAUACUAAACGUUGGAUCGCUAGCGUGGCCCAAACCUUGCGUGUGGCUGGGGUGUUAGAAGGACGCUCGCGGGGGGAGUGCGUUCCUCGUGCGGCUGGCGGGUCCGUCCCGGGAGCGCAUGCUGGGGGGUGGCUACCCCGCAAGCGGAGUGGCUCGCCGCUUGUCGCACCAGUGGCACUCGGGGUACCACCCUUGCACGACGCGUGGGUCGCAUCCCUGGGUUCCCGGGAGGAUCUCACCUCGGGCGGCAGUGUAUAGGCUGCCCGGCAAGCCACCAGCCUGGAAGGGCUCGCGGGGCUUCGGGGAAUGUUCCCGCCUGGGCAUCUCUCGGGAAGUCACUCGCCGGGAGGAGGGGUUCCUGGGCGCAGGUUCCCGCUGUGAGGGCGGGGCCGAGCCGGCAGAGCAGCGACGCCACGUGGGCGCGCGCCAGGCACCUAGUGUGCAGUUUUUCCAGGGCAAGGAGUGAGGCGCACGGCGCAUUUAAUGAGCCGACAGGAGGGGCGUUACCCGUCUAGUCAGGCGAACAGUGGCCGUCCAGUCCUAUGUUUUAGGCCCUAGAUCCCUAGCCGCGGGGUUGGCACCCGUGCAUGCAUGCCAGCGCACCGAGGAGGAGCUGCCUAAGCUCCUUGCUCGCCACUUGUAAACCAUGCACCGUGGCACCUGUGGUAUCCCCUUGGGUAUAAAAGGAGGACCCCCACCAACGGUCAAAGGGUUCUUUUUUUCGUUGGUUCAUAGUUGUUUUGUUCGUUGGUUGCACGGGCAGUAGUCUAAAGUAGAAGAGAACACUUAGCCAAAAAGAGACCACUCGGGGGCUCCCCCCCGGCAACCUCUAAACAACAGAUUCCACAGCAAUACAAGCUCAGACAAGCAGGACGUAGAGUUUUACACCGCAAGGUGGCCCGAACCUGGGUAAAAAGUGUGUGCAUGUGCCCUUGGUAGCGUUCCUGGUGCAUUCCUUCAACUUCAGCAGCCAGAGCGGGGCCGAGGCCUGCCGACGGCGGCGCCGGCAAGGAGGAAGCCCAGGGAGGACGCGGCCAGGCCCGCAUUGGCAGGGAGUGCCCUCCCCGAGGACGGGACAAGGCUCGUGCCGAGGAGCAGCGCGAGUCUGACUACACUGGCGGCGACGAGCCGGGCUUCCAGGAGCCCCCCGGCGUCGCCUGCAUCCAUGGGGGAGCGUAAGCUCCCCCAUCUGAUAUGGACAUGCUAACCAUGGAUACGACCUUUGAUACCCUCAAUUCUAUAAUACUUGACAAGAUUUAUAAUCAGGUGAAUUCAAGUAGUAAUUGUUUUCAUUGUCAUACUUAUGAAGAGGCGGAGCUACUACUAUCUUGUCUCGUUUUAUUACGUAGGCAUCUUGUCGAGCUUUUCAAGUCCAAGGUCAAGAUGAGAUACGGUGGAGGCGAACGGAAGGGCCAACAAGAAUCAAGCAUUCAUACAGCUGAGAGGGAAGGAUUUCAAGUGUACUUUCCAACAAAUCAAACGGCACAUGAUUCGGAGCUUGCUAGAGAAAGAUAUCACGAAUUAAAGUUGAAUCCGAUUCGGGUCCGAGCUGCCAGGAGACCCGAAUUUGUUUUAAUCACCCAGGCCGCAUCCGGAGUCCAAAUCAAGCAAACAAGUACUUGUUGGAAAGGUAAUUACAAGACCUUUCCAACGGAUCUGGCCCCAUCAAGAGAUUCGACUCGUGCUGACCGUGACGGACAAAACAAGCUGACGGAUCUGUUUUUCUGUUUCCUAAAGAGUUGUAGUUUGUUAGGAAAGUUAGAGAUAGAGUUGGAUUUCGGACUCCUUAUUCAAGGUGGACGAAAAUAUCUCUCCCUCCUCCUUUAUAUACCCCAUGAGCCCCCCUAAGGAGCCUUGGGUUUUGAUUAGAUAAAGUUUAGCCAUCUUUGCUACUUUCGUGUAAUCGCGUGUGUCGGUUAGACCACCUGUUUUACCGUCGUCAAGACUCCAACUUAUCGUCUCGUUAAGACAUUGGUUUGAUAUAGUAUAUUCGCAAUUUUAGAUUGCAUCCGCUAUUUAUCUUGUUCUUGCUUGUUCUUCGAUUGCUUGCAGGAACAAAGACCUUCGUGGUCAGGUUGAUCGUGUCCCCGCGUGAUCAAUAACCCUUUGGAGUUGGUGUAUCGAUUGCUAAGGCGCUGCCUCCUAGGCCGUAGUCGGAUCGUCAACGUCACCUCCUACCCAAAUCGAGAGUUACCAAUCUCAUCGAAAGAUCGGGCCACCCGCACCCGUAUCACCAUCCCAUGCCGCGGUGAAGCGCCUCACCCGUGACGUGCGCGCAUUGUUGCCGUACGCGGAGCCGCAGCAGCCGCUAAGGUGGUCGCACGUGCUAAGGACCUUCAGCGCCGACGAUCACCCAGCGCGGCAGCUGGGUUCCGGGGUCAUACCCUUCGAGGUCUCACUGAUCAUCAGCAACAUGACGGUGACCAAGGUGCUGGUGGACAACGGAGCGAGGUUAAACCUCCUGUCCGCCAGGUUGGUGGAGAAACUCCAGUUGCCAGUGGAGCAGCUGAAGCCCACCGACCCGUUCGGGGGAGUAAACCCCGGGUUCGUGCGCCCCCUCGGGUCCCAGGAAGCGUUCAGGACUGAGCACAUAGUGUUCGGCGUGGCGCACACCCCGUUGCCCUACAACGGGAACCUUGAUCAGCCGGCACUGAUCAAGUUCAUGGCAGCGACGUAUUGCACCUACGGCGUGAUGAAGAUGCCGUCCGUAUACGGAGUCCUCUCCAUCAGGUGCGACCUCAAGGACGCGGCCUGGUGCGUGGGCGAGGCUGUCAGGGCCGCCGCCGCAGCCGACGCCGGGGACGAGGAUGUGGCCGGACACGGAGGCUCGCCGGGUGAUGGCCCGGCAACGAAGAAGGCCCGCGCUGCCCCGCAAGAGCUUGCCGGGGGAAGCGCAGGCUCGAACUCAUGCCCCGGCAAGGGCCAGAAGCUCCGGGAGGAGGCCCCUAAGGUGAAGAAGCUGCCCCUCCAAGCCGGCAACAAGGAGCGCACCGUCAUCGUCGGUGCGAACCUUACACCUGAAUAGGAAAGCGCCCUCAUCACUUUCCUCCAGGAGAAUGCCGAUGUGUCCGCUUGGGAGCCGUCGGAUCUCCCCGGAGUCCCUACGGAGGUGAUUGAGCAUCGACUCGCGGUGCGCGCGGACGCCUGCCCCGUCAAGUAGAAGAUUCGACGGCAAGCGCAGGAGCGCAAAGAUUUCAUCAAGCAAGAGGUGGACAAGCUCAAGGCUGCCGGGGUUAUCUGGGAAGGUUUUUACCCCACUUGUUUAGCUAACCCCGUAGUAGUGCCGAAGGCGGGGAAUAAGCUUCGCAUGUGCGUAGAUUUUACUGAUCUAACCGUGCAUGUCCCAAGGAUCCUUUCCCUGUACCCCGUAUCGAUCAAAUAGUUGAUUCCACCGCUGGUUGUGACUUGCUGAGCUUCCUAGAUGCUUUUUCCGGCUACCAUCAAAUUAAGAUGGCGGUCGAAGACGAGGAGAAAACGGCGUUCAUCACCGCGGCUGGCUGCUACUGUUACACGUGCAUGCCUUUCGGGUUGAAGAACGCGGGUUCAACUUUGCAGCGCGCGUGGUAAGAAUCUAAUGUGCAGGGUAAAGGCGGAAUCUUGCGCACUGUAAUGCUCAUGGACCAUCCACAGGGUCGUGGCGCGUAGCGGCGCCUUGUGGUGCGGAGCGACCGCAUCACGGGGGACUCACCGCACUCCGAGGCUCUUGACCCAGGACGAAGCCGCCACGUGUGCCACAGCAACUUGGCAUGCAGAGUGACGAAGACCGCAUUGUGCUGGUGCCACGGGUGUUGCGCUGGCCCGUCGUGCACGGUGGCAAGCCCUUCCCCCGCGCCUAUAAAAAGCGCGCCCCGGCCAUAGAACGUCUCAGAGUGAAGCCAAGGAAGAGGUUGCGAAGGCGGGCUGUGCCGCAGAGACGCGAUGGUAGUGCAUGCCAUCGGUGCCCACACCGACGGGUGCACUGCCAUCACGCCCUUGCCGCAUCGCCCCACCGAGCCCACUCCGAGGGGCGUCGCAGAGACACGGUGGGGGUGCAUCCCACCGGCGCCUGGCGCCGGCGGGUGCACUUCUGCAGUGCUCCUCUAGAGGGCGAGGGCUGCCGCAGAAGCACUGUGGUGGUGCAUUCCAUCCGCGCUUGGCACUGACGGGUGCACUGCCGAAGUGCUCCGGCCGCAUCCCUCCAGAGGGUAUCUCCGCAAGGAGCGAGGGGUGUCGCGGAGACACUAUGGUAAUGCAUGCCAUCGGCGCUCAGCGCCGACGGGUGCACUGCCGUAGUGUCCCAGCCGCACCCCUCCAGAGGCGAGGGUCGUCACAAGGAUGCUAUGAUGGCGCCGGUGCCGGCGUUCGCUGCGGCCCCCCACAGCGUCCCUGCGGCGUCCCUCUGGCAGAUUUUCCCCAAGCAGCGAAGGAUGCUGUGGGGACGUCGUGAUGACCUCGCCACCCGCGUGCCGGUGGCGGCAAGGAAGUCACGACGUCCCUGCUGCAUCCCUUGGGACAGGUUCCUCCGAAACCAAGGGCUCUCCUAAAGGCAAGGGUUGUUGCGGAGAUGCGGCGGUAGUAUCGGUGUCGGUGCUUGACGCCGGCGGCAAUCCUGCGGCGGCGUUCCCGCCGCCUCCCUCAAACAGGCUUUCUCAAGGGCAACAUACCAGGCGUGCAAGCAAACGUUCCGAGCAUGAGACCGAACGAGAAGCUAAGUGCUUGAACCUGAACGAUAAACUCUUUAAGAAUUGAACGUAACUGAACGCUGCCUCACUAAGGGUGGCCCCGGAACCUACGUGUGGCCGAGGUGUUAGGAGGACGCUUGCGGGGGGAGUGCGCUCCCCGUGUGGCCUCCGGGUCCGUCCCAGGAGGGCAUGGCUUGGAGUAGUUACUCCGCAAGUGGAGUGGUCGCGCGCUAUUUCUUGACCCCAGGUCGGCACUGCGGGUUCGUCCUGGGUCCCUGGUCUGGUCAAGAGUGAGGCGCGCGAGUCCCCGGCAACACGAAGCACACCACAGAAAGGCAAAGGGACCCACCCUGCGAGGCAGCCCCGGGAACAGGGAGCAAGGAUUAAGCAGAACUAAAAAGCUUGAUUAACUAAGUACCGAAUGAUUACAUUAACUAAUGAAAAUGUAAUUGUUCAAACGGCGCCAAGCGCCACACUUGCAGGGUGAAAACGAAAGAAGGUAAACAAGAAAACGGCAAAGGCCGGCAGGAGGCUGCGGCAACUAGUUGCCGGCGUCUUCUGCCGGGGGCUCCGGGGACGGCUCGGGGUCCGGCUUCCGCUGCAUCCGCUCGACCACCUCGUCGAUGAACCCACACACGGCCUGAGUGUGGGUGGGCUUGUCCUUGCUGUCCGACUAGGCGUCCAGCAGCGUCUCGAAGGGAAACUCCGGGUCCCGGAGGUGUAUCCUCUGAAGGAUCGUCCCAGCAACUUCCCGGGCACAGUUGGCAACCUCGUUGGCGCCAAACUGGGCGAUCCCGACGUCGAGUGCCCCGAACUUCCCCACCAGAUCGGAGAAGAAUGGGAUCAGCGUCGAGACAUCCGUGCCGUCGACCUCCGCGGCCUGCAGCUCAAACCGGGGCAGCAGGCCCCGCAGUGCCUGGGCGAUCUUGAGCAGCUUCUCAGUCUCCAGAUGCCGCUCCCCGAUCAGCGUGCCGUGGUGGAGCCGGGCGUCGUGCGCGGCCUUCUUGGCCUUGCGGAGGUGGCUCUCCAGCGUCGCGAGCUCCGCGGCCUUGGCUACGUUGUCCUUGCCGGCCUUGGCGAGCUCCUCCUGGACAGUAGCCAGCUCGGGCUCGAGCCGGGGCGCUCUGUCCUUGGCGGCGCUGAGCUGGAUCUCGUGCCGGGCCGCCGCGCCGGCCGCGCCCAGCGCGCCUUUGGUCGCCUUGACCUGUACCUCCAGCUUGACGCGCAGGCCCUGGUUCUCACCGAGGUAGUUGGCGAUCAGAUCGCUCUUCUCGCCGAUCCGAGCCUCGGCUGCAACGAGCACCUCGGCGUGCUCCUUCUUGGUUGCCGGUUGAGCCGCCACGAGCGAGUCCACGGCCCCCUGGAGCUCGGUGCGCUGGGCCUCCAGCCGCCGGUAAAGCUCCUCCUCGGGGAUGACCGGUGUGUCGGCAUUCUCCAGGGCUUCCAGGGCAAGGCGCGCCUCCUCCCUGGGAAGGCGCGUCUCCUUCCGCAGCCGGGAGAGUUCCUGCCGCUCCUUCUCCACGGCUUGCCGCAGCUCGCCAAGCUGGCUCUUGGCGAUGGCGUGAUGCUCCCUCACCUCGUUGAAGGAGGUGACGAAGGCCAGUUGCUGGUCCUUGACGGCGUCGAGGAACCGGUGCCCUCGGUCGAAGACACUCGGAUCCCAGGUGAUGGGAUUCCAAGCCACCGUGGCAAGGGUGCCGAGGUCGGUGUUGAAGGAGGCAGCCGAUGACGAUGAAGCCCCAGCCACCACCUUAGAGCUGGGCGAGGGGUCGCCCGCCUGUGCCGGAGCGUCCUGUCGCUCCUCCCCGGCAACCUCCCUCUCACCCGCGCCCGGGGACUGCAGGGCUGGUGAGGCUGCCGCGCCCCCGGCAGGGACCGUCCCCUACUAGGCGGCAGAAGAAUCCACGCCAGCAGCGUCCGCGGCUGCAGGCGCGUCGCCGGGCGCCAUCCCGGGGGCGGCGGUGUUCACCGCGGCCGCCGUGGCCGGCGCAAUCGGGCUUGUUGCGGUGGCCACUUCCGGCUCCUCCGCCACCCCCGUGACCUCGACGUCGGAGUCGAGGUCAACCACAGCAGCACCCGCUCCCGGUGCAGGUACACUUGGGCCUGCAGCGGCGAGAAGUGUGAGAAGCGGGAAGCUAAAAAGUUGCCCAGAGGCGGAUAAGGGGGCUUAGGAUGGUUACCUUGUAGGGCCGUUGGGCUUGCGGGGGGAGCCUCCCCUCAUCCUCCGUCCCGGCAGGGGUCUCUAGGAGGCUUGCUGCGGGUGGAGUGUCGCCUACGGCGAGAGAAGGUUCAGUUACGUGGUUAGCUGAGAAUCGAAAGUAAAUGGAAAGGGGGCAAGAAGGAACUGCAGCUGUUGCCGGUGCCACCUCCGUUGGGGUUGGGUCACCGACAGGUGCGAUGGUGGCGCUAAUGGCCCCAGUGCCGGCCGGGUCGGCAGCGCUGCCGGCAUCCGCGCGUGCCUUCUUGCUAGGCGCAGCAGGCGGGGAGUCAUCCCUCCCCCUCUUGCUGGCGCUCGCCGACGAAUCGGCCCUUGAUGGAUUGCGCCGAAGCGUGUCAUCGCACGGGUCUCCGACACCAGGGGCGUGCUGGCACACCCCCUUUUAGGUUCGGCAGGGGCGUUGAGGAUCGCUCCGGUGAUCGCCGGUGUGGCCGAUGGCGUACGUAGCCUGAAAAGAGGCACACCUUAGGUACAUGCAAGUAGAGAACACAUGCACGAGCAUUUUUACCCAGGUUCGGGCCACCCGGAGGUGUAAAACCCUACGUCCUGCUUGUCUGAGCUUGUAUUAACCAAUGAACAAGAGUUUACAGGUUGCCGGGGGGAGUCCCAGGAUGCUCUCCUUUUUGGCCAAGUGCUCCUUGCUACUCUCCGCUAAUGCUAGAGGCUAACUGUGAGCCGUCGAACCUAGAACCAACUAAAAUCAGAACCGAACCCUUUGACUGUUGGCAGGGGUCCUCCUUUUAUAGCCAAGGGGAUGCCACAGGUGCCACGGUGCAUGGAUUACAAGUGGCGAGCAGGGAGACAAGGCAACUCCCCCUCGGUGCGCCGGUGGCAUGCAUGGGUGCCAACUCCUCAGCUAAGGGUCUAAGGCCUAAGAAUUAGCCCUGGACAACCACUGUUUACCUGACUAGAUGGGUAACUCCUCGCCCUGGCGGGACUGCGCACGGGAUGCCUGACGCGCGCCCACGUGGCGCUGUUACUCUGCCUGCUCGGCCCCGCUCUCACGAUGGUGGCUUCCCAGGAGGUGGCCAGGCGGGAAUAUUCCCCGAAGCCUCGCUAGCCCUUCCGGGCUGGGGGCUUGCUAGGCAGCACGUUAAGUGCUUCUCGGGAUGAUGCCUUCCCGGGAACUCGGCGAUGCGACCCACGCGUCGCGCAACGGUGGUACCCCGGGAGCCACUGGUGCGAUAGAGCGCGAAGCCCCGGAAGACCCCCCGAGCAGGCGGAACCAUGGUUGCCCGUGGUGUUGCCGCGUCCCGGGGCACUGCGGGCACCGACGACGAGGCCGCCGCAACGGGCCUUGGCAGCCACUACUGAGGUAGCCGCCACCGGGUCGCUGGCGGUCACUGCCGGGGGGGUCUCCGCCGUGGCUCCGAUGACCGCCACGGGUGCGGUCGCUGCCGAAGUGCCGGCGGACGCCUCUAGGGUGGCUGCCGCCGCUGGAGCCAAUCGUCAGCCAUAAUAGGUUCAGUGGAGCUGAAAAACGUGGGCGGGCGCAAACGCAGAAAUCUGGUCAGCAUAUCCACUUGGGGUGGGUGGUGCUGCUGGUUGUUGUGGUUCUGCUGAUUGUUGUUGUUGUUGUUGGCCAACUGUUGGGUGAUCAUCUGGAAGAAUUGGGUCUGGGCGGCUAAUAACUGCUGUAUGGUGGCAGCAUUCCCUUCCGCGUUGGCAUUGUUAGCCUCGGCGUUGUUGGCGGGGUUCCGGCGUCUCGGAGGCAUCUGUUUAGGGUAGCAUAGAUGAGGAAACAGAUAGAAUAGAGCUAAGGAUAACUAAACCCCCAAACAAGAUAUUACUCAAGCAUAUAUCAAUCAUACACUCAUCAAUCAAAAGGUUUUGAAAAAUCAUAGCAAAACACACUUGUUUAUGGCGGGACAUUGCCCAUAAAGAAAAGAGUACGAGGAGAAAACAAUCGACCUACAUUGCCAUACACAUAGAUUGUAUGGUCAAUGACUAACUCGCAAUGCUGAUAACGAUAAAACUAAUAUAAGCUGGUAGGCAUCAAUAGAUCUAAGGGAGUGUGGCUGUCGGUGUGGUCCCGUUCGCCUUCAUCUUGGAGCGGGUGUUGGUUGCAAGGGUGUCCAUCUCGUGGACCUCCUGGGGCUCCUCCUCCUCAGUCGGUUCCUCCUCCUGAGGCUCCAUCUCCUGAUCCUGUGGCGGAGGUGGGAACUGGACGGGCGCCGGUGCUGCAGCUGGUACUACUGCGGCUGCGGCUGCGAUGAACGCCUGGAACUGCUCGCAGUAGUAGCGAGCCUGGUCCCUCUCAUACUGCAGCUGCUCGAUGGCGUCUCCCAUGUUGAGGACAGUGUUCUCCAACACGGCCUUGUCCUCCAGCCACUGGGUCUUCUCUCCCAGUAGAUUACCAACCUGCUCCUCGGCUAGGUUGGCCCUGGUCACCUCGUGCUCGAGGCAAGACUCCAAGUCCACGGUGUUUAUCUCCAUGUUCUCGAAGUGGGUCGUCACUGGGGUUGCAUCCUCGUCGUUGGUCGUAGCCACUGCCGAGCAUGCAUGGUUCCGCCUUCCAAAGAGGAGGAAGGGGGAGUCCUCGGGGAACUCAUGCCGAUAGUCCCGGCACACCUGUGCGAAGGCGCACUGCAUGGCGAACUGAAGGCCCUGCUCGAAAGUGGGGUAGCGGCUGAUGAAGGUGAUAUCCGGCGUAGCUGGCGCGAUCUCACGCCCGCGGAUCUUUCGCCUCGAUCUCCCACCGUGGCUGCCAUCCCUCGGGUGCGGCGGUCUCGACUCGGCCUCUGAACCUGGAUGGUGGCAGGUCGAGGAACGCACACAGUGCCGCCAAAGGGGCACUGAACAGCUGGUCGUCGUCCGUGGAGGGGUAGUAAACUCUAGUGAACGGCGGGACGUUGCCAAAAGGUGUUGGGCUUCCCAUCUAUAGAAAAUAAAGAAGGAGAUAAGGAAGUAUCAGUGACAUGAUUAAAUGGUCGAAUGUAAGUAAAAAUAAAAUACAAGUGGUAGAGUGGGAAUCAAGUGAUAAACAUUAAUAUCAUGGGUGGGAAUGUAAAUAUAAAAUUGGAUGCAUACUAACAUGUGAACAACAUGGCAACAUGAUUAUAGUGGUGUAUGGUGAAAAAAAAUCAAAUUUGCAUCUGUGGUAUAAUAUAAUAAACAUGCAUAUGUGGUAAUAAGCAUAGUAUUCGAUGUAUAUGUGGGAUAAAACAGUAAACAUGUCAUGCAUAUGCAAGAUAUAAAUGCAAAGAUUUAAAUGAAUAGGGAUAAGGAAUAAAAUACAUGUAUAUAUAUAUAUAUAGAUCAGAUAGGGAUAAGAAAUAAUCCUAAGGUCGGGUCUUUGGUCUUGUCUUAUCCUAAUCCAACUUAGGGUCACGUUCCUACAGGCAACACAUUGCUCUGAUACCAUCUGAAGCGAUCCCCCUUCACCAAGGAUUCGAUCUCUGUGCUUACUUGUGCUAGUCCCUGGAUCGACUCACUAGCACACACAGUUCAAGAUGUAAUACCAAGAUACAAAGGUCAAAAGUACUUUAUUACAUCGUAUCAUCCAGAACUUAAAUUGUACUUACAAAUUUGCAUGACCUCCUAGGCCAGCAUAAACAAAUAGUGUUCAAAACCAUGAUAGCAAUGUAUCAUGAAACUGCAGCGGAAAGGCAGAGUAAAAGGGCCUCAUCUACUCCCAGAGGAGAGAGCAUGUUGGAAUGUAAACACAUGACCCAAAGAAAUAUCGACGAACCUCACUCUUCGUCAGUUUCACCUGCAUUAUUAAUUGCAGCCACUACGUGGUCAAUACAUUUGAAUGUAUUGGCAAGCUCACUAGAGUUAUAAAGGACCUACCAAAUACAUGCAUAGUUUGGCUAAGUGGGGUUUGGCUAGUUUGCAUAAAAGCAUCAUUAUUCAAUUCCUAUCAUUUUUAGACAAAUAGUUUUGAAUUAUAUUGGACACAGGGUAGAAACACCCAUGCUCCUAUUAACCUAGGCACAUUGAGUAGAAACAUCAAUGCUCCUACGCAGUUCAAACCAUUCAUUUUAUUAGGAAAUUGGAAUGAAUGAGACCUUCCUUACAGCCCCAAUAUCUAGUUGCUCAUAAUUGUCCGUAACCGGGGACACGGCUAAGUACUUAGUUGACACUCUCGAGAGGUGGUACACUUUACCCACAAGAAAUCGACGUGUUAAUCCCUUGCCGUCCUCCAGAUGGAGUAGCAACGGCAUCGAUUACAGGAAUUUUCAGAACAUAUUCCCCCAAACCACCUGAGGGACGCGUUCCAACCUACACUGCUACAUACCGAUGUCACCUCGGAUCCAGGUUCAUAUUUCUUACAUCCAUCCUGGCAGAGCCCAUAAUACCAUGUGGUUGUACUGGAAGCUACUAAACAGGAAACUAGUCCAGUCUCUGGUUAUCCCGGGUGGCAUCCCACAUUGUGACGCAGGCGCUCCCCGAAUCGCACGGGGAGACGACCAUGGACGCUCCCGAAUCACACGGAGAGACGACUCAGCGGGCCCCAUAGAAAUGGACCUAACGUCACUACAUCCGAAUACUCAAAGCAGUCCACCCAGGACGGUUCAUUGAAUUACUUGUUUUGCCAUACACUAGGAAAAUUAUAUUGUAAUUCAAUAGUAUCACAUUGUAAUAAUACCACCUUCGUAUAUUAUCAUAGCAUAGCAUUUUACUACUACGAUGGCAAUUGGUGGUAAGGUCAUGACAAAGGGUAUCCUGUACUACUAGGGCAAAUCAUAUCUAGCAUAGGUACAGUAAUAAUCCUAACAAUGCAACUAAUAAAAUGUAGUGCAUAAUAAAAUAAUGGGUAAAUGAUCAAAGUGAACUUGCCUUGAUAGUAGUUGGUAUUCAAACACUCUUCGCAAUCACACAGUUCGCUCUCCGAGAAAACUAUACAAUCAAGCAAACAUACACAUACAUAAACACACCAUACAAGAAAAGAAAAUGUAUGCCAUGAUGCAAUGCAAAACAUGUGACAUGAGUUUGGUUUAUUUUAUUUGGGUGAUCUACUGAUCCAAGGCCUUGAGAAUUAAGCACAUGCAAUUAGGGUUUUUAAGCAAAAGCAAAGGCUAGGGUUUAAACCCUAAAAUGAGGUUUUAUUGGCAUCAGCCAAAUAUAUUAGUUCAAAAUAUUUAUUUCUCUGUCCCAUUGGACAGAGGACAAUAAAAAAAAAAUUGGGCACUGGUUCCAUUCAAAAAGGACUUCUAAAUAAAUAGUUAUGAUUUAAAUGGCAUAAACCCUAAUCUGUGAUUUGAAUGUGAUUCAAAAAUUCAAAUUUGAAUUUGGACAGUGCCAAAAGAUUCUACAUUUCCUAAGGAGUCCAAAAAGGUGUGGAUCAUUAAAUUUGGCCAAACAGAUUAAAAGUUAUGAUCAUUUGAAAUUGCAGGGGCUUUUCUGCAAAAGUGCCUUUUAUUAAUUCCGGGGGAUUAAAAUUACAUUUUCACUUUAUAAUUCCGGGUGCCACGUGUCAGCAUCUAAUUGGUGCGUACCGGUUCGGUUAAAAAUUAAAACGGGAUCUAAUCUUAGCCCUCGGAUCCGGAUCGGACGGACGAGGGGAGUUCUAGGGUUUACCGGCGGCGGCGGCAGUCACCGGAGACGGAGGGGAUGGCGGCGCUAAGCGGUCGUCGCGGGGGUGGCCGGGGACGGCGCGGCGCGGCACGGCGGAGACGGGGGCGCGGUCGGCGUGGGCUCGGGCGGCGCGGGUCGUCGCCUAGGACGAAGACGGGCGGGCGGCGCGGGCGGCGGACGGCGGCGCGGCCUCGGGUGUCGUCGGUGGGGAGCUGCAGCGCACGAAAAGGAAAAAGAAGCGCGUCAUCUUGACCGCGAGGGAGAGAGCGGGACGGCUUCGAGUUUUACUCACGGAGCUCGUCGGCGUGACACGAAGACGGCGACGACGCGGGUGCGGCUCCGGCGAGGGAUUCCGGCGGCCUGGCGGCAUAAUUGAGGGGGAGGGCAGAGGGGAAAAGAGGAGGGGGCCGCGGGGUUUAAAAGGACGCGCUCGGCCAUUCAAAAGGAAGGGCGGAGGAGGAGAUCGCGGGGGCGAGUGCGCGGGGACGGCGGCCGGGAGUCGCGGCGGCGGCGCGGGGCUUUCCUUCCGGGGAAGAAGCCCCUGACAGGUGGGCCCCACCUGUCAACGGGUGCGGGGGUGCGCGAGGGGCAGCCGGGCGGGCGAGGCGGCGCGCGCGCGGUCGGGCGCGGUCGGUCUGGGCCGGUUCGGCCCAAAAUGGGCGGGCCGGUCCGUUUGCUCUCUUUUUUUUUUCUUUUACCCUUUUCUUUUUCUGUUUUUCUUAUUCCUUUGAUAUCUUUUGGUUUUGAACUCCAACUUGGUCCAAAUAAAUCCCAGAAAAUUUGUAAAAUCAUGUUCCACCAUGAUACAACUUUUGGGAGUAUUUUCCCCUGAAAAUAAAAUAUAUAAAAAUACAUUUGCCCUAUAAAUAACUUUAGGGCUAUAUAUCCAUUUAAAUAAAAUACUUUUUCAACUCCAAAUAAUUAUCCAAAAAUUAUGGGAUGGCUUAUAUGUGCAUUAAACCCCUUUUAUACAUAAAACCUAUUGGUUUGAAAAUCCAAAGCUCAUACGGGUGUAAACCCUAGGGUUUAAAAUGAAAUAAAGAAUCUUUCCAAAGCCUUUUGAGAUUCAAAUUUUGAAUUCAAUUAUGCAAUUGUGGCAUGAUGCUCAUGGAUGCAAUGCACAUGUAAAAGUUUGAAAUUUUGGGAUGUUACACCCCGUGUACAUCCACGCAGGCCGGGAGUGCAGUUGGAGCGGCGCGACGCGCCGGGUGAUGUACGUGUGCGCCACGUCAACAUUGGUGAGCCCUGCCAGCCGCAAAGCCUUGAUCUUUUCCACGAUGGGGAGGAGAUCGGCGUCACGGCGGUACCGGACCCGCCAGCCGCUGUGGGGUUGCGGCAGCUCGGUGGGCGAGAGGAUGAACUCCUCGGGGUCUUCUACUCGGACCCAGCACCAGUCGCCCCGCCACUCCUUCUCGAUGUUUUUCUUCGACCGGACGAUGAACUCGGACUUCAUCCGGUCGCGGGCGCGAAACACCACCCCCGACGACAACGCGAUCGAUCUAGGGGUAGAAGUAAUGCCGAAACAGUGCCACCGACGGCAUCACCCUGACGAAUGCUUCGCAGAGGAAUUGGAAGAUGACGAGGAGGUAGAGAGACGUGAGGUGGAGCUGCGCCACUCGCAGCUGGUACGACUCCAUCAGCGCGUGGAGAAACAGGGAGAACGGCGACACCAGCCCGGUGAGGAUGAAGCACCUGAACACCCGAAAGUCAUUUUCCUGGUGGUCGGCGCCUGCGAGGAGGAUCUGGGUCUCCCCGUGCUCGUUGAACCCAGAGGCAACUGCGUGCCGGAUCUUGGCCAGCGCCUCGCUGUUGUAGCCGCGUAGGUAGAAGGCGAGCGAGGCCCGCAUCGCCCACUUCUUCUGAUCGUUGUCGGCGGCGGCCUCGCUUUUGCUGGACGCCGCUUUCUUUGGGGCCUUCCCCUCCUUUCCCUUCCUGGUGGUGGGGGGCGCCAUGGGGAGCAAGAUGCGAAGAAGAUGGAAGACGAAGGUUGGGGAGAAAAGUGUUUUCCCCCCGCUACAAUAGUAAAAGCUUUAUAACACUCUAUCGUUUGGUAACAGCCGAUUCCGCACCCUACGGGUGCGUUGGGAUAAUUGCUAAUCAAAGGGAUAAUGCGGAGAGUGGCCUUAACUUCCCUAUUUAAAGGGGGGGUUAUGGCGGAAACCACGCACCCACUACUCCGUCCGUAAUGGCGGGGUGUGUGGGACGGCGAAGAGGCACGGGCCCAAGGCAAGUUGGGACCCACGCCGCCCGGCAACCGACCCAAGAAAAGUUCGUCCAGGAACAGGUGUUGCCGGCCCAUGCCCAGGGGCUACUGUCGCACCAGUGACACCCGGGGUACCACCGUUGCACGACGCGUGGGUCGCAUCGCUGGGUUCCCGAGAGGAUCUCACCCCGGGCGGCAGCGUAUACGAUGCCCGGCAAGCCACCAGCCCAGAAGGGCUAGCGGGGCUUCGGGGAAUGGUCCCGCCUGGGCACCUCCCGGGAAGUCACUUGCCGGGAGGAGGGGUUCCCGGGCGCAGGUUCCCGCCGUGAGGGCGGGGCUGAGCGAGCAGAGCAGCCAUGCCACGUGGGCGCGCGCCAGGCGCCUAGUGUGCAGUUUCGCCAGGGCAAGGAGUAAGGCGCACGGCACAUUUAAUGAGCCGACAGGAGGGGCGUUACCCGUCUAGUCAGGCAAACAGUGGCUGUCCAGUCCUAUGUUUUAGGCCCUAGACCCCUAGCCGCGGGGUUGGUGCCCGUGCAUGCAUGCCAGCGCACCGAGGAGGAGCUGCCUAAGCUCCUUGCUCGCCCCUUGUAAACCAUGCACCGUGGCACCUGUGGUAUCCCCUUGGCUAUAAAAGGAGGACCCCCGCCAACGGUCAAAGGGUUCGUUUUUUCGUUGGUUCAUAGUUGUUCAGUUCGUUGGUUGCACGGGCAGUAGUCUAAAGUAGAAGGGAACACUUAGCCAAAAAGAGACCACCCGGGGGCUACCCCCGGCAACCUGUAAAUAGCCGAUUCCAUAGCAAUACAAGCUCAGACAAACAGGACGUAGGGUUUUACAUUGCAAGGUGGCUGAACCUGGGUAAAAAGUGUGUGCAUGUGCCCUUGGUAGCCUUCCUGGUGCAUUCCUUCGCCUCGCAUUGGUCCCGCCGGCGAUCCCCGUAGCCCACUGCCGAACCUGAAAAGGGGGUGCCCGCGCAUCCCUGGUGUUGGAGCCCCGUGUGACGACACCGCUACCGUUUGACCCCAUGUUGGCACUGUGGGUCCGUCCCGGGUCCCUGGUCCGGUUAAAGUGUGCGGCGCGCGAGUCCCCAGCAACACAAGGCAUAACACACAAAGUUUAAGGGAUCCACCCCGCGAGACAACCCCGGGAACAAGAAAGGAGAACUAAGCGGAACCAGAGAACGAAAUUAAUAAAAGUAGUAAACAAUUACAUGAACCAAUAAGACAUUAAUUGUUUAAGCGGCGCACGGCGCCACACUUGCAGGAAUCAAAAGAAGAAAAAAAUACUAAGGAAUAACGAGGACUAGCAGGGGGCGGCGGCGACUGGUUGCUGGCGCCUCUCGCUGGGGGCUGCGGCGACUGGUGGCCGGUGCCUCCCGCUUGGGGCUCCGGCCCUGGCUCGGGCUCCGGCUUCCACUGCAUCCGGUCGACCACUUCGUCGACGAACCUGCUCACCGCCUGGCAGUGGGUGGGACCGUCCUCGCUGUCUGACCAGGCGUCCAGUAGCGUCUCGAAGGGGAAGUCCGUCACCACGGCGUGCUUGGAUUCACGGAGGAGAUCCACCUGCCGGGCGAUCUGCAUGGCCUUGGCCGCGUUGUCCUCGGCCGUCUUGACACAAUCCUCCCGGACAGUGGCCGACUCGGACUCGAGUCGGGCGCUCUUCUCCUUGGCGGAGUUGAGCUCCUUCUCUUGCCACGCUGCCGCUGUCGGCGCGUCUGCCGCAGCCUUGGUCUGCUCCUCCAGCUUGGCGCGCAACCCUUGGAUCUGGGAGAGGUAGCUGCAGACCAGGUCGCUUUUCUCAUUGAGGCGAGCCUGGGCCACAGCGAGCACCUAUCGUGCUCCUUCUUGGCCUUCGCCUGCACUGCCGCUAGCGAGUCCAAGGCUUGCUGGUGCUCAGCGUGCUGGGCCUCCAGUCGCCGGUGGAGCUCCUCCUCGGGGACAACCGGCACUGCAGCCUCGUCCACGGCUUGCCACGCAAGGCGUGUCUCCUCCCGUAGCUGGGAGAGCUCUUGCCGCUCUCUCUCCACGGCCUGCCGCACCUCGCCAAGCUGGACCUUGGCGAUCUCGUGGUGCUCCUUCACUUGAUUGAAGGAGGUGACGACCGCCAUCUGCUGUUCCUUGAUGGCGGCAAGGAACUGGUGCCCCCGGUCAUAGAUGCUCGGGUCCCAGGUGAUGGGGUCCUAAGCCACCCCGGCGAGGGUGCCGAGGUCCGGGCUGAAGGUGGCGGCCGUCAACGACGAAGCUCCCGCCGCCACUGUUUGGCCGGGUGGAGCGUCGCCCGCUUGCGGCGGAGCCUCCUGCUGCUCCUCCGCGGCAACCUCCCCCGCGCCCGCACCUGUGGGUUGUGGGACUUAUGGGGUUGCCGCGCCCCCGGCGGGGGCUGCCUCCUGCUGGGGGGCUGCAGGGUCCGCGCCGGCUGCCUCUGUGGCCGGUGGUUCGCCGUUGAGCUCUGCCCUGGUAGCAACGGCGGUCGCCGCCGCCGUUGUAUCCGGCGCUGUGGAGCUUGGCGCGGGGGCUGCCUCCGGCUCCACCCUCCUCUCCGUGUCCUCGGCGUCGGAGCCAAGGUUGGCCAUCACAGCGCCCCCCCCCCCCCGGCGUGGGCGCGAUCGGGUCUGCAGCAAAAGGAAGAGUUAGAAUCCGAGUGCGAGGUAAGUGACCCGGAGGCGGACACAGGGGACUCCGAGUGGGUACCUUGCGGUGCUGCGGGGCUUGCGGGGGGGAGCUUCCUCCUCCUCCUCCGUCCCAGCCGCCGUUGCCGGGGCGCCUGCCGCGGGCUGGGCGUCGCCUGCAAGUAAGGAGUGCAACGCGGCUGCGGGUUAGCCGGCGAGGGAAGCGUAAACAAGGAAACAGGGGAAAGAGCAGUACCUGUUGUCGGCGCCCCCGUGUCGGCCGGAUCAGCGCUGCUGCCGGCCUGGGCACGCGCCUUCUUGCUCGGCGCGGCGGGCAGCGAGUCAGCCCUCCCCCUCUUGCCGGCCCCCGUCGGUGAGCCGUCCUUCGGGGAUUGUCGCAUCCUGCAGGGUAUCAAGCAGAGGCGCGAGCAGCGCCACGAGGAGCGCCGAGCAGCCGGCGCCUGCUUCAACUGCGGGGAUAUCAGGCAUCUCUCCCGCAACUGCCCGAAUGACCCCAAAGCUGGAGCGAAGCCUGCCGGCGGAGAUGCCGGCAGAGAGGAAGCCCAGGGGGGUCGAGCCCAAGCCCGCGCCGACAAGGAGCGGCCUCCUCGGGGACGAGACAAGGCUCGUGCUGAGGAGCAGCGCGAGUCCGAUUAUAGCGAGGUGAUCGAGCAUCGACUCGUCGGAUCUUCCCCAAGUCCCUAGGGAGGUGAUCGAGCAUCGACUUGCGGUGCGUCCAGACGCCCGCCUCGUCAAGCAGAAGGUCCGCCGGCAAGCACAGGAGCGCAAAGACUUCAUCAAGCAAGAAGUGGACAAGCUAAAGGGUGCGGGGGCUAUCAGGGAAGUACUGUACCCCACUUGGUUAGCAAACCCAGUUGUCGUACCCAAGGGGGAAAACAAACUGUGCAUGUGUGUAGAUUUUACUAACCUAAACCGUGCAUGUCCCAAAGACCCCUUCAUGUACCCCGCAUUGAUCAAAUAGUAGAUUCCACUACCGGUUGCAAUUUGUUGUGCUUCUUGGAUGCUUUUAUCGGCUACCAUCAAAUUAAGAUGGCAGUCGAGGACGAGGAGAAAAUGGGUUCAUCACCCCGGUUGGCUGCUACUGUUACACGUGCAUGCCUUUCGGGUUGAAGAAUGCAGGCUCAACAUUCCAGCGUGCCUUACGCGAGUGUUUGGGACCCCAGCUAGGCCAAAACGUUGAGGCCUACAUGGACGAUAUCGUCAUCAACUCAAAGUGCGGGGACUCGCUUAUUGAUGACUUGUGGGAGACGUUCAAUAACCUCUGCAGGAUCAAGCUCAAGUUGAACCCUGAGAAAUGCACUUUUGGUGUAGACUCGGGGCAGCUUCUGGGCUUCUUGGUUUCACACAGAGGGAUUCAGGCCAACCCAAAGAAAAUAGAAGCUAUCGAGAAGAUGAAGGCUCCGUGCAAGGUGAAGGACGUCCAGCGCCUCAACGGCUGUGUUGCCGCGCUGGGGCGUUUCAUUUCAAGGCGGGGCGAACGCGCCUUGCCUUUCUUCAAGGUAAUGAAGAAGAAGGACCCAAUCGAUUGGACCCCUGAGGCUGAGGUGGCGUUCCAGGACCUGAAGCAGUACCUGAAAUCGCCGCCGAUCCUCGUCGCCCCCAAGCUGGGCGAGCCGCUGCUACUCUACCUAGCGGCGACUGACCAAGUGGUCAGCUCGGUGCUUGUUGCUGAGAGAGAAGAAGAUCUCCCGAGGGCUGGGGUUACGGGGCUGGGGGCUGAGACAGCCCCGGCAACCGCCUCGAACCCGGGAACCGCCAUCGAGUCGGCAGCGCCGAUACCACACAAGCGGCUCAUGCAGCACCCUGUGUACUUCGUCAACACGGUGUUGCGCGACGCCCGCGUACGGUACCCGCAAGUGCAGAAGCUCUUGCUGGGGAUUCUGCUUGCAUCCUGCAAGCUGCGCCAUUACUUCCAGGCGCACCGCAUCACGGUGGUGUCAGGGUUCUGCCUCGAGCGGGCCCUCACCAACCGUGAAGCCACCGGGAGAGUGGCCGAGUGGAGGAUGGAGUUGUCGGAGUUUGAUCUGCACUUCACGAACACCAAGAGUAUCAAGAGUGCCGCUCUGGCUGAUUUCCUUGCAGAGUGGACCUCGACAGGCAUAGAAGAAGAGGAGCCAGAGACCAGCCUACCCGGCAGGCUGGAAGAAGGCCACUAGGUCAUGUACUUCGAUGGCGUGUUCAGCCUGCAGGGGGCUGGCGGCGGAGUCAUGAUCGAGUCACCCACGGGGGACUAGUUGAAUGUCGCCAUCCAACUCGACUUCCCCAACCCCACCAACAACACGGCUGAGUACGAGGGGUUGCUCGCUGGGUUGCGGGUGGCAAUCGCUCUCAACAUUAAGCGCCUGGUUGUCCGCGGAGAUUCCCAACUCGUGAUCAACCAGGUUAACAAUGACUACGACUGCCCGCAGAUGGCAGCGUACGUAGAUGAAGUCCGAAAGCUAGAAUGCAAGUUCAAGGGUUUGCGAUUUGAGCACAUCAAGCAUAAGGAUAACUUCGCGGCCGAUAAACUGUCCAAGUGGGCAGCAGAGCGCCGAAAAGUUCCGGCGGGAGUGUUCUGGCACAGGAGGACUACACCUUCAGUCACUCCCCAGCCGGCUGCCGGGGAAGCCCCCCCGGCACCGGAAGGAAACCCCGCAACAGCGGAGGUCCAUGCUGCCGAUGUGGUAGCAUGCAUGAGUAGGGAAACCCCGCCUUGGGCGGUGGAUAUCGCCCGCUACCUCAAGGGGGAAGCCCUCCCUGAAGACGACAUUGCCGCGGAGCGCAUAGCCCGGCAAGCCAAGAUGUACGCUCUGGUAGACGGGAAUCUCUACCGGAGGCGUGCAAAAACUCCUCUGCGUACCCCAAGACAAAGGGCGCGCACUUCUGGAAGAUAUACACCGAGGCACAUGCUUGCACCAUGUGGCCUCCCGGGCUCUGGCCGGCAAGGCUUUUCGGCACGGCUUCUACUAGCCUACAGCACUAGCUGAUGCCGAACAACUAGUCAAGACAUGCGAGGCGUGCCAAUUCCAUGCAAAGAAGAGUAAUCAGCUGGCGCAAGACCUGCAAGUCAUUCCAUCCUCCUGGCCGUUCGCGGUCUGGGGGCUAGACAUCGUCGGCAAGUUGCCAAGAGCAGUUGGCGGCUAUGAGUACUUCCUCGUGGCCAUCGACAAGUUCUCCAAGUGGGUGGAAGUGGAACCAGUGCGGAAGGUGACCGCUCAGGCAGCCAUCAAGUUCUUCAAGGGCAUUGUGUGCCGGUUUGGUGUGCCCAAUGGCAUCAUCACCGAUAAUGGCACACAUUUUACGAGCGCCGUGUUCCAAGCCUACUGCGAGGACAUGGGCACAAAGAUCCACUUUGCCUCUGUCCCUCACGUGAGGAGCAACGGACAGUCGGAGAGGGCCAACACAGAGGUGCUGCGGGGGCUCAAGACGAGAACCUUUGACAAGCUCAAAAGCCACGGGAAACGCUGGAUUGAAGAACUCCAGCCCGUGCUGUGGUCGAUCAGGACCACACCUAGCCGGGCAACGGGUGAAACUCCAUUCGCCCUUGUCUACGGGGCAGAAGCGGUGCUGCACCUCGAGCUCAAGCAUGGAUCCCCUCAGGUACGCGCGUAAGGCAAGCAUAGCCAACACGAGCAGAGGGUUGACAAUCUUAACUUCAUCGAAGAACUUCGAUGCUGGGCUGCCGUACGAGCUACACGCUAUCAGCAGGGGCUCCGCCGUUAUCACGACAGGCGAGUCCGUACCCGGGAGCUCGAGGUCAGAGACCUUGUCCUGCGCCGGAUACAAGGAACGAAGGCCGGGAACAAGUUGACUCCGAAAUGGGAGGGGCCUUCCGGGUAGUGCAGGUGACCAGGCCGGGGGCUGUCCGGCUGGAAACCGAAGAAGGCUUGCCGGUGCAAAACAGUUGGAAUUUUGUGCAUUUGCGCAAGUUCUACCAGUGAAGCGGCGGAGCCUGACCCACGGGCGAUGUUGCUGCAGCAUGCCUCUCGAACUAGUGUAGCCGGGCAACCCCCGAUUGUAAUCCUCUAAUUUCCAUGAAUAAAGUUAGGUAUUUCCUCUGCAUUUCAAGUUGCCUCGUUAUUGCAUGUUCUUUCUCCUGUCUCCUGCUCUAGGUGCACAGAAGUCUCUUUUCAUCCUUGGCUGUGAGCCAGGGGCUGCGGGAGCCUCAAAAACAGAAAUACCGUUGCCGGAUCACUCCGGCACGAGGUCGACGCAACAGCAGCGUCUUGGGAAUAAAAGAAUGCUCACACCCAAGUGGUAUCGACCCUUCUGUGCCCGGGGGCUGGGAGGCAGGACGGUUAUCUGUGAUGUACCUUUCGCUUUUUUCGUGCAUUUCGAAAAAAAAUUGUAGCAUCUCGAGCUUGGUAAGAAUCUGACAUACAAGAUAAGGAUAGGAAUCAGACGCACUGUGAUACUCGUGGAGUACUCAUGGGCCGUGUCGUCUAGCGGGUAGCCACUGGUGCAUGGCUACCGCUUCAAGGCUCUUACCACAGGAGGGUGUCGUCGCGGGUGCCGCGGUAGCUCGGCGCGCGUGGCGGCAGAAUUCUCCACCAUGCCUAUAAAAGGGCAUGGUGGCCACGGAGCAACUCAAGGCAAAGCUAAGAAGAUGGCGAGGGAUGCAGUAGAGAAGCGAUGGUGGUGCAUUCCUCUGCGCGCAAGCGCUGAGAGUGUUCCCACCAUCGCGUCCCCGCCACAUCACUCCUCCGGGCAUUUCCAAGGCGAGGGUUGCCGCAGAGACGCGGUGGUGGUGCAUGCCAUCUGUGCUCAGCGCCGAUGGGUGCACUGCCAUCGCGCCCUUGCCGCAUCCCUCCAGCAGGCGUUCCAAGUGCAGAACCGAUACGUUCGACAAGAGAACAGACGGCUAAGUGCAUUAUCCCAGGUGCCUAGCUUUCUAAUCUCGACGCUGGAUCGUUGGUGUGGGUCGGGUCUUGCGUGCGGCUGGAGUCUUAGAAGAUCGCUCGCGGGGGGAGUGCGCUCUUCAUGCGGCUUGCGGGUCCGUCCCGUAGACGCGUGCUUCGGAGUAGCUAACCCGCAAGUGGAGUAGCUCGCCGCUGCUACGUAACCCCAGGUUCUCACUGCGGGUCCGUCCCGAGUCCCUGGUCUGGUUAAGUGAGUAGCGUGCGAGUCCCCGGCAACACAAAGCAAAACACACGAGGACAGGAAGGUCCACCCCACAAGUCAAUUUGAAGAACAAGUACCAAGUAGAACCAGAAAGCGAAAUUUCUAAAAGUAACAAAUGAUUACAUGGGCUAAUAAAACCAUAACUAUUCAACGGCGCCAAGCGCCACUUGCAGGAAACAAAGGUAAAACGAAGGCUAGCAGGGGACUACGACGACUGGUUACCGGGGUCUUCCGCUGAGGGCUCCUCCUCCGGCUCCGGCUUCCUCUGCAUCCGCUCCACCACUUCGUCGAUGAACUUGCCCACUGCCUUGGUGUGGGAGGGACCGUCCUCGCUGUCCGACCACUCGUCCAGCGGUGCCUCGAAAGGGAAGUUGGGGUGGUAGUAGUGCACCCGGGGGAGGAUCGUCUCGGCGAUCUCCCUGGCGCCUGACGCUAUCUACCUGUCGCAAAACUUGGAGAUCCACACGUCCAGCACCCCAAGCUUCCCCACUAUGUCGGAGAAGAAUGGGAUCAGGGUGCUGACGUCCGUGCCGUCCACCUUCGCCGCCUGGGUGAUUUCAAGCAGCUUCUCGGUCUCCUUCCAUCGUUGCUCCGCCAACUUGUCAUGAUUGCUGCACGAGGACACCACCGCAAGCUUGGCCUUUCGGAGGAGUUCCGUCAGUCGCAUGAUCUCCGUGGCCUUCCUCACGUUGUCCUCGCUACAGACCCGGGAGCGCGAACUCGAGGGGUAGCUCAAUUCCGCCAAGGAAAGGGCACCCAUCAGGAACUGGUGCCCCUGAUCGUAGAUACUUGGGUCCUAGGUGAUUGGGUCCCAAGUCGCCCCGGCAAGAAUGCCGAGGUCUGGUCUGGAGGUAGCGGCGGACGAUGAUGAGACCCCCGCUGCCAUGGUUUGGCCGUGUGGAGCAUCGUCCCCUUGCAGGGGAGCCGCCUGCAGCUCCCCUACCACGUAUUCCUCCACACCUGCGCCCGUGGGCUGCGGGUCUGGUGGAGGGGCUGCGCCCCUGGCAAGAGUCAUCUCCUGCUGGGCAGCUGCGGGACCCGCGCCCCCGGCCUGCAAGGCCGGGGAUGCGCCGCCGAGCCCCACUACGGUAGCGGCGGUCGGCACCACCACCGUCGUGUCUGGGGCGGUGGGGCUGGACACAGGAGCCACCUCCGGCUCGUCCUCCAACUCAAUGACCUCGACGUCAGAGGUGAGGUCGAUCAUCGUACUGCCCGCCCCCGUGGUGGGCGCAUUGGGACCUGCGACAAGAGCAAAAUAAGUUACUUCGAGCCAAGCUGAGGCACCCGGCGACGAGCGCAAAGGAAUUCUGCAUGAGUACCUUGCGGGGUCGCUGCACUUGCGGGGGGAGAUAUGUUCCCCUCUGCCCCCUGCAGGCUGGGUUUCGCCUACAAGCCAAAGUGAUCGCACGAUUAAGGGUUAACGUGCAGAAGGAGCAUGUACAGUGGAGUCAGGGGAGGGGUCUGUACCUGCUGCGAGCUCCUCCUCCUCUGGGACCGGGUCGGCAGCAGGCGUAGUGGCGGCGCCGCUGGUCCUCGUGCCGAUCUGACUGGCACUAACGUUGGCCCGGGUGCGCGGCUUCUUGCUUGGCGGAACGGGUGCAGUGUCGGUUCUUCUCCUCUUGCCCGCUCCUGCCUGGGCGCCGUCCCUGCAAGGCAUCAACAAAGAAGCAAAGGAAUCAAGGCAAGCACAAACUUGUAAAAAAAAGGGGGAGAAAGAUGUCAGCUUACCUUGGGGGCUUGAGGACCAUGUUCUAAAGAGCUAAACAUUUUCUUCUCACCGGUCAUGUGAUUCGUACAUCCGGAGUCCAUGACCCACUCCUUUCCUCCGGAUGCAUAUGCCUACGAAGAAAGUUAGGCUCGUUUAGGCACCCAUGUCUUCAUGGGUUCCUGCAUGUUAGUAGAACUUGAAGAACACAAGUCAUCACGGAAAAAUGCAAUGACAAAUUUUGGCACCCAAAUUUGAGGUUUCGCAUGUUCUCCACGCAUUAUGGUUGCAGUGAAAUUAGCUCCCACUUUAUAAUCCUUACCCAUCUUCAGAAUGUAAGAUUCAGUGGCAUGGAAUAUCCGGUAAGCACGUGAAGUAUUGGGACGCUUUGAAGCAUCCUUGCGGGGAUUCAUAUUUCCCACAAAUGGAGAACCUCAGUACACUUCCCUCUUCCCGGGACAAAUUUUGUAGGGUGUCGCACCGGUGGCACCCGGGGUAACACCGUUGCUCAACGCGUGGGUCGCCUCGCUUGCUCCCCGCAAGGACGGCACCCGGGGCAGCACAGUGCGAGCUGCCCGGGAAGCCACCAGCCCGGCAGGAGCCUGGGAAGGGGGUUGCCCUAAAGCAGGACUAGCCAGGCUGCGGGGGUUACCCUGGAUGACAGCGUGAAGAUCCCCAUCAGGAGACCCCCCGAGAAGCUCACUUGCCGGGGAGGGUGUCUCCUGACGUAGGCGCUUGCGACAGGGCCGGUGCCCAGUGCAAGAAAGGUAUCGACGCCACGUGGCCGCCCGGCAGGCUCCUUCUGUGCAGGGCUGGUUGGAGCUUGAAGUGUGGCACAAGCCAAGCAUUAAAUGCUCGACAGGGAAGUGGUUUCCUGUCUAGUCAACCUACAGUGAGUAGCCCGCAGUGAAUCUAGGGCGCGUAUCGCCCUAGCCACAGUGCUUUGUACCGUGCAUGCAUGCCAGCACAGCAAAGGCAAGCUGCCUAGGGUUUUUUGUUCGGUGCGUGUCCAAAAGCGCGUCUCCCAUGCAGACCGAGGCACCUAUGGUAUCCCCUUGACUAUAAAAGGAGGACCGAUGCCACUGGUCAAAGGGGUCGACUCUAGCUGGGUUACUAUUCCUAUAGAUUUAGUCCAGAAGUAGUAAGUAGCCAUUUGGCAGAAAGGAAGAGAGCGCCCGGGGACUCCCCCGGCGAUCUAUAAACACUUGUUCAUUAGCUAAUACACACUCAGAAGCAGGACGUAGGGUUUUACACCUCCGGGUGGCCCGAACCUGGGUAAACUUGCUUGCUCAUUGCUACGCUUGUCAUUGGCGUCGUCGGCGAUCACCGGAGCGAUCCCCAUCGCCCACUGCCGAACCUAAAAGGGGGUGCCCAGCAUCCCCGGUGUCUAAGCCCCGGGCUACGACAUAGGGGGAUAUUGCUCAGGGAGCCAAGCAUCACCGUUGACAUUGUACUUCCUCCCAAAAUUGAUACCAUCCUUGCGUCGGCGAGGAAUUUGAAGACCAAGAAUCUGGUUCAAGAUUUCAAUCCCUUGGUGACACUUGAGGAUACCAGCCUUAAUCUGAUUUUUCAACUUAGCAUUUUCUUCAGCCAGUGAGAGAUCACUAGGUGAAGGGUUAGUGAUAGCAGUGCAAGAUCCACCAAUAGAAGUAAAGCUAGAAGCAAGAUCAGGUGAAUCAAAUGAAGUAGGAAAAUCAGUUUGAGUCACAGCAUUUGAAGUAGUAAUUUGGGGAAUGUUGUUCAAUGAAGAAUUGCAUUUAGAACAUACUUGAGAGGAAUCAUCGUUUUGAGGUAAGUUGACUAACUUAGCAUUGCGAUCAAGAUUCUCAUAUUUGAGAUCCUCAUAAGAGUUCUUCAGAUUAUCAUGCUCAAGUUUGAUCGAAACAUACUUAAGACUAGUCUCAGCAUGAACUUUCUUCAGAUCCUUGCACUACACGAUGGACCAAACGCAGGAGCAAUUAACUGCCGGGAAAAGUCAACUUGAGGUGGCAAUGCAACUGCCGGGAAAACUUAACCGCCAACUAAUCUAUUUGGAGGCACAUCAACUGCCGGAAAAAGUAAAGAAAGCAAGGCAGGCAAACUGCCGGCAAUCUGCAAUCUUUACAGGCACACAAACUGCCGGCACAACCCAUGAGAGGCAGUUUAUCUGCCGGCACAACUAGGACGACAGGUGGGGCCAACUCAAUAUGCGCAUCUUGUUAUCUUUAUCCUAUGUACAUGACCCCUCAGCCCCAAACCCGUAUAUAUCUCCCACGCAAUUCCCCUUCACCCACCGUAGGGUUUCAGCCCAUAGAGACCCUAGCGUCGCCACCGCCAUGACCCCGCCGCCACCCAAAGCUUUGCCGACCCCGCCGCCCGUAGCUUUGUCCUAGUCUUAUCCCGGCCCUCGCCCAAGGGCAGCCCGAAGCUCCGCGCUCGCUGCUGCCGGUAAGCUCCGACCUCGUCGCCGCUACCCUGAAGCUCCACCUUUGCCACCACCGCCCUUAGCCCAAGGCCAGCCCGUAGCUCCACCCUCGUCGCCGCUGCCUCGACACUCCGCGCUCGUGCAGCUGUAACCCGAACCACGACUCCGUCGCUCCCUGGCCGAUGUCAAUGCCCCCGAUCCGCCACCAACUCCUGAAAUCGUCCGCCACCGCACCCCAGCGCCGGCGAUUUCUCUCUGACAUCUCGCCGCCGUGCCACGCUCCUCCACUGCCAUCAAUCUUGUCCGCCACGCCACGCCCAACGCCGUCAAUCUCGUCCGCCAGGUGCCUCCCUUUCACCGCGCCCUCUACCUGCCGCGCCAUUCACCGAGCAAGGCUACUGCUAGGUGCGCUCUGUACGUACUGCUAUUGCUCAUCUCUUCCUCCUUGAUCUGCCAAUUGGUUUUUGGUUCUACAGAUCCCGCAGGUUGUGAUUCUCCUGGUCUGAAUUUUUAUGCAUUUUUGCUGCAGCGAUUGAGCCACCACACGCCUGCGUUUUCUCUCUUCCUCCCUGGUUUGCAUCGAUCUCUUCCAAGGUAACCCUCGAUUCGUCUCAUCCUCCCCGUCAUUAAUGUGGCCAAUUCUGUGUGAUGGUAUCAUAGUAGUAGAACAAAUCAAGAAGUUCUACAACUUGUACAAAGUAAAUUUGUAUUGGGUUUCAGGGUUUCCUUUCCUAUGUGUUCUUGUUCGAUUUGGAUGCUUAAGGGACAAUUUCUGAGUUAACAUGCUAUCCUGCUCAUACCCGUAAGAGAGUGUUAAAAGGGGAAUGAAGAUUGAUUGGGGUUAAAAGUGAAGUAGUAGUACAGAGAGAUUACUCAAUGAUUGCCUAAACAAUGUGUACAGAUAACUGAGAGAGCUAAACUUAAAUUGUUAAGCAGUUUACAUGUCUAGUUUGUACUCUAUCAGGUUCAAGAAAAUCAGCUGGUAUUUUUAGUUAAUCUAAGUGUCCUUUGGUAGGGCAUGUAUAAGAAUUUAAUUUCCACAAGGGUCAGAACUAUUUAGACUAGCUUACUCAUAAAUCAUGUAGUCAGAGUAUAGUUCUUGGCCUCACAAAUUAAAAGGUGCGCAUUUUACUAACCCUGCCUCACUAUUUUCAGUGGAUAAUAUAUUAGCUGGACAAUAGUAUGUCUUUAUGUGAUUAAUAGGGAAGCUGUGUCUAGGUAUAUAUAGGUGAAGCUAUCCUCAUGGGGAGGCAAUUUACAUCUGAGGCAACCAUCAAAACCAAUCGUUAAACACACUUUCAGGUGCGCUUUAGUUUUCAGCCAAUGAAAAUGAACUGAACCGAUACCAAGAUAAGAGAGUGAAUUAAACUGAAACUAUAUGGUAAUCCAUCACAUUUCAGAGUGUUAUCUUUGCUCUAUCACAUGGUGUUGUGGAAGUCCAGACGGUGCGCACAAGGAAUGAAUCACACUAAAAUUGAUCUAGCUGUGAACUGAAACUAUCUAAUUGUAUAUUUCUUUGAAGGAUUAUUUCUUGUAACUCCUAUUUACCUCAUAACUCAUAUAUGUAGCUAGAGGUGGAACAGAAGUCCAUGGCGAAUUCAGCCUCACCGCCACAAGUGGAUUGAACUAAAAUAUGUUUUCUUGGAAUUAAUUAUCUCAGGUUUGUAUCUUCUUCUCUUCUUGCCCAAGAUCUGGUUUUGGUUGCUAUGCCAUGGCGAUGGAUUGUUUGCUGCUACUGUAUGUAGCUCAGUAGUAUUACUUGACAAACCUUAUCUCCUAGUAGGUGCUAGAGCUGCUGCUGAGUACUUGCCAAACCUUCUUGUUAUUGCGGCUCAGCUCAAAGGCAAGUAGGAGUUGUACGUGCAUUGUUGCUGAUCUUUAUCAAAUGAAAAUCUACUGGAUAGUUUACUUGUGAAAUAGCAUUAAAAUCAAACCUGUAGCUAAACAAUAAUGCAUGUGGAUUAAUUAUGGAUAAACUAACUAUGAUUUGAUUCACCUUACAUGUUUAAUUAUUUGUAUAAACAAAUUGAGAACAUGGUGCAGGCUGUACUGUGUAUUUUAUACCAUAGCAGCUCGCAACGUUCUUAACCUCUUGAUUUAUUCUCUUCUACUAAAACUUUUAGCAUGUGUCCAAUUUCAUGUGCAGAUCCAUGGGGCAAACAAUGCAUCGGCCUGUGCUUGUGGAGUUCCCAGCUUGUCGCAUCAAGGGAUGCAUGCUCCUGAAAGGUAGAUACUUCUGUUUCUUCUCAAGUUAAAAACAAUUUCAAGGAUCUGUUUUCAUAUGAUUUUCUUGUAGAGAUCUUUGUGUGAGGUGGUAACAAAGAAUCAUGCAAGUUUUCCUAUUUAUGUAUUUCUUUGGUAUUCCAGACAGUGGCUAAUACUUUAUCACCCCCCUUGUAUAUGUUUUCUCUCUUGCUUGCAUUUAAGUAUUUGUCUCCUUUUGCAAUAGAUUUCUACAGUAGAUUUAAUGUCUAGUUAUGCCAUUAACACUAGUUAUGUAUAUCCACACUAAUGGUUAAUUGAAAUUGUGGCAGUUAUGUCAGAAUUCUAUGCAAUGUAAACUUGUCGAUUUUUCAGCAAUCUUAGCAUCUGUCAUUUCUCAAUUUUUCAGGCAACAAAAUCAGAGAUUUUGUACAUGUGCUGGAGGCUCGUCGAACCGGAUAAAAUGGGAGUCCCGUAACUCAUAAAUAGUUGUUGGGCCGAUAGUCUUUUUAAGUGAUCUUUCUAGUUUGCUAGGCUUAUAUAGAGGCUUUGCAAAAUCUAUAUCAGUAGAUGUCAUACUUAUGCGUGUGACAGUGCUUGAUGCUCCUUUUUGGUUCAGCGUGAAUAUCAGAAACAUGUGAAUACAUUAUGCUGUUGUGAUGCUUAUUAAUGAAGAAUAAUUGUGGUGGAAUGUGUAAACUAUAUUAUUUUUAAUUGUGAAAUUGCAAUCAAGGGCGGUUUAUUUGCCGGGGAAGGCAGGAACAGCCGGCAGACAAUCUGCCAGCGAAUGUAGUAACUGCCGGCAAAAUUAUUUGUAUUGACGGCAGAGAAACAGAUUUGAAAUGUCCAAACUGCUGGGAAAUGCCUGAACUGCUGGGGAAAGCUCUUUGCCGGCAGACAAAUCUAUCUGCCCGCAAAAUACUAGACCUGCCGGCAAAACUGGCGCUAGCAGGGCAUAUAGACUGCCAGGAAAAAUAAAUCUGCCGACAAAUACUUUUGCCGUCAACAAUACAGCGGGCAGGGAAAACUGCCGGCAAAAAAUCUUCACCGGCAGUUUAUAUGCCCCGUAUAAUGACUUUUGCCGGCAGUUUGGGUGCCCUCACGUCUGGUCCGUCGUGUAGUGUUAUGAGACUCUUCCAUGGCUCGAAACUUAGACUUGAAUCUUUCGAGUUCAUUAGCCACGUUAGUGUUCUUCUUGAUCUCAGUGAUAAGCAAGUCUUCUUGCUUCUCAACAAUGAACUGAAGUCUUUCAUAUGUCAUGGGUUCAGGUUCUUCAUUAUCAGUUUCAUCAUUAUCACUAGAAUUCACUUCAACUUCACUAAGAGAUGAUACCUUAAGAGGAUUUUGCCAUGAAGCAUGAUGGUGAGUUGCGAUCGUUUCCGGAGGCAUCUUCAGAUGAAUCUACAAAGUCAAACGGUGAAGUCUUCUCUCUGGCAGAUGAAAUAGCUAUGGCCAAUCUGGCGACGCCGUCUUCAAACUCAGAGUCAGAUGAUUCUUCAGACGAUGAAGAAUCUGAGUUCCAUUCACCAACAUGUGCUCUAGAGUAAUACUUCUCCUUCUUCUUGUGAGCUGAGUCCUUAUUCCAAUCCUUCUUUUGUGACGGUUAUGGCUCUUCUUGUGAGGAUGUUUCUUGAAUCCCUUCUUCACCUUGUCUUCAUCAGCUUUUGCGAGACAUUCAGCGAUGAAGUGACCUUUCUUGCCACAGUUGAAGCAAGCUCUUUUGGCCAUAUCAGAUUUAUUCCGAUGAGUAGAUUUCCGAUACUUGGAGGAGCUGGAUUCACCUUGGUGCUUUAGUUUGUUUCCAAACUUUCUUCCAAACUUCUUACUGAACCUCUUCACAAUCAGAGCUAGCUCGUCACUGCAGUUGGAUUCUUCAUCAGACGAAGAUGAGUCUUCAGAUUCUUCACUGGAGCUGACAAUCUUCUUGGAUGAUUUCUUGGCCUUGAGUGCAAUGUUGUUUUUCUUCGAACUGGAUCCAGGACCAUGGAUCAUCUUCUUUCCUUCCUGAUCAAGCUCAUGGGACACAAUUCUUCCAAGCACCUAGGUAGGAGUUAACUCCUUAAAGUCUGGCCGAUGCUUGAUCAACUCACAGACAGUGGUGUACUCCAUGGGAAGAGCUCAAAGAAAUCUUCUGUUUUGCAUCAAGUUAGUGAUAUUGUGAUCAUCAAGAGUAUUCAGCUCAUUCACAAUGGUGCUCAUGCGAUCAUAGUGUGAAGAAACAGUCUCAUUGGGCUCAAGCACAAGUCUGUCAAACUGACUGAUGAGGUGAGUAACUCUAGAAUCUUUGACAGUGGUUGUCCAUUUAUGGACUUCAGCGAGAAGAUCCCAAAUCUUCUUGGCAUCAACAAGGUUACUGAUCUUGUUAAACUCAGCAUCACUGACAGUUGAGAAGAUGAUAUCACAAAGCUUUGGCGUUUGCUUGAUACUUCUUCAGAGAAAUAGAAUCAUAUCUAGAGAUGGGUCCCUGAGGAACAAAAAAA